rnacentral:lncRNA from 1 species
AAUAUUCCACAUUCGAUCUAUAUUCGAAUGGUGCGAAAAAAAUAUUGGAUCCCUUCCAGCGGAGUAAAAAUUCCCCAUGUCUUCAAAUUAGGUUGCGUGUUAUCUCCGGUCCAUAAAUGAACCGGACCAUGUGGGGUCGUUUCGAUUGAACCGCCCCCUGGAUCUGGUUCAGUGCCAGCCCUGUAGGGCGAACCAAAGAACAACAGCGGUUUCUUGGAGUUGGAAACCAUCUGCCUAUACAUAAUUUUGAGGUUGGCUUCGAUUUGAGCAUCGUUGGACAUUGUUUCAUCCGUGCCGUUGAAGUCAAGAUCGAUGAGAGUCGGCGGCUGAUGGCUGGCAGCGCGAAGCUCGUCGUAAAGCGGAGAGUCCGGGUUAGCGAACAAGGCAGGGAGUUGCAUGCCAGCUGGCGCGUCCCAGUUCCAAAACGGCAACGCGAACGUCGGAUCGUCUAUGAGUUUGGCCAAGAUUCUUUCGUGGAAGUAUAGGUAGUAACGAUGGAAGGGGAAGAAAAGCCAGCAUUGAUGGAUUUGGAGCUCGAGGUUGGGGAAGCCGACUUGGUCGUACGCGCCGUCGCAAUAGGCACAGUGGAGAUCGGCUUGCUGGGUGAAGCUACGCGGAUCGUCGUCCGGGAGGGCUUUCAUGAGCUCGAUGGCUUUUGAAUAUUUUUCGAUGUAGGCUUUAUCCACGGUGUGAGCUGCCGGCCUGACGCGGAGUUUGGUAGGGGAGGGGAAUUUGAAGUCUACGAUUUUUUGGGACGUUGGCGGGCAACAGUUGGUCGGGACUGCUCCACUUGGAAAGUCCGCAGCUCCGCAUUUGGCUAGGUCAGGCGGCGACACUGGCUUUGCAACAGCGAAGGGGUCGCUGCCAAGACCAGCCACUCCACCGUAUAGGCUUCCGAGACCUAUAAGUACAUUUCUUCUGUCUAGGUUUACUGGAGAAGGGUUUUCAUGGUCGUGAUCGUUGGAGCUAGUGGAAGGGUUUUUGUUUUGGUCACUACUAUUAUUUGUGGCUUUGCAUGAGACAGCUUGUAAAUUGGAAUGCCUAGGGUUUCCAAAUGAGGAUAUUCGGUGAUACUUUUGGGAGAAAGGGGAGAGGAAAGUUGUGGGGAUGAUACUUGUGGCGGAGGUGACGAGUGGAGCUGACAUAGAAGCCAUGGUUACUUUUGACUCUGAAUAAUACGUUGUAUUGGCUUUGCUUUUAUAAUGUGUUCUAGGUUGUACUUUUCUUUGCACAGGUGGCAGGCCGUACACACGUGGUCGGUCCUUAAGGGUUUGACGAGGAAUACUACGUAGUCAUUUAGUACAGGACAACCAUACACUAUAGCAAGUGGCAUGUAUUUAGAGAUCGAGAGAGAAUUGGGUAAGGUUCACGAGGGAUUUGUAGUUUCAGAAGGUGAAUUGGUUUUGGUCUUCUUGUGUACCAAUAAUAUUUACUUAGUCAUUUAGUGCAGGACAACCAUGCACUAUAGCAAGUGGCAUGUAUUUAGAGAUCGAGAGAGAAUUGGGUAAGGUUCACGAGGGAUUGUAGUUUCAGAAGGUGAAUUGGUUUUGGUCUUCUUGUGUACCAAUAAUAUUUACUUAGUCAUUUAGUGCAGGACAACCAUGCACUAUAGCAAGUGGCAUGUAUUUAGAGAUCGAGAGAGAAUUGGGUAAGGUUCACGAGGGAUUGUAGUUUCAGAAGGUGAAUUGGUUUUGGUCUUCUUGUGUACGGCUGUGGGUCUGCUGUCCCGGACUCUCUGUCUCAUUUGUGUCUUAUUUUUUAUUUUUUCACACGUGUCUUUUACUUAACGUCAAAUCAUGAUAGCAAUGUUAUGCAAUUGGGAGCUAAACGACCGAUGCUUUUAUUUUUUAGUUUGCUUUUUUUCCAGAUCUGAUCAAAUCAUGAUAGCAAUGUUAUGCAAUUUUCAAGAGGGAAAGAUGCACCUGGGAGAGAAACGGUACGGUGACUUCUAAAUCACCGUCCAACAGAACAAUUCUCAGUAGAGACUACUAGAGAGAGAUGCACCUCACCAAUGAAAAAUUUAACUGCAAAAAUUCUGGGUAUUGGGUAAGGAAAUUCGGUGAUACUUUUGGGAGAAAGGGAAGAGAGAAGUUGUGGGGAUGAUACUUCUCGUGGAGGUGACGAGUGGAGCUGACAUAGAAGCCAUGGUUACUUGACUCUGAAUACUACGUUGUAUUGGGUUUGCAUAUAUAUAUAAUUAGGAUUGAAGGAUGUAGAGCUUAUUUUGUUAUGUAUUUUAACGAUUUAAGUGCUUAUCUUUUAGGUUUUCUCUUAAACAUCAUGUCUAUAAAAAAUCACCAAAAUUCAAACCAUAUGACCAUUAGAUCCAUAGUCAUUUUAGUGUUUAUUUGUAAAAUGUAUUCAUUCAUUUUCUUCACUACAAAUGAGUGAAUUAAUGAUUUUAGAAUUUGUCUAAUUUUUUACAUUGAUUAUUUAUGAAUGUUGAAUUGAAAUUUAGACGAUUCAAAAAUAGUUGAUAUGCAUUACAAAAUGAACUCCACAAAAUAAGUGUCAAAAUAUGUAUAAAAAAUGGACAGCGUGAAUGGCUUGGAAAUUGGAAUAGGUUUGAAAAUUGUGCUUUUUGUAGCAAAUUUUAGCAAAGUUUGCUUGGACUUUCACAACCGUAUAAAUUAAAGGGAAACUUGAUAUAACUCCAAUUUUUUGAGCCAAUAGUAGGAAUAGUCCAGUUUAUUAAAAUAAGUUCAAUUCUUUAAAUUUAAUUAUUUAGUUAUCAAUAAUUAUCUCUUAAAAGAAAAAACUUAUUGUAAAAAUCAAAUUUCUUCCUAAUUAUCUCUUUGAUUAUUUCUUUUUAUUUAUUUAUUUGUUAUUUCUUGUUCUUCCUCCUGCUUUAACCCAUUUAUAGAUUUUUUUUUUAAUUUUAUAAUCAACCUAUGUCACAGGUUAAUUGUAUUUAUCUACCUAUAUGACAUAUUCUUUUUCAUAGUCAACAUUUCACAGAUUAAUGUGUCUUGCUUGUAGAUAUAUUAUGUUUUUUUCUACCUUUUAGUUAGGUUUCAUAUCUCACUUAUAGGUAUAAUAUACAUUCAUAUAUUUGCUACUUGAGUUAGGGUAGAAUGUUUUGCAGAUAGAUUUAUGUUAGUAUAUUAAUUUUUUUUUGUUUAUAAGAUAUUAAUUAGAUAUUUUGGAGUUGAAAAAUGCAUAAUAUUAAAAGCUUUUAAUUGAUUUUUAAUAUUUUUAGAAAAUAUAAAAGGAGUAUAAAAGAAAUCAAAACAUAUAAUUAGAUAACGGGAGUCACUCCUAAAAACACUCUAUGUUUUUUGACCUGGAUCUUAAAGCCCCUAAAUUAAACUGUUCGCUUUGUUGGGAAAAAGAAGUGGCCCUAGUUUCCCUUUGAUUUUUCAAGCACGGUGGGAGACUGGUCAUAGUUUCUAGAUUGAUGCUCUAAUUCUAAUGUUAUACAACGCGUACGCUAUAAUAUUUUUAUCAAAAUAUUAGUUUUAGUGUUAUCAAAACAAUAUGUUAUUCUUACCAUGUUUUUGUAUCACAAUUAUAUACCACCUUAGAUGGUAUCUGAUGUGGACAGCCACAUCAUUUAAAUUAAUAAGCAUUUAAUUUCAAAAUGUUAAUCAAUAAUUAAUAAAAAGAUUGUUAAUUAAAUGAUGAUUGUGGUAUACAAGGAGUCUCCUUCUUCCUUCCUCUUUCCAUUCUGCUUUUUCUUCUUACCUCUUUUUUUUUUUUAAUGCCAGUUUUGUAUUGAUUUCUGUUGAUUUCCAUGAUUAUGGUCAAUCUUUAUAGAAUUUACUAGUAUGCCACAAUCACCAUUGAUUUCUAUCUCCAGACUCAUGCCCCGUAGCCCUAAUCCUCAUUCCCCUUCAAGUAUUUCUGUCUCCAAUCUUCUUUGGUACUCCAUGAUUGUUCAUCUCGUGAUAUUUUUUUUUUUGAUUAUUUCAUUAAGUAACGCUUAUUAGCUUUCAUGCGAAUUAGGAGUCAAAAUCAAAUUUGUCUAUCGGAUUAGGGUUCAUACCCAAUUAAGUUACUAACGCCAGAGGGAUUUUGAAGUAUGCAAUUUUCCUUAUUUAAGUGUUUUAAUUAAUAAGAAAAUUGAAAUUAAACAAUUUAGCUUGUCCAACUCAUCUGCCACCUAAGAUGGUAAAUAAAUGUGGUAUAAAAUUGUGGUAAGAAUAUCAUUACUCUUAUCGAAAUUACAAAAAAAAAAAAAAAAGCUGAUUCAAUAUUUAGUUAUUAAAAAAAAAAUGAUCAAGUAACUAUCCAAUACCCAUGUAUUGGGUGCUUUGUUUGAAAAUUUUCAAAAUGAUAUUGGGCUCGUUUGGAUAUGUUUUUAAAAUGACUGAAAGCAUUUUUAGAGAAAAUAUUUUUUUGAUUCCAAAAGCACUUAAAGUGCUUUCUGCAAGAAGCACCCGUUAUGUGCUUCUUCCUGGAAGCACUUUAAGUGUUUUUCCAGCAUUUACUUGCUUUUUUACUAAGGACUGGUUCCAAAAACAUUUUCACAAAAAGUGUUUUCAGUCAUUUUAAAAGCACAUUCAAACGAGCUCAUUGUUUUUCCUAUUUUAAUCGAGUGCGUCGUCCUCUGUUGAGAAUGAAUCUCAUAUUAUGGGAGGAGGGAUCUUGCAUGAAUGGGAGGAGGGACCUUGCAUGAGCUUAUAAGUAAGUUGGGUUACUCUCCAUAUUGCCAAAAGAAAUUUUAUUUGGACCCAGUUUUCCUCUCUCUAAACCCAACUUUAAUAUUUUGUUACCUAUAAACUCUCUAGUUUACCCUCAUAAAUUAUAAACAUAAAUAAACUAGAAAAAGAAAAACUCAUCAAACCCAUUUCCCAACUGUUCUGGCGUCUCUUCCCUGUAUUUGUUGGGUCUGUCUCCCUCCCGACUGUUUUUUUUUUUCUGAUAUCUCUGUGUGUUCCCCCACCUCUCCCACACCCACCAAUUCUUUGUGGUGGCUAUUCCACCAAACGUCCAGUGAAUCUUUCCAUUUUUCUUCUAUUGCGCGUGAUAGGGCCUUGCUAUUAAUAGGCAAAACUAAGCGGCAUCGUCGACUCCGUAAGCGACUUGUUGCAUAAGUCCAAAAUGGAGUCAAAUGGAUUUUGUAUUGGGUCGGGUUGUUGAAGGCGAUGGCUGAUUUAGCAAUCCCGCCUAACUAUUUCUAUAUGUAGGAGAAGGAAGAGGGAGGGAGGUCUGAAGUGGUGGUUGAGUGGUGGCGAUGUAUGUGGGUUCUCUCUCGGUUGAAUGGGUGUAGAAAGAUAUUUAAUUUUCAAUAUCUUAUUUUAUUUUGUAUAAGGGAUAAUAUAGGAAUUACAUAAAAAGUUUUUUUUAUAGCUAGGUGUAGAAAUAGUAUUGUUGGGUCUAAAUAAAAUUACCCUAUUGCCAAUUAGUUUUAUGGUGAAAUCUUAACUUUGUUCAUGCUUUCAUAGUAGGUUGUUCCACGUGUGAAGUCAAACAUCCACACGCGCUGCACGUCACCCCGUUGUGUUGUUCACGUGUUAAGCUUGAAAAUUCAUCACACAUGAGGGAGCGUGUUGAGAAUAAAUUCCACAGUUUAUAAGUAAGUUGUACUACUCCGUAUAUUACCAAUUAAUUUUGUGGAAUUCCGUCAAAGCUGAAUUUGACGGAAAAAAAUAACUUCAUGUUUGUUCUUAACUAUAAAGUCAGUGAUACACUAAUUCUGGUUUGUUUGUUUUUUCCUUCCUUCUUAAGGAAAUUCCCAAUCCAACCAAAAAAAUGAAAUUCCCAAGAGAAUAGUAGCACGAACAAUCGUAGCUUUCUUCUUCGAUAAGCCUUGGGGAAACAGAAAAGGGAAAACCGGACUUUAACCCUAAUUUCUCCCAAUGCCGCAGCACUCUCUAUUUUCUCUCUCGCUCUAUAUCGCGGUCCCUCUCUCUCGCCGUCCUCUAUUGCUCAAACUCAAUGUCUCCAACUUCCUCUGUAUGGUUCCCGAGGAAGAUGGUAAAACAGUAAGGGCAAGAAAUUGUGACAAGGUUAGAUUUGGGUAUUAAUCUGGUGGGGCUACAAUUCUCCAAUCCACACCCCUUUCAUCUGUGCUAGUGUUUGAACCCAAUAUUAGAUAACCGGUCCAUGCAAUCGAUGCCGUUGAAUGAGAAAAAUUCUAGGCCGUGGGAUCAAAUAUAAUGAUGUGGAUUAAAUAAGGAAAAUUUAAAGAGUAAUGAUAUUCAUACCAUGUUUUUGUACCACAUUUUCAUACCACCUUAGGUGGCAUUUGAUGUGGAUAGCCACAUCAUUUGAAUUAAUCAGAUUUUAAAAUUUAGUUGAUUAUUUAAUAAACUAAUAAUUAAGAAAAACUAAUUAAUUAAAUGAUGAUUGUGAUAUACGAGGAGUCUUUCUCGUUCAUUUCUUUGGGUUUUGCAAAUUUUUCAAAUGAUGUGGCUGUCUACAUCGGAUGCCACCUAAGGUGGUAUAGAAAUAUGGUAUAAAAAUAUGGUAUGAAUAUCAUUACUCAAAUUUAAAUGUUUAUCUUGGUUAAAUUACCAUGAUAAUAUUGUGGAAUUAUCUUUUGCAUAACGGAAGAGCGAGAAAAGUCCAAGGGUGUAGGGAAGUUGUGUGGUUGACUACCGCUAUUUUGAUGGUAUAAUCUGUAGAGUAAUAUUACAUUUAACAUCUAUUUGUAUCAUAUUUCUAAUAAAGAUAAGGACCAUCAAUGCAUAAAUAAUUAAACAAAUAUAUAAUAAGAGUAUCAUUUUUGUAACUAGAAUAGGAGAAGAAAGACUUCAAGAUGGGAUCAGCCAAAUAAUUAGCGUUAAGAUAAAAAUAUUGAAAGGAAAACUAAUGAAAAUGGCUUGAAAACUUUGAGUUUUAACGAUAAGGACAAGAUAAAGGGUAAAGUGAAUAGUACCAGGAUUGACUUUUUAAUGUAAAAAUAUAGUUUUUCGUUAAAGUGAACAUUACCGGGAACUUUUCGUUAAAGUUUCCAAUGAGAUAAUAUUGCAACAGCUGGCAUGAGACAAUGAUGGUAUAAAGAUGGCUACUACGGCCAAACUACUACAUAGGAUUCCAUACAUGCGGUCAUUAUUUCGACAAAUCAAUGGCUGCCGCAAUCAUGUGCUCAUUAUUCCGACAAAUCAGUAGCUACUUGCAUUGGAUUAGGAUUGCAUGCGUGUGGUCAUUGAAUGAGGAUUGCGUGCACGUGAUCUUUAUUCAAACAAAUCACUAUUGACCAUAUAUUGCAAUUGGUUAAUGGUAGGCAAAUUGAAUUUUUACAUCAAAUAAUGUGAUUGCUGAUAAUUGAAUUAUUAUUUAAAUGUUGAUUAAUAUGCUUAUUUUUUAUUUGUGAUAUAUCAUUUAAUUUGUACAUUUAGUUUACCUAACAUUACCAACUGUAAUUUGUAUAAAUGGACUGGUACCUAACAUAACCAGUUGUAAUUUGUAUAAAUGGGACUGUAAUUUGUAUAAAUGGACUGGUGCCUAACAUUACCAGUUGUAAUUUGUAUAAAUUUACUGGUCCCAAGAGCACAUGCUACUGCUCAAGAAGCAAAGUUCUUAUUUGCCCAAAAAAAAUCAUGGUUUUUUAAUUGAUGCUCUCAUUUUAAUUUACUAGCCCCUUACUUGGCCUUUUUUAUUUAUCAUUUUAUACAUAUUAAUAUUUUUUUGUAAAAUAUAUUAGUUUGAGUUUUAUUAAAAUUAAAAAUAAAUAAAAAAACUUAGUUUUAGUUUUAUCAAAUUAAAAAAAAAUGACUUAAUAUUUAGUUAUUGAAAUUGUAAAAAAGUGAUCAAGUAUUGGGUGCUUUGUUUGAAAUUUUUCAAAAUGAUAUUGUUUUUACCAUUGAAACCCUGUUAUAUACAGUGAUGGCUAAUUUGUCAAGUUCUACGAAGUUGGGAUACCCAGCGUUUUAGCAUAUAACAUAGCUUAGUAUUACAAGCAUAAUUAAUUAAAAUAAAGGCAAAAUAAGAGGAUAGCUUAGUAUUACAAGCAUAAUUAAUUAAAAUAAAGGCAAAUUGUAACAGCCCGUCCCUAAAAAUGACGAUUUUAUAAUCUUAACACGUGAGUUUAUGAAGAUGCCCUUCGAGGCAAAGUGUUGACUACCGCGUCGUGUCAUGUGAGACUCAUCUUCUUGGCGUAUUCUCGUUUUACUCGUCGCUACGGAUGCGUGGGCGCAAACGACACGUGAUUUGGAGCUAUAACAAAAGAGUUAUUAACAUUUAAAGUUAAGGACAUUUUAGUAAAUUAAUUAAUUUCAGAUUUUGUUGAGGGGAAAAUCUGGAGUGCCAUGUGGGUGGCCCAGAUUAAAGGAAAUGAGGAAUGGAUGGUGGAGGUGUAAAGGAAAGAAGAUAAAAGAAAAAUGAGAGGAAAUGUGUGACUAAUAGGGAGAUGAGAGAGUUAGGAUGGCCCAAUUAGAAACAAACGAAAGGAGGAAAAAGGAGAGAAGAGGGGAGCAGGGGAUCCCUUCAACCCGGUUCCACUUUCCGACCCGACCCGAUCCUUUUCAUCUUUUCCGGUGGUUUUUCGUCAGUUUUUCCGGCGAACCACGUUAUCUAACCCCGUUGAAAAUGUUCCACGACCUUCCCUCUACCAUUACAACCCAAAAUUGUAGAAAUUUAGCCAUGAAAGUAUGAAAACCGCACCGGUGGGUGCGGGAAACCUUUGUCGUCGAUUCUCCCAUUAUUGAAACGAUUUUCACCAAUUAUCACCACCUACAGCAUCCUCUUGAGGUCUGGAAUAAAGCCCAAACAAGUUUUGGGGCGUUGGAGUUCGUUUAAGGUCGAAUUGAGCACACCCAAAUUCAAGGGUUCCGUACCGUUCAUGGUGAUUUGAGGUGUUUCUCGGCCAAAUUGGCCUUAGUCACAAGUAUGAAAGUUGCUCCACUCGUUGAGAUCUUCAUUUAUGUGAAAUUUGAGAAUUUUUUGAAAUAUUUGGAUUUUCCAGCGAGUCGGGGUGGCGGACCGCCACCGGCAGCAGCGCAUGGCCAGUGGUCCACCAAUGUCAUUUUACGUUAAAUUGAUAUCUUGAUUUUAGAUUUGAUGUCUAUAUGUUAUGACUUGAUUAUGUGAACCUAGUUUGAUUAAGGUGCGUUAAUUGGUAAAAAUAUGAAACGACGAUCCGACCGUGGGAUCGUCACCAAACUUUAAUAUGUUAUAGUACAUAAUAUUUGAGAAUCAUAGGGACUGACAGAUAGGAAAUCCGAGAUACAGAUCUUCCCGAAAUGGAAUUGUAAGUUUGAAGAAUAAACGUUAACCGCCACUUUGUUUUGACUAUUGGUGGAGAUCCAACCGUUGGAUCAUAAUGAAAUUUUAGGAUGAUGUUUUAGAAGCAUAAUGUGGAUCUUUGGAAGUUACUGAUCGGAAAUCCGAGGAGUGAAUCUUCCGAAUUGAAUUACGUAGGGUUGUGGACCUUACCGUCGAUCGUUGACCGAUGAUCGACUUUUGGUCAAUGGGGCUUAAAUCAAUCUAAAACGUUUUUAGGGAUGUGUUUUACGUAAAUUACAUGAUCUAUUGAUAAGAAUUAUGAGAUGUGGUUUGAUAAUUGUCCUAGGUGCCGAUCGUUAGGAACGCUUCGAUGGUUAUGCUAGGAAAUUGUAGCACAGACUCCUUGUGAGUGAAUCUUUUCCUUCUUAUCAUAUAUAUAUAUAUAUAUAUAUAUAUAUAUAUAUGAUUGACAAUUCCACAAACGUUUAUAAAUUGAUUAUUGCAUAUAACUACUGUGAAUACUUUGAAGUACUUAUGCGAACUACGAAUGGCUUGAUCCGUGUUUAGGGUACGUAGGCAGUCUAACAAGACGUUAGAUGUAGUCAUACAAUAAUUGAGAUUAAACAAUUGAGAUAAAGCCUUGUUUGGGGAACUGGGCAAGGUGAAGGAAUUUGGUAAAAAGGUGAGAUUUAACCUUAUGAAUUGGUGAUUAAAUGUUGGUCAUAAAUCAAUGUGUAAAGAAUCAAGAAUUUGAAGUAAGGAAACGUAAGUAAUGAUAAUUAAUUAAACUAGUGUCUAGUUGGGCUUGUCACCUAUAAUUAUCCCCGAAAAUGAAUAAUUCGGGAGUAGGGCGUUACAGCUUCUGCAUUUUUAUGCCACAUUAUAUAUAUAUAUAUAAUUGGAAAUGCUAUAACAUGGUUGAGUAUCAGAUUUCAUCAUGGUUUAUCUAUAUGUAUAUUACCUGCACACAAUUAUUAUGAACGCGUUGAAGUGCAAAGGUGAAUGCACGACACCCAGGUAAGUUCAGGUGAGUUUAUGGUAUUAGUUGAAAUGAUGGGGUUAUGGUAUGACUACAUGUAUGUUUAGGUUGCAAUGAUAGGCAACUCCAACACUGUCGUACAGGUUGCCCAUGAAUUGUACAUGUUACAAUAGAUACAGUUAGAGCUCAUAAACCUACACCCCGGUGUUAGUACUCCCGCUCGUGGCCAGGGCACAGUCCUUCACGUGAUGUUCACCUCCCGCACCUUACGCUCACCUUGGAUCCAAGGUAGGUGCACAAUCAUGUCGUACCACUAUAGGUGGUUCCGACUCGUAGAUGACCCGCGAUUAUUUGCACAGUCUUCACGUGAUUGUAGCACUUGAGCGUAUUUAUUUACACCCAGUUCUAUUGUACAGACCACUUUAGGUGGUUCCGACUCGUAUGCAGGUAUACUUAUUAAGCUAUGGAUAAGUCGUACAGGUCACUAGAAGUGACUCCGACUUAUGAGCUAGCAUAUGUGAUGAGCUAGCAUAUGUGAUGAGAUAAGUGAUGAGUUAGUAUAUGUAAUGAGAUAUGUGAUGAGCUAGCAUAUGUGAUGAGAUAUGUGAUGAGCUAGCAUAUGUGAUGAGAUAUGUGAUGAGCUAGCAUAUGUGAUGAGUUAGCAUAUGUGAUGAGCUAGCAUAUGUGAUGAGAUAUGGGUAAGUCGUACAUGUCACUAUAGGUGACUUCGACUUGCGUGCUAGUAUGGGUUAUUAAUCACAUGAUUAUUGAUAUUACUGAUGAGAUGCUGUGUUGUGGUAUAUUUAUGAUCUUUCUGGAAACUAUGCAAGUGUUGUAACGAGGGGUUAUAAUGAGGUGUUGUAACGAGGGGUUAUAAUGUUUUAUAUGGUUUCUGUUAAAAUUUUAUUUCUAGGGUCACUCACCCUUAUUUUGUUUUCACCCUCUAGGUUUUAUUAGCUGAGCUUUCUUAUCGUCGAAGAUUCGUGGCGAUUCUUAGUAUUGGAGAUUAUUUCGAGAGUACGAUUCUUAAUUCACUUUACUGUACUUGCUUAAGCUGUAACGUCACGUGUGAAGUGGGUUCAUUUCCGCUUACCAGCGCAUUCUGGUAUUUAGGCACUCUUAGGUUUAAAUUUAUUCACAUUUUUCCACAUCAUCAAACUUUAUGGCUUUGUCACUCUUUAGGUGUCGGCCAGCACAGCUCGAUUUGGAGUCCUAGUGGACAUUCCGGGUCGGGGUGUGUCACAAAUGAAGAGGAUGGUUGAACUUGUUAAGUUUCUUAAGUGUGUCUACUUGAAGUGUGUUGCUAAUAAAUAUUUUGUUGUAGGCAUAAUUUACUGAACAAUUAUGGAGGCAGAGAGAGAGAGAGGGAAUAUGCGGCAUAGAGAGAGAAGAGAGAGAUGUGUAAUUGUGAGGUGUGUUCUAUUCCACCCCAUUGUACCUUUAUUAUAUUAGUAGGGAAAGUUAAUUCCUUACCCUUUUAGGAUUACAACUCUAAUAGGAAAAUAUCUAGUCUAAGAGAUAUGAUAGAAUCUCAUAAGGAUAUCCUAGAUAUGUUAGGAUUUACACAAUCAUAUUCCUAUUCCAAUAAGACUGCAACACAUUUGUAUUUUUUUAGAAUUUUUUUGAUAAUUUGUUGGUAUUCUCAAUUUUUGUUAACAUUGAAAAUAUAACGGUUCAGAUGAAAAACCUUUGGAAAUCCAACAGCUUGCAAGACGUUGGGCUGUGCUGAAGGAAGCUGGGCUGUCACGUGGAUGGGGCCCUCCCUCUCCCUCUUGUUGAUUCAAAGGGCGCAGGCCCGUGCAACAAUUGGCGAGGCAGCCCAUAGAGAUCCUGCGAUUCACCCAUUCGCCAUUUUUUCCACCGCUGGAGCACCAAAAUUCGGUCAAAAGGCAGGGGUAUCAAUGGCAAGGGCAAUUUGGCUUCCGCUGGAGGUGCUCUUUGUCGACUUUGUUUUUUCUCUCAUUUUAGCUUUUGCAGUAAUAUUGAAGUAAUCACUCCAAUUUUAUCCAAACUUUUGUUGUCCGUCAAUUUUUAUCAAAACUAUUGGUUAAUUUACAUAUUCAGACUAACCUUCUCAUUAUUUUUAGUAUUUUUAUCAUAAAUAAUAUCUGAAAUAGUCACAUUUUAUUCAACAACCACUCAAUUAAAAAUUAAUUAGUGUUGUUUCUAAACCAUUACAUCAAGCUUUUGUAGAUACACAUCAAUAUUGCAGCGAUCCGAGGCAUUGUUUUAGUGACGGUAGUACUUUCUACUCCUUGGAUUUGGUGAAUCGGAAAAGAGAAGAGUUACGAGUAAAAGUCCCUCGCAUUGUUUUGGGGAGAUGAAGAUGAUGAUCUUUUGUUUUUGUUUUUUAAUGAUUAAUCCACGCAGCAACAUAUAAUUAAAUUGUUGGGAUCUACUCAAGUUCCAUAUCACACACUAACAUAAAAUUUGACAAACGAAACGAAAUAUGUGUGUAGACAUCGAAAUUUCGUAAAUAAAUGUUGACCGAUAAAUCAAAGUGUCAACGCUCAUGUAUUACAUAAAUUUUACACGUAGCGUGUGACUCAACGAAAAUUGAAAUGAGUUGGAAAAGUCAUCAAAUAGGACACGUGUCAACACCUGGCAGAAACGACUUAUUUCAUCUGGGAUAUUAUAUUCAAAAUUAGCCAUUGGAAAAUUCUAUAAAUACAAGCCCAUUUCAUUCAUUUAAGGAGAGGAAUUCAUAUUACACCUUGAAGCUCUGAAGCUCUGAAACUCCGAAGCUCUCAAGCAUCCAGGUUCCCGAAGAAUCAAGAAAGUGUUCUUCGUUCUUCGUUCAUCGUUCUUCCAAGAUCAAGCCUCGACGGCCCUUGGAUCAACAAUCAUCCACCUUCAAGAUCAAGCCCCGACGGCCCUUGAAGAAAGCGUUCUUCGUUCUUCGUUCAUCGUUCUUCCAAGAUCAAGCCCCGACGGCCCUCGGAUCAACAAUCAUCCACCUUCAAGAUCAAGCCCCAAAGGCCCUUGAAGAACUUCCACCAAUUCAAGAUCAAGCCCCGACGGCCCUUGAAGAAAGCACCAUCGUUCAUCAUCCGUUCAUCCAAGAUCAAGCCCCAACGGCCCUUUAGAUCAACAACGUCGACAAAUCCACACAUCCAACCGUUCUUCAAGAUCAAGCCCAAAAGCCCUUGAAGAUCCGUUCAUCACUGUUCUUCAAGAUCAAGCCCAAAAGCCCUUGGAGAUCCGUUCAUCACUAUUCUUCAAAGAUCAAGCCCAAAAGCCCCUUUGAAGAUCCGCUCAAAUCCACCUUCAAGAUCAAGUCCACGGCCCUUGAAGAACGUUCAUCCUUAGAUCAAGCCCAACGCCCCUUUGGAUCAAUCGCACAUCCACAAAUCAACACCUUACGGAGAUCGAAUCAGAGGAUCAAAAUAGAGAGAGAUUGUAACCCAAAAUCAUCAAAUACAAAUAUUUGUUUGUGCGCGUUGUUCUUGUCUCUUUCGUUUCAGGAAUUUUCCGUGUUCACAAUGUGCUCUUGAAAUCAAAAUGAGGGCACUGCUCCAAGAACAAGAAGGGCACCUUGUCGAGGUCGCCAUCCGCCGUGAGGGAAAACCGGAAGAAGUUGGACAACAAUGAUAACAUCAAUUUGCGGCACCCAUAUCGGGACAUCACACUGUGAAAUAAAUAUUGAAAUAAAUACUCAAAACUCCUGGAAAGUCCUCGAGACAACAAACUUUCAUCUCCUUCAAACAUUUCAUUUUACUAAGUUUUAUCUUUGAAGGGAGGGAAAAAAAGAGAAGAGAGAAUCCUACUCCUUAUUCCUGAAUAUAUUCAAGAAUAGCUAUUGAAUAAAGAGAGAAUGGAGGGUGAUCGAAAGAGGAGGGAAGAGAAUUCUAGUUCCAAACAUAAAAAGGACCACAACUUUUAAAUUAUCAGCACAAUCAUCACCUAAUUGAAGAGACCAUUCACUGUGAAACAUAUUGUCAAUCAGUCUAUCUAUAUCUAUUUAUAUACCAUAUUUUUAGAGUAAGAUUCUCUCACCUCCUAUUACCAUCCCCUUCCAUCCUUUCAUCUCAUACUCUUUUUUUGUUGUCUUAUUCUCUAUAUAAAAAAAUUCAAAACAAGAUGUAUACGUGACGUAAUCGUAACCGUUUAAAUAAGAGGGGAUAGAAGAGAAGAGAGAUUAGGAGAAGGGAGAAUCCUACUCCCACAUUUUUCUUCUUCAUAAACAAAAGAGAGGUUCUAGAUUACUUGACUCUAUGCCUCAUUUUUUUCAUCAAGUAUUUGUGAUAAGUGGGUUCAUUUUCAAGUAUUUUAGUUUUUUUGUCAAAAUUGAGAAAACUGAAAAUCAAACAUUAAUAUGAAAAAUUAAAAAAUCAACAUAUAAUUAUUUAGAAAUCGCAAUAGAAAAGAAAAAAAAUGGAGGUUUGUGAUGAAAAAUCUUUUAUACUAAGUAAUUUAGUAUCCUUAUGCAUGAAGAUAAAUCAAUUUGUUCGUUACGGUCAUACUCUUUUUUGAAUUUUUGAACACAUUCUCCAUAGGGCCUUCUUAUAUGUUCCUUCUCCAAGCUCGGGUUAUGGAAGAAGUAAAAGAAGGAAUCGAAAAGAAAGUAUUGGUAACAACCGAUUUCAUUACGAGACAACUCUUGAUAUUCAUAUCAAUCUAUUAUGUACCUUUGCAUCUAGCAUUAGACAAUAAUUGUCAUAGCUUUACCAUAUUUUUUUGUUUCAUUUCUUCUGAAACAAUCUCACACACUUUUUUAUUAUGUGUCUACUACUAGGAAUUCAAUACGUAAUCUUAGCAUUCAAUAGUUAUUCCUAAAUAAUUUCAAUUUUCAAAUGAUCAACCAUUUCAUUUUACCAAGUUCAAUCAAUGUUAGUCAGAUUAGUCAACAUUUAUAUAUUUUGAUGCAACAACAAGAUGUUAUUUGUAACAAGUGAUUUUGUUAGUUGGUUAAUUGGUCACAAGUUAAUGUUCGGUUCAGUUUAGUUUUUCUCUCGAUUUUUUGUGAUUCGGUUUUUUCAAUUCUCUUUAGGGUCGGUUCGGUUUUGUUUUUUUAUUUAUACUUGAAUUUUAUUUUAAUUUAUUUUAAUUUAUUUUAUUUUAAAUCUGGAAACACCAAGAACAACACAAGCACAUAGUCAAUCAAACAACUAUCCUUCUCCACAAAUCAUAGUAAUAAUUACAUUCAUUGAGCUGAAAUGCAAAUAACUAACAAACUCACAAAAAUCAAAUAAAAACUACAAAUUGCUUACUCUUUUUCUUUGGGUUUCACUCGAAAAGUGUCGGUAAAAUUUAGGGUUUGCAAGAACGCAACUGAAAUCUAAAACGGAGGCCUUGUGGCCUAUGGGUUGCUAUUGAGUUCCAGUACAGAGAACCUUGCUUAAUCUCGAUCACGGUACAAAGUAUCGAGUACCUUUAGCACUGUAUUUUGGUAUGAUUGGUAGAACCAAAUUAAAAGCUAACAUCAACAACAACUACCAGAGACAAAAGCUCUUAUCAAUGCUUUGGAAACAUUUAUGUAUCUCCAAGUGUAAUGAUAUAAUUGGUUGGAAACUUGUGAUUUCGUAUCAAAUCAAUAAAAAGUUACAAUAUUGACAAUAUAUUAGCAAUUUUUAUGUUAAUUAUGAACAAGUCAAUCAUGUAGAACCAAAUUAAAAGCUAACAUCAACAACAACUACCAUAGACAAAAGCUCUAAUCAAUGCUUAGGAAACACAGUCCUGUAUCUCUAGGUGUAUUGAUAUAAUUGGUUGGAAAUUUAAAAGAAAAAUGGUGAUUUUGUAUAAAAUUGAUAAAAAGUUACAAUAUUGACAAUAUAUUUGACACACCCCGACCAAGAUCAAGGCAUGCUGGCCGUCACAUGAGAGUGACGUAACCAUGUGCACAGUGCGGAAGCAAUAAUGAUAAGAAAUAUAUGAAUAAUUAAAAACCGAAUCUACUAGAGUGCACUACUAAACAGGAAGUAUUAGGAGUAAGAUACAAAAGUAAAUACUCCUAAUCAGAGCAUAGAAAGUCUAGGUGCAAUCCAGUAGGACAAGUACUAAUUAUACAGUAUAAAAUGUCUUACAAUUAUUUAGAUAGGUCAGAACCGCCGAAGUCCUCACACCCAACAACUGCAAACUUACUUAAAACCUGAAGGGGCGCAAAAUAGAAAACGUGAGUGGGAAAAAACAAAUGUUUUACAAAACCAUUUCAUUUAUCAAUAUAUCUAACCCCUCGCUGUAAACAUGUAUAAUUUUUCCCAGAAUCAAGAUAUAAGCAUAUACAUAAAUAUAUAUAUAAAUAUAUCAAUUCAAAUCAUGCUUCACAUAAUCAUAUUCAUAUGUAUGUCAUGCCAAGAUAUAACAGAGUAAGCAACUCAGGUAAGAGUAAUUUCAUAGAAAUAUAACAUGUUAGCCGGAACCCCUGUAGUAGUCUGUACGGCUGAAUUCAUAGCUCAAAAGUCAAUCUAGCCGAAGUCACUACAAUGACCUAUACGGCAAUAUACUGCACAAGAGUCGGAACCAAAUGAAAAGAUCUGUACGACAAUAAUGGGUGUUGUUGAUGCACAAAAUCAGUGAGGACUUUGGUACAACAGAAAGUGUUAAGUUUGUGACAUUCUCUAGAUUACUCCGAUCACUAGUGUGGAUAAGUAUGUAAAUGGAUAAAGACAGGGAAGCAAACACAAGAUGUACGUGGUUCACCCAGAUUGGCUACGUCCAUGGAGUAAAUGAGUUCUUAUUAAUUGUGAAGGGUUUACACAAGUAUAUAGGUUCAAGCUCUCCUUUAGUGAGUACUAGUGAAUGAUUUAGUACAAAUGACAUUAGGAAAUAUUGUGAGAGAAUGAUCUCUAUUUAUAGAAGAGAGUUUCUAGUUUCAUUCUGACAUUGACACGUGUCAUGUUGUGAUUGGCUUCUGAUGUUGACAUGUGUUGCACUAUGAUUGGCUUUAGAUGUCAACAUGUGUCGCGUUGUGAUUGGCCUCCUGGUUUGAGGGAAACUCUUCUGGCUCCUUGACGGUAUAACGUUGAUCGAUGCUCAGUAGUUUCGGGAUUGGUCAAGUAUGGUACAAACAGGUGUAAUAUAAUCAUACUCAAUACUACUCUCACAUAAUAGCUGGGUGAUAAAUCGCUAGUCACCUAUGAGUCAGAACGAUAAUAAAGGUCUGUACGAAGACUGUGCACCUAAAUUGGAUCCAAUAUGACCAUAUGGUGCGGGAUGUGACAUUAUAUACAGGCUUGUGCCAUCACUGGCGGAGCUACACCCACGGCUACAGUAGGCUGUAGCCUAGGGAGGAUUUUAACAAACUGCUGGUAUAAUAGUUUAUAUAUGAGUUUGUUGUUGCUUAUUGUAUGUAUAAUAGCCCACAUAAAUCCUGCCAAAAUUAUUAGUUAAUGUGUUUCUUAAUUUAUAAAUAAUACUUUUAUUACCUUUUAUUAUUUUAUUAUUUUUAGGCUAAAAGUAAAAAUGGUAAAUUAAUACAUAAUUAGGUUUCUCCUAUUCCCCAUGCUUUUUACCUAUUCGUUCAAAACAAAAAAAUUAAACCCUCUACCCUAAGAAAAGAAAAACUAUGAAUCACCAUCAAAUUAUUUUCUAAUGAAAUUCAACACUAGAUAUGCUCUUCAUGUCUUCAUUUAACCUAUUUCUUGAUUCAAUUGUUCAUUCCAUAUAUCUACAGCACGACUUGAAUUGGUAUCCCCUAACCUUUUUUCUUUUGGGUACUUGUUAUCAACAAAAGUGAUAAUAUUUGUUCUCUUUCUAUUGCUUUUUUGUAUGCAUGUUUUAUUUGUGUAAAAAUUAGUUGGAAAGUAAUUAAUAAACUUGUUUGGAUUAUUAGUACUUCAUGUUCCUACUUUUAUGUAGAUUACUAUAUAAUUUUAUGUAGGCAAAAAAAAAAUUCAUAAGAUUAUAUGCUAAUGAUUUUAGUUAGCCCACCCAAGAAAAAUUUUCUGGCUCCGCUAUUAUGUGCCAUAACUCUGGCAAAAUCACAAUCACCCUAAGUGCAGUUUUAUGAGUUCAACGUUAUUCUAUCACAUAUCACAUCAUCGAUAAUUCACAUAACCAAACAUAACUCACAUGAGCUUACCUGAGCGUCCACAGUACCAUAAUUAUAUAUAAUGCAUCAUAUACGAAAUAUAAAUUCAUAUGCAUGGCAUUUAAGGUAUACUUUCAUUUAAACACAUAUUUCUGGGAAAAUAUCAAGUAUAUAAAUAUAUACUGAAAACCAAAAGCCCACUCAUUGGUAUGUCGAAGGGUCGUAGCCCCCGAGUCGCCUUUGAAUACUCUCGUCCUCGUGAUAAGUCUCACCUAUAUGCGAAUUAACUAUAAAAACGUUAUUUUAGAGCACAUACAAAAAAUUAGCUAAUAACUCUCAUACAAUGCUCAAUUUUUGUAUUUGAAUAUAUCACAGUGACCUACACAACCUCAAGAUCAUCCCUAAAUUUUUACAAUAUUUUUCUGACCCCUCACGCGCUGCCACGCACCGGCAAGGGCAACGCCUUACUCGCCCCCACGCGCGGCCACGUGACAAGCAUACUGAUGGCGUCAAUCAACAUCAUCAGGAAUAUUCUAGGGAAUAUUCUGUUAAAACCCAAUGGUAACUGUUAAAGAUGACUGACGGCAUGAGCAUAUUCUGUCAACCUUGACGGAAUAUACUCCUUUCUUCUCCGAUGAGUCGUCGGUCGCCGGCGACUUCGCCGAUUUCUUGGUAAAACUUUAAAUCGCUUAUUCUUCUUCGUUUCUUCGCCAUUUUUCAUGAAAUUGGUACCAAAAUGAAGCUAAUAACAUGUAGAAUCACUUUGUAUAAGUUUCAAGGCUUAAAAUCUACUAGUUUUUCCCUGAGAAAGCUCGAUAGUUCGGCUUACCUAGAUAUGCGUCGAUCUCAGCCCUCCGACGUCCAAUUCCUUCCAACGAAGUACCCCAAGACUCGUGAGGACCUCCUUAAGCUUCCUAUAAGCUUCAAAUUCCCUGAAACACAAGAUUUUACGUAUGCAUGAACAAUGCACAAAGUCGGAGCUAGGGUUUCCACGUGAAAUCGAAGGUUUCCUUACCUGAAAAUGGUUCCUUUGAAUUCGUAUGGUUCUCACGAACACAAUGGUGAUCUUAAAACCUUCGAUCUACAAGGUUUAAGAGGGUUUCUGGGUUGGUCCGUACGAAGAAGGGAGAGAGAGAAUGAGAAUCUGCGAGAGAGAGGGCACGGGAAGGAAAGAGAAAUAAGAUAGGUGUGUGUAUGGUCCAAAAGCCACCAAUCAAAACUAAGAAAAGUCUUAGUUGUAAUUGGGUCACCAAUCUAAAACAAUUUAACCCAAUAAUAACUUACACACAUCAUUUAACAUCCGAGGGUAAUUCCGUCAUUCUACGUCAUCGAGAAUAAUCUUCCGGGACGGGCUGUGACAAUAUCAGCAAUAUUUAUGUUAAUUAUGAAUAGGUCAAUCAUGUAUUUAAUACUUAAAUGUAUUUAAAAUAAACACCUUAUCAAUGUUUUCUGAACUGUGCUCGAUUUUUCUCCUUCGCUUUGGUUCUGUCCCAUUGGAUUUUUCAAGCAAGAUUUUAUCAAGGCAACUAUCAUUAACUGUGAACAUAAUUUAUCAUUGAGACACGAACAUCCAAGGGGGAGUGUCGUGGAAAAAAAUGUAGAUAUCUUUAUACGUUGUAUGGUAGUAAACCAUCAUAAACACCAUAAAUAUGUAGAAACGCCCUUGCGGUACCUUUGAAUGAUAACUCAUGUAUUUGUUGCCCUAUGUAAAGAUGGCUAAUGAUAAUGGAAGACUAAUUUUCUCAUCCCAAUCUCUCCUGUCUCUCUUAUUCUCUUUUCUCUAUAUUUUAUUUCCAACAAGUUGUGUUUUUUUUUUAGUAUUGUUAAGCAACCCAAUAGAUUUUAAUCGUAGUCUUUGUUUUUUUUCUUUUAUAUUUUUAAUCAAUUUCAGUUGCUUAUCAGUUCUAGCUAAUUGAGCUCUUUUACAGCAAUUUUUUUCUUUAAAUAAAAUUAUUAUUAUUAAAAAGAGUGAGAAAAUUCGAAAUUGUUACAAUAAUUUAAAAAAAAUAGGAGUUUCAAAUCAUGAAGGUAGAGGGAGUUAACAACAUUUUAGGGGGGGGUGUAGUCAAACUAGGAUUUUGAAGGAUUUUAAAAGUGAUAGAUUUGAUAGGAUUUAAGAUGAUUAAAGACUCUUACAAAAUUCAUAUGGAUUUUAAAGAAUAUGAAUGGAUUGCGGUGGAUUGUGGGGGAAGGAUUUGAAAUCCUAGGGGGUGAGGUUUGAUUCUUUUUAGUUUUGGUUAUAUAUGGUAUGCUUUCAAAUCCCAGAAAAUCCACAACUUUUUAAAAUCCUUUAAAAUCUUAAUUUUUUUAAUACACUUAGAUUUGGAUGGAUUCUAAAAUCCUUUAAAAUCUUUUAAUUGACUACACCUAGAUUUGAAUGGAUUCUAAAAUCUUUUAAUUGACUACACCUAGAUUUUAAUGGAUUCUAAAAUCCUUUAAAAUCUUUUAAUUGACUACACUAUGAUUUUAAAGUCUUUAAAAUCCUCUCAAAUCCAAGUUUGACUACACCCCCUAAAGAUUUUAAGGAAAACUAAUGAAAAUGGCUUGAAAACUUUGAGUUUUAACUAGGGGUGGGCAAACGGGUACAGGAACCGCGGGUAGGGGUGGGUAAUUCAAGUUCGGGGCAGGUAUGGGACAUGUCCAAUAUUUCUAAACACAAAACGGGGCGAGGCUGUUCGGGUAUAUGAAAUUAUCGGGGCGGGGCGGGUCUUAAAAUAGAAGGGAACGGGCCCCCAGCCUGACCCGUUUCUUUUCCUCAUCCCUAGUCUUCUCUAUCUCUCUUCCCCGACACUUUUCAUUUCACUCAAACCCGGCCCAUUUCUUUUCCUCAUCAGUCAUCCCUAGUCUUUUCAAUCUCUCUUCCCUAACUCCUUUCAUUUCACUCGUACCUCGAGACCUCCUCUUAACUCGCUCCCAGCCUCCCACCGUCCUAGCUCCGUACCUCGCCAUCAUCAUCGUCAGACCUCCAUCUCUCCUGAUUUACUCAUGUCUUCCUCGCUGCGUCCGCCGCCAUGUCUCUCUUUCUGUGACGAACUUAAAGGGACGGACGAAGUUGAACAACUCGAAACGACGCCUCUUCUGUCUGAAUUAGACCCAUAUUUGCAGCGCACGACUCUGCUCAUAGUCCUCUUCGGUUUUAAGGUAUUACGUUUUAGAGAUUUAGGAUUGAAAAUUAAAUUAGGGUUUUCUAGAUUUAGGGAUUUUGUUGGGUUCUUGAACCUUGACCUCUGUUAUGUUCCAAUUUCAAAUAUAUAUUGAAUUGAAUUUGAAUCGACUGUGUUUGAAACUUCUGUUGAAUUAAAUUGAAUUUGAGCAGGAGAAGAGGCAGAUGUGGGUUGGGCAAUGUCGAAUCUCAUUGUGGGUGGUGAGGUGGGCAUGGCGGGCGACAAUAUUGACUGGCAAUGGUACGGGCGGUGCUAUUAAGUUGCAGAAGAAUACGAAGGAGGGGGUGUGGGCAUGGGUGGAUAUCGCAAGCUCAAUUGAAUUUUUUCUGGUUUUGUUUGUGAUUAAUUGCUUGUAUAUGAUAGUUAUUGAUGGAUCUUGACAUGCCCAUUUAAUUGUUAUUGGCAAUGCUAGUUUGAUUGUAACAAAUUCAAACCGAUUGAAUUGUAUCCCAGAAAAAAAAAUCAAUAAAGGAACUGAGGACCCGGCCCGAACCAGCCCAUUUCAACCGGGCCAGGUUAGGUUCGGUUCUUAUAUUAGAAAAUGUUGUUCCCGGCCCGUUUCUCUUAAGCCCGGAUCCAGUCCGAUCACUUCGAAAUUGGCCCCAACCCGGCCCGGGCCCACCUCUAGUUUUAACGAUAAGGACAAAAUAAAGGGUAAAGUGAAUAGUACCAAGUUUGACUUUUUAGUGUAAAAAUGUAAUUUUUCGUUAAAAUAAGAUUUUAAUGGAUUCUAAAAUCCUUAAUUAAGAAAUUAGGCUUCAACCCAACUCAUCUUUGCAACGCCGGUUCCACUUCACAUCAACAGGCAAUGUUUUCUCCUCAACAAAUAGUAUUCUUUUAUGAGACAAAGACUAAUGAGGGUGAUAUAUAUAAUUAAUAAUAAUACUUGUGUUCCCUUUGUGAGUGAAUGCACUUAUUUUACCAUUCUCUAAUAAUGUAUCUUUAUUAUAUAAAUUUAUAUCAUGUGGAUAUCUUCCUAUAAAAAAGUUAUUCAAAUUGGAAAUCCUUACGUCAUCAAAAUAUAUAAAAAAAUGGACGAUCUCAUCGUAAAUAUGUUAGUUACUCACACUAUAACUUUGUAUAUUCCCUCACGUAGGAAACGCAAUAAUUAUCCUCUAAUUAAUUCUUCUUGAGAGUAGAAUUUUUAUUGUUGGUUUUUCGCAACCUUCAGACCUAAAGCUGAUAUGGACCUCUCAUUGUUUUUUGGGUUGCCGUUCUUAUUUUGCUUGGUCCUUUUACCUUUUCUAUAGUUGUUUAUCUAGUUCUUUUGAGCCUCGUACUAAUUUUUAAUGUAAUGAAAAUUAUCUUCGUGAUAAAAAAAAAAAUCAUUAGUCCUCGUAUGAACAUGCGAUGUAACACACUUUCAUGGAACAACAGAUGAUAAAGACGAUAUCCAAAUUUUCUCUGUGUUAUGUGGACUUUCCCAACCAAAUAAAUAAUAACCAAUAAACAAAUAAAUAAGAGUUUAACUUCAAACAUUGAGAAGCGAAAUUCCAACACUACGAGCCUAACUUUUGUCUUCAUCAUCAUCAUAGACUAGUCUCCUAUCCAUCAACUCCUACAUCAAUUUUUUUUUUUACUAGAUUGUAGCUCACUUUCAAAAGAGUUACGUAAAGUAUUUAAGCACCAUAAAAGAAAAUUAAACGACAACGAUUGACAUAAUAUUAGUAGUAUCAUGGUCUAAAAUAUUCAUAAUAUCUUGAUAUUUUUAUUGAAAUUUUCGUGUUUUUAGACUACCUAUAUUUUCAAUAUCAUCGAUAUUUUAAACCUUGCUAAGUCACUCAUGUAUCUUACCAUGCAAUGUAUAAAGUGUAAAAUAUUGUACUAAUUCAUUAUAUAUAAAUGAUUAUAGUGUGUUUAAACUUCUUUCAUUAAUUACUACAUAUUUUCUACACUCACAAUGUUUGCCAGCUCGCUAUAUAAUCAACUUAAAUCAAUUAUAUCUAUCAUGUAAUGCAUUUCCUUCCAAUUUUUUGUGAUAAACUAAUAGAUAAUUGACUAAAUAAACAUCCUGCAAAGUUUCAAUAAAAAUUUCCAAGUUUUUCUUACAAUUUCCGUAGUUUUUAUUCAAUUUUUAUCGAUAUCGAUAAUAUCCCGAUAUUUCCAUCGAAAUUUCCGUAUUUUUAGACUACUGAUAUUUCCGAUAUCAUCGAUAUUUUAUACCUUGGUAGUUAUACAUUUUAUCGGCCUCAUUUUUAUGCAACUUAUACAUUAAAUUAUUGUCAAAAUGUACAUAUAAAGUAGCUGAUCAACGAUGAGAUUUUAGGCAACCAUUUUCUUCUACGACGUCAAAGGUUGUAGAGGUGGCCAUGUGCACUACAUGCGUAAAUCAACUAGGGACUUGGAUCCUCUCUUAAGCCCAAGGAGAGGAUCCUCCUAACCAAAUGACUUGGAUUGUUGGAUGAAAAUCUAACGAUUACAAACAGAUGAUCUCUUUAAAGUUAUAAUAUUUAUUACCGUUGAAUUUUCAUCAAACGGUCAAAUAUCAUUGGUCAAAAGGGUCCUCUCAUUGGGCUCAGAGAGGACCCAAGUGCAUCAACCAGAACUAUUGCUAUUAUAACAAUUCAUGAAAUCAAUUAAACAAUAAUUUUCCUUCUGGCAGGCAUGUUAGUUAUUUCUUAUUUGGCCAAUUGCCUAGUGGAUUUGGUAGAUUUAACCUCUCCACCACAAACACAUUUAAAAAUUUCCAGAAAUCCGUAACGUAAAAUUUAAAAAUAAAUAUUAAUAACAGCAAGUUCUUUUCACCGACCGUGACCGAGAUCUGUCACAUAUCCAAAAUGUCACCUCCUUAUCGCAAAAACCAAAUUUGACUUGGGAUAAAUACCGUGUACAAAUUAAACGCGUUUCUCUAGCUUUUGCGUAAAGAGGCAACCCAACACUAAACUAGGAAAACGUUGGGUUGACAAAGAUACCAUGAAGAAUAAAGGGGUUAUGCAAUCCACUUUGCAAGAUAAUCAAAGUUUCCCGUUGUAGACUUGUCUUAACCCAACACUAAACUAAGAAAACGUUGCUUUCCCGUUGUAACAUGAAACAACAUUAAACAACAUUAAACAAUAUUAAAUAACAUUAAAUAACAUAAAAAUUAUACAACAUAAAAAAAACCAUUUAACAACAUAAAACUUAAAAUGCGUACUUCUUGCUUCUUGUGGCCUAAAGAUGUGCAACAAGAUCUUGAUGUAGGUACUUGUUUGUGGCACGAAAACGUAUCAUCCUAGCCGUUGGAUUUGAAUUUUUUUUGUUUUCGGCCAAAAAAUUUUAAAUUUAAAAGUUGAAGAUGGUGAGAAAUAUGAUCCUACACUGUUCAUUAAAAUAUUAAUUUCUUGAAUGACCAAAAGGCUAAAACAAGCCAUCCUUCGGUUGGAGAUGCCUAAGGAGAGACUAGAGAUAGAGAGUUUCCUAUAUAUGAUUUUCAUUAACAAGAUUGAAAUGAUUUCAGAGAGAAGAUCAAGUAUGGUUAUUUUUAUUUUGUAGAGUGUAGACAUUAUAACUAUACAUUCAUAAUAACAUGAGUAAUGUUAUAUUUAUCACAUUUGUACUCUUUCUCUGAUAAAGGUAGGGUUCAUCAACACAUGUGGGUUCUAUUUGCCCAUCAACACAUGCGGAUCUCAUUUUUAUUAGAAAAAUAGUACAAAUAUGGUACGGAAAAUAUGAUAAGAUCGCAAUUUUGUAAUAACAUAUAUACUCAACUAUUUAUAUACCGACCCAUCUCCUUUUAGUGUAGAUAAUAUCGUUUGUUAAAAAAAAUGUUGAACUUGUCAUAAUCAUUGAAUCCAUUUACCAUGAACAAACGGCAGUUUACUAAACUUGCCCUCAGAGUAUAUAUAAAAGGUGAAUCACAAUCUAUUGCAUUAAUAUAAGGAAACAAUUUAUAGGGUUUGACGGGUGACUUAAUAUGCUAUAUGGCACAAUGAAAAUUAAGUUCACACUUUAUCCCAAAUAAGGUGUUGCACCUUUAAUUUAUGGAUGCUGGUUUGACGUGUGACCGAAAUAAUCAAAUUGUAGCCAUUAAUCAUUUUACAAGUAAUAAUAUGUAGUUUUUACUGUUUACGAUUCACACAACAAUCUGCUAGGAAGUAGAAAAUGCAGUACUUGUCCCUCUCACAGAAGUCAUGAAUAAUUAUCAAAUUCAAAGAUAAAGAAAAACCACACAAUUUACAAGAGGAAAGAAAAUGAAGGGAUAAAGAAAGUAAGAAAGGAAUACCUCUAUGGGAGGACUCUUAUUUGCUUCAGAUGCCUACAAUAUUCAUCAUAUAAACACUGAUUAAGUAGUCAUCGAAAACCAAAACAAAUGUCGAACAUAGGGUGAAAAACAGAAAGAAUAACCGCAGCUCAUCAUACCAAUAGAGAUAGAACUGCCCGAUGCCCAAGUAUGACUGAAAAAUGGCAAUCCAAACAUGGCGCCUUCUAGCUCAUCAAACUGUCAAAACCUAGGUUCCACCAAAAAGAUACAAGUCACCUAGUUACUUGUAAAAUAAAAAUCUGUUUCAAAAUAGUGGAAAAUAUUAUUAACAUUGUUCAAAGUCCACAUUGUUGUACCUACCAAGAAACAAGAAGGAUUGUAUCUUAUCAUGAAAAAGAACAUAGGUACCUUUUCAAUUGUAAUUGUACAAAAAUGAGAGACCACUUCCGAACUUCUCUUGGAACUUCAAUCAAUUUCUGCCCACUUUUAAAUGCCUUGACAUACUUAAGCCUAUUUCUUUGAGCUUCAGUUUUGGCUUCUGAUGCCUUUAAAUUUCUUAAAGAUUCUUACCAAGUUUUACAAACUCACUUCUAUACAACCAUUUGUCAGUAUACAUACCAUUUUCUUUGAGCUUCAGUCUUUGCAACACCAAAACCCCCCAAAUAGACCCGGAAUUUUGCAAUGUGCAGGGAAUAUACAAAAAAAACCCUCCUAUCCAUCUAAAACGAAAUCAGAACCCAAACCACAAUCAAAAUCCGUAAAAUUAAUUUAGCCAACCCUAAAUCUAAUAAUUCUAACAAAUAUUAUAGUAUCAAUUGAGAGAGAAUUUGAGAAGAUACCUAGAGAUGAAAGGAAGAGCGUUUCCUCUGAUAGGGGUUCCGUGAAAGCAUCUGUUGACCAGAAAAGAAAAGGCAAAAAACCCCAAAUUACAUAUCAAGCAAUUAUAGAUAGAUCGAACCUUGAAAAUUGAAAUUUCAAACAAGAGAAAGGUUAUAAACUUACAACGAUCUGGGUGUUGGUUACUGGGUUUGGAUUUGGGUUUCUGAUAAGAGAGAGAAUCGUAUGAGGAACCGAUAGAGGAACUGCACCGGCAACAGAGAGCAACUGAUAUGGUGGAGAAUAGAGAUGGGCAAAAUAUCCCGGUUAUCCGCCCAUUUAAAGUUCACAGUUACGGUUAUGGUAAUUGAACGGUUAUGGGUACUACCCGUGGUUAUAACGGGUAUCUAUUGGUUAUGGGUAUUAUCCGCGGUUAUAACAGGUAUUCAUUUACCCAUUUAAUUUCAUAUAUGUAAAAUUUAUAAUAUUUUUAACAGUUAUAACGCGUUUUUGUAUUUGUUGCCAAACUUUUCGUAUACAAAAAAUUUGAAGCACAAGAAGCCAACAAGGAGAAAGAUCAAAGAGCUUACUUGAAGCUUAUGAUCUAUCCUGCGGUUAAUAGAAAGUACUGGUAUUAGUGUAGAAAAAUGUUUGUUUUUAGAAGCUUUAUUUUGUAAUCAUAUGAAUUAUAAUUAAAGACUUGCUUGGGUGUAGUAAAAAAAUAUCGUUUGUAAACUAUUAUUUCAAUUAUUAGAAUUGUAUGAUGACCUAAAUGAUUAAAAUAGAGAAAUGCAUGCUAAAAUGUAUUUAUAACAGUGUUUAAUUGUCAGAUUUUUUUUUUUUUUGUAAUUUUCAAGUUGUUAAAAAAAACAUGCAGAGAGGUGAAAAAAGGGAUUAAAAAAUGAUAAACGGGUUCAAAACGGGUAAACGGGUAAAUGAUUAUGGUUAAAUAGGUAAACGGUUAUGGGUAAAUGGGUACACGGUUAUGGGUAUGAGUAUAACCGUUUAUGCAAUUACCCAACGGGUAAACGGCUAUGUGGGUAUGAACAUAAAUGGUUAUGAGUAAAUAACCGCGGUUACCCGCCCGCUAUAACCAUUGCACAUCCCUAAUAGAGAACAUACGAGAAUAGCCGCUUGGAUGGUCAAUCCAAGAAGAGAAAAUCUUGCCACAAUCACGGUACUUGAAAAAAAAAACAAUUUUAAAGGAGGGAAACAAUCGCGCCUUUUUUUUAAUAGACUCUGUCGACGAUAUUCUUGACAAAUAGUCGGGUGAGCUUAUUUUUCACAACAUUUUAUUUAGGACUAGGUUCGGUUGGCAAAUCGUGUCAAAUUUCUUGUGCCAUUUGCCAGCCACAUAUACAUAAUUACCAAAAAUCAGUUACCGUUCGCCAACCAUCUUCUUGCGGUUGCCAAAAAUCGGUUCAACCAAAAUGAUUGGCUGGUUCGGUUGGUAAAUGGCACAACCGGUGGUUUCCACUUCUUCCUCGCUAUCUUCUAGUUGCAAGGGCUCAAUUUGAUUUUCAGAUUGGGAUGCUUGUUCGGUUGCAUUGUGUGGUUCAUUUUGGGUUAAUCCAUGUUGUGCACUAGCAAUUAAUUGGCUAGACUCCAUCAUCCUAAACAUAAGCAACACAUAUACAUUCAAAAUCAUAUAUAUGUACGUGUAUAUAUAGUAUCAGUAAUCAUCAUGUUAUCAAUUUUGUUAACAAUAUUUUCUAUAUUGAUUAUGGCAUGAAUCAUAUACAUAUACAUAUAUUUUUUAAACCCUAAAACUAAGGAGUUAUUUAUUUUCUAAGCCCUAAAAUUGAGGAGUCAAGCAUGUAAAAAAAUACUUAAAAUAUCUAAAUAGAAAAAGAAAAAAAAAAAAAAAAAUAUAUAUAUAUAUAUAUAUAUAUAUCGGUAGGUAUGGCAUACCGCCGACAUACAAAAUCAAUUACCAAAGCCAUGCCAUUAAUUGUCGGUUCGGUAAAAUGCCAACCGAUUAUGAAAAAAUGCCAAAACUAUACCAUACCAUUUUGAGCCAACCGGUAUGGUUCGGUCGGUAAAUCGGCUUAUGGCAAAAUUUCUCACCCCUAAUUUUAUUUGUCGCCUUAAACCUAUUGGUUUCUAGCCUACAAUUUGGAUAUUUUGUUGGGGAAAGAUUUUUGUACCAAUAAAAUUUUGCUUUGUCAGCUUAGGAUUUGUCGGCAAAAUGACAUUUUCUAGUCGUUAUAAUAUUAGGUAGAUCAAAUUUGUAAACUAUGUGAUGUGUCACCAAUAGGAAAAAAAUUCAGUGUGCUGAAAAUACAGUCUAGAACACCAAGUGUCAUAAUAUAUACUUGGUUGGAAAUUUUUUAUUUUCAAGUUUCCAACUAAUUGUAUUGUAACAGUUGGUGUUCCAAGCUAUUUUCUCGAUGCGUUGGAAAAUCUCUUCACCAAUUAAAAAUAAACAUAUUAAUUAACACUUAAGUAAUAAUCAAAGUAUCAACAACUACGUCAUAAAAUUUACGAAAUAUGAUCUUAAUUAAUGAUCUCCAUGGCAUUACCCUUUAUCUUAGCGUAUACGUACGCCUUCACAUGUUUAUUUGCUGAUAUGCAGCUUGAGUAAAAAUUUCUUUUUAAGAACAUAUAUGUGAAUAUAAACAUAUAUAUCUAGUGAUCCAUGUUGCGUUAUUUAAAAAUAAACAAAUUAAUUAAUUAAUAAAUGAACUGUGUGCAUGUCUGUGUAGAGUAAUCCAUAUGCAUGCUUGAAUCCUGAUCACCACGAAACCAUAAUAUAAGCUACUCAAGGCCCGGAAGCUAGGAUUGAAGAGAAAAACACCCAGUCAGAUUAAGCCAAUAUAUCAAAGUUAAUACUUCGAAAUGUAAGCUUUAAGAUAGAAAAAUCACUUACUACCUUGAGCAGUCGAGCUUCUUCAAUGGCAUGAAGCUUUUAGCAUGAGAUUGACUGCAUCACAACUAAAAUUUUCUCUUGGAAACUACAUAAGGAAUAGCAUGUAUACCUAUAACGUUGAGAAAGUACGCCAAUUUUUUCCUUCUGCACAUUCAUGUUUAAAAGUAAUCCUCAAAUGAACUUGCCCACAAUGAAAUGCAAUUUGAGGUAGUCGAGUGUGUUCCAUUUCCAUUCCAUGGGAAUUACUACUAAACUUUGAGAUGGUAAAGGAUUCAUGAAAUUUUUUACUUUUGAGAUAGCCUCUUUAACAUUUCUCGACUAUAACAAUGAGGGAAUACUUCACCUUGUAUCAAACAAGGGAGAGCGAAAAUCAACUACUAAUAGCAUCACAGAGCCAGCAGAAGAUUGAGGAGGCCAUGAAGAGGAGAGAGAAAAUACACUCUUUUUUUUUGUAAGGACAGAGAUAAUACAUUCAGUAAGGGGUACUGAUGUUUAUAUGCAAUGCUGAUUAGGUUUAAAUAGUCCUAUUUAUUCUGUACAGUGCCAAUAUUACCACCCGUUAGUACACUUUCAAGACACUGUACUCCAGUGUGUGCGCUAUGCAGUACGUAGUACUCCUCAUUUUUUGGGGAAAUUCAUUAUUGGUCUUCAUAUCUUCUUUAUUUUCCUUUUCCUCAUUGUGCCACGUGUUUAAAUCACUAAUUGUAGGUAAUCUUUCAAUUUAAUUAAAUCUUAUGUAAAAAAAGAUAUUUAAAUAUCAUUUAGUAUUACAAGAUAGUGAUAUUCCUCUUUAGUAUAAAAUUUUUAUAAUUAAAAGCGUUCAGUUUUUUAAUCUUCAUUUGAAUACUAUCUAUAAAGAAAAAUUAUUCGAAUAAGAGAUCGUUUAUGCAUUCAAAUGUACAAAAUGCAUCGACAGUGUGAGAACGAAUUAAUAUAUUUUUGAUGAAGUACAAUUAUUGAAUACAUUUGAAUGAUCAAAUGAUAUAUGAUUCAAAAUACAUAUUAAGAUAAUAAAUAUAAGUGAAUUGUUAUUAGCACUCCAAGAAUCUUAUUAUACACUCUAAAUUUUCUAUAUUUUGAAUGAAAAAUAAAUUUAUGAAGAGUGUAGAAUGAGAUUUUUUAAUGCUAAUAACACUUCUCUAAAUAUAAUUAUGAAAUUAAUAAAGUAAAGAUACAUGACCUCGUGAAUGAUGUAUGUAUUAUUCAAAAAAUUAUUAAAAACAAAUUGAAAAAGGACGCUGUUGUUGCCACCACUUAUGCAAUGAUCGUCGCUGCCAUCACCAACCCCCAACACCCCAUUACAGCUCAUAAAAGCACAUCAUAAGCAAUUUAUGAAAUAAAUUUACUGGAAUACUAAUUUCCCCCUUAGUUUAGGUCACCAAUGUUUAAAUUUAGGGGUGUGAUAUGCACAUACCUUUUUUUGCUUCUCUCACACUUUUUUUGUUGUUGUCGAAUCAGAUGAAUUGAAGAAGAUCAAUUGACAGAAAUUAACAAGGGGUGUAUGAAAAGUAAAAAUGGAUGUGUAGAUAACACAUCCCUAAAUUUAUCACAACUUUCAUUCCAAAUUUAAUUUUUAUGCGUAGUUUUGUUUGUUCAAAUUUACUUUGACAUUUCAAUUAGUAUUAAAAUCUAAUUUAAAUUUUAGCGUUCAAGCUAGAAAAAGUGUUCCAUUUAAUAUUUAAUCUCAGUUUUUCUCUUUAUUCUUUUAUUCCGAUUUGGUUGCAUCGUAUCUCCAUUUUUCUCGGUGUUGUAUGUUCAUAAGGCCUGGGAAACGUUGGCACGGAGUGAAGGGUACUCACUUUUUGGCCCAAAAUGCAUAAGGCAUGUAGAUAUGUUAAUCAAAUUUUGUAAACUAAAGGAUAUAGAAGUUGAUACUUAGAUUAUAAUUUAAGAUAAUACUAAAGAGACUAAAUUUGCAAACUAAAUGAUGUGUCACCAAUAAAAAUAAGCACGUUUAUCAACGCUUAAGUAAUAAAUCAAUCAUCAACUUUCAUGUCCUUUAGUUUCCAAAAUUUAAUAUACAAAUUUAGUCUCCCAAGCAUUACUCUAUUACUUAAGUAUUGAUUAACAGACUUAUUUCUUAUGGUGACAUAUUAUUUAAUUUACAAAUUUAGUCAACCCAACAUUACUCUUUUGAAAUUGUCUUGUCCACUGAUAUAAUUCUAUUUUUCUUGUGAUCAAAACUUCAAAUGUUAGCAAGUCGCACGUAAAGUCACUUCUGAGAGAAUGUGCUCACAUUGUAGUUGAAAGAUUAUGUGGCUAGCAACAUUACAAAUUUAAUUUGGUAUAAUUUAAAAUAUAGAUUGAGGAAAAAAUGAUCACAUUAACUAGAAACUGAAAAGGUUUCAGCACAGUUUGUUCAAGCAAGAAACUCAAUUUUGAUGCUACCGAUCUUAACAGCCUGAGCGCCGUACCUGGGCACUAAAGUCACCACCACACUCUCAUCAUCUUCAGCACCCAAAUCCUCCAACAGGUCCGUUAACCCCAACCUUAAACAACUCUUGCUCUUUUCCUUCUGCUUAUGUGGAACACUCACAAAACUCCCAGCAAACUCGCUCUUGUCGGGUCCACUCGGUGCCGCAUCCUCAUCGUCCACGUCAUUCACAUACACAUCAAACUUCACAGCCACAUCUUUGUCAAGCUCAAUCCCCUGAAUCACCAGUAUCUCCUCCUCAUCCUCUUUCUCCUUCUUGCUCCUCUUCUUCGGCUUCGGCCUUGACACCACCGUACUUAUCUUUGUCUCCAAAUUUAUUGGAAAAUCUUUACCCGCCACCACCUUCCCCGAUGACGUCGUCUCAGCGGCCUUCGCCACUCCAGCCGCCUUUGCCUUUCUCGCAAGCUUUGUCCGACGUGGCGUCGGUCUAGACUUGAGCCAUGGAAUCUCAACAUCUUCAUACGUAUACCCUAGCUUUUUAUUAUCAAGAGUGUCCCUCACCGUGACCCUAACAAGCUCAGCAUUCUCGUCAUAAAACAAAAACCCCGUAUCCAACCAAUCCUUAUCGUUAAUAUCUUUAUUUUUAGUCCCUAUACUUUUCCAAAUAUUCCACAUUCGAUCUAUAUUCGAAUGGUGCGAAAAAAAUAUUGGAUCCCUUGCAGCGGAGUAAAAAUUCCCCAUGUCUUCAAAAUUAGGUUGCGUGUUAUCUCCGGUCCAUGUAUGAACCGGACCAUGUGGGGUCGUUUCGAUUGAACCGGCCCCUGGAUCUGGUUCGGUGCCAGCCCUGUAGGGCGAACCAAAGAACAACAGCGGUUUCUUGGAGUUGGAAACCAUCUGCCUAUACAUGAUUUUGAGGUUGGCGUCGAUUUGAGCAUCCUUGGACAUUGUUUCAUCCGUGCCGUUAAAGUCAAGAUCGAUGAGAGUCGGCGGCUGAUGGCUGGCAGCGCGGAGCUCGUCGUAAAGCGGAGAGUCCGGGUUAGCGAACAAGGCAGGGAGUUGCAUGCCAGCUGGCGCGUCCCAGUUCCAAAACGGCAACGCGAACGUCGGAUCGUCUAUGAGUUUGGCCAAGAUUCUUUCGUGGAAGUAUAGGUAGUAACGAUGGAAGGGGAAGAAAAGCCAGGAUUGAUGGAUUUGGAGCUCGAGGUUGGGGAAGCCGACUUGAUCGUACGCGCCGUCGCAAUAGGCACAGUGGAUAUCGGCUUGCUGGGUGAAGCUACGCGGAUCGUCGUCCGGGAGGGCUUUCAUGAGCUCGAUGGCUUUUGAAUAUUUUUCGAUGUAGGCUUUAUCCACGGUGUGAGCUGCCGGCCUGACGCGGAGUUUGGUAGGGGAGGGGAAUUUGAAGUCUACGAUUUUUUGGGACGUUGGCGGGCAACAGUUGGUCGGGACUGCUCCACUUGGAAAGUCCGCACCUCCGCAUUUGGCUAGGUCAGGCGGCGACACUGGCUUUGCAACAGCGAAGGGGUCGCUGCCAAGACCAGCCACUCCACCGUACAGGCUUCCGAGACCUAUAAGUACAUGUCUUCUGUCUAGGUUUACUGGAGAAAGGUUUUCAUGGUCGUGAUCGUUGGAGCUAGUGGAAGGGUUUUUGUUUUGGUCACUACUAUUAUUCGUGGCUUUGCAUGAGACGGCUUGUAAAUUGGAAUGCCUAGGGUUUUCAAAUAAGGAAAUUCGGUGAUACUUUUGGGAGAAAGGGAAGAGAGAAGUUGUGGGGAUGAUACUUGUGGUGGAGGUGACGAGUGGAGCUGACAUAGAAGCCAUGGUUACUUGACUCUGAAUACUACGUUGUAUAGGCUUUGCUUUUAUAAUGUGUUCUAGGUUUUACUUUUCUUUGCACAGGUGGCAGGCCGUACACAUUGGCGGUCCUUAAGGGUUUGACGAGGAAUACUACGUAGUCAUUUAGUACAGGGCAACCAUGCACUAUAGCACGUGGCAUGUAAUAUUUACGUAGUCUCAGAAGGUGAAGCGGUUUUGGGCUUCUUGUGUACCAAUAAUAUUUACGUACUCAUUAUUCCACUGGAUGGAUUGCGUGCACGUGAUCUUUAUUCAAACAAAUCACUAUUGACCAUAUAUUGCAAUUGGUUAAUGUUAGGCAAAUUAAAUUUUUACAUCAAAUAAUGUGGUUGCUGAUUAUUGAAUUAUUAUUUAAGUUUGAUUAAUGUGCUUAUUUUUUAUCGGUAAUACAUCAUUUGAUUUGCAAAUUUGAUUUACCUAAUAUUACCAGUUAUAAUUUGUAUAAAUGGACUGGUACCUAACAUUACCAAUUGUAAUUUGUAUAAAUGGACUCGUACCUAACAUUACCGGUUGUCCCAAGAGCACACGCUACUGCUCAAGAAGCAAAGUUCUUAUUUGCCCAAAAAAAAUCAUGGUUUUUUAAUUGAUGCUCUCAUUUUAAUUUACUAGCCCCUUACUUGGCCCUUUUUAUUUAUCAUUUUAUACAUAUUAAUAUUUUGUUUGUAAAAUAUAUUAGUGUUAGUUUUAUCAAAAUUAAAAAUAAAUAAAAAACUUAGCUUUAGUAUUUAGUUAUUGAAAUUGUAAAAAAAGUGAUAAAGUAUUGGGUGCUUUGUUUGAAAAUUUUCAAAAUGAUAUUGUUUUUACCACUGAACCCCUGUUAUAUACAGUGAUGGCUAAUUUGUCAAGUUCUACGAAGUUGGGAUACCCAGCGUUUUAGCAUAUAACAUAGCUUAGUAUUUCAAGCAUAAUUAAUUAACGAAAAAUUAGUAUCCGGUCCCUAGUUUUUACUGUUCAUUGACUAAGACCUUAUUAGUUCUCAAAUUUUGAUUCAAGUCCCUAGCAUUAAUGUGAUAAUGAAUUUACAUGUUUAUUAUAUAAUUUUUUAAUAUAAAAAUUAGUAAUUAAUUUAGGGUUUAAUACUCACACCUCUAUUAAACUUCUAAUUAAUUUUCAAUUCAGACAUUUCCAAAAUAAUAAAAAAUUAAAUUAAAUUAAGUUUGUACCUAUUAGUUUUUUUUUAUAUAUAAAAAGAUUCUCAAUUUUUAAUCUUAAAUGUACAUCUUAAAUGUACCCAUUCUCAAAUAUAUCAAUUUGUUAUAUGUAAAAUGUACCCUUUUUUAAUAUAAAAUCCAUUCAAAAUUUUUAAUCCAUGUUUAAACUUAUAUGGGUACAUUCUUUUUCGUUGAUUUGAGAAUGUAUCCAUGUUUUGGUACAAUAAAUUUUUUGUUAAUUUUGGUUAAUGUACCCAUACAUAUAUGUACACACACACACACACACACACACACAAUAUAAUAGAGAGUAUAAUUUAUAUUUUAUUAUUUUUAAUCCCAUAAAUGAUGGGUUUUAUUUAAAAUCUCAUUAAUAUAAACAAUUAUAAAUUUCAAUUUUUAAUUUUUAAUUUAAAAAAUAUAGUAACUUACAUUAUUACAUUAAUGUCAGGGACCUCAAUAAAAAACUAAAAACUAACAAGGUUUCAAUCAAAGAAUAUUGAUAGCUAGGGACCACAUCCAAAGUGUCCCUUAAUUAAAGGGUAAAUUACAUAGUAACCCCUCAGGUUUGAUGUCUAUUACAACCCCAUACAACAUCUUUAAAACAUUUCACUUUCAUACCUCAAGUACUAUUUUAUUUCAAUAUAAUACAUCUGUUAGAUUUUCCAUCCAUUAAUCCGUUAAAUGCUGACAUGGAUACCACAUUUGUGCCACGUGGCUGCCAAAUGCGUGUCAUGUGGCAAAAAUAAUAAUUUUUAAAUUUAAAAAAAAAUGAAUCUUCAACCCAAAAAAAAAAAAAAAAAAAAAACCCCAAACCCAGAUCCCAUCAACCCCCCCCAAACGAUUAUCCCUUCCCCAUAUCCCCCAUCCCACCCCCCAACCCCCCCUCUGCGACCAACCUUACCAUAGCGCCCCCCAACCUCGCGACCCACCUCACUCAAGGCCCUAAUCCACACUACCUACAACCCAGAAACGAAAAAAAAAAACAAAAAACAAAAAACUCAUCUCCCUUUCCCUGCAACCCAAAUCCCAUCUUCCCUAAUGGGUAUGGAUUUAAGAAGUGGGGUGUGUAGAGGAGGGAAGAGGGUGGGUGCGGAGGAUGGGUAUGGUGGGUUGCAAGGAAGGGGGGUCGGGUAAGAUGAAGAUGGGUUUUUUUUUUCUCUCUCUCUUCUUCUUCUUCUGGGUUGCAAGUUGUAGGUUGGGGUUUUUUUUUGGGGGGGGGGGGGAGGGAGGGAGGGAAGACGACGUGGGGUUUGGUUUUUUUUUUUUAAUUUAUUUAGAAGAUUUAGGUUUUUUGAAAAAAAAAAAAAAAUUCCACGUGGCACAAAUGUGGCAGCCACGUCAGCAUUUAACAGAUUAAUAGAUGGAAAAUCUAACGGAUGUAUUAUAUUGAAAUAAAAUAGUACUUGAGGUUAGAAAGUGAAAUGUGUUGAUGCACAAAACCGAAGGUCUUUGAACAACGUAAAUCCGAUCGUGAAUAUGCAAGUAAUGUAAAUAACACAAGAUGUAUCGUGGUUCACUCCAAUGUUUGGGCUACGUCCACACUGAUUAUUGUAUUUCUCUGAGAGGUGAGGGGGAGAGCUUUGAGAAAGCUUAGAGCUUAGGGGAUGUGAGAAGGCUUAAGAAUUGGCCUCCCUUAUUUGUGAGGGUGAUGAGUCCUUUUAUAGAAUAAGGGAUCCUCACUUAUUACAUAUUUGCCCAUUCCUUUAUUACAUAAUUACAUUUAAGUCCCCUGAGUACUUGUACAAGGUCUAAAUACGGAGGCCCUAAGUAUGGUACAAACAGUAGUCCCCCAAGUCUUCAGUCAAGAGAGUCUUUUGGCUAGAGACUUGAAAUUCUGUCCAUGUGUGAGCCGAAAUAACUAGAUGUCGUCUAGAACUGAUAUUUGAUAUGCGGCAGUGCCCAUUUUGAAAUAAUGCUCAACUAGAAGUAGCACAUGCUGCGAGGCUGCUCUGCUUGUGUUGCCUUGGUUGGCUCGACUUGUGGCGUUGAAGGUGAGAGAGUCCCUUUUAUAGAAUAAGGGCUCGCUCCUCAUUACAAAGAUGAUGGGUUAGUUGGUGCUUGCGGUGAGGCGGAUGCUCAGCUGGCGGCGAUGCUCUCUAAUGAUAGUGAGGGAGUCCAUUUUAUAGAAUAAGGGAUCGCUCCUCAAUACAUAAAUAAUAGGUGCUCUCUAAUGAAAGUAAGGGAGUCCCUUUUAUAGAAUAAGGGCUCACUCUUCAAUACAUAAAUAAUGGGCUAAGUCCCCUAAGUAUUUUUUAUGAGGCCUAAUUGAGGCCCAAUAUAUGGUACAUAAUGUAGUCCCCCAAGUCUUCGGUCAAUAGAGUCUGUUGGCUGGAGACUUCAAAUUGAAUCCAUGUAUGGGCCGAAGUGGCGGUUGUUCGGAAGCGGUAUUUGUAUACCCUGCACUGAAGCUUUAUAGGUGAAGCUUUGCAAGUGAAGCUUUGAAGCUGGAGCUCAGUAAAUGAAGCUUUUGAAGCUAGAGCUUUUGUAAAUGAAACUUUUGAAGCUGGAGCUCUAUAAAGGAAGCUUUUGUAAAUGAAGCUUUUGAAGCUGAUUCACAUGAGUGAUGCUCAUGAAUGUUUAUGUUGAUUGAUAUGAGUGAUGCUUAUGGAUGUUGACAUGAGUGAUGCUCAUGGAUGUUGACGUGAUGCUCAUGAAUGUUAACAUGAGUGAUGCUCAUGAAUGUUUAUGUAUGAUUGAUAUGAGUAAUGUUCAUGAAUGUUUAUGUAUGAUUGACAUGAGUAAUGCUCAUGUAUAAUUUGAAGUACUGGGCAUACUUUUGAUUACCUGGUUGGCGAUAAUAGCGGCAGGGUGCCGAAUAAUUUUUUGUAGUACUGGGCGUACUUUUGGUCACCUGGUUGGUGAUAAUAGCAGCAGGGUGCCGAAUAAUUUUUUGUAAUACUGGUCGUCCUUUUGGUCACCUGGUUGGUGCUAUUUUGAGCUUAUGGGCCUUCGCCCUCUACACAACAUUCCAGCCUAUUUAUUUUGGGCUUUACCGUUUUUUUUAAUUACCCUAUGAUGGGGUUUAUACAGAUGUCUCCGAAAGAUAUGAAAAAUAAAUUACAUCAUUCAAAAAUAAAUCCGACCCUCUGCUCAAUGGGUCACGCCAAUAAUUCUUUUUUUUUAUGCAUGCCAUCACCACCGCAAUUAUGUCUGCUUCUUUUUAUCUUCUUUUGCUUUCUGCUUUUGCUUUUACUUUAUCUUUCUCUUUUGGCAUAUGGCAGACAACGCCAAAACGGAAUAAUGAAUUAUUAUGAGAACAUGAAUCUUAUCUUUUGCCUGGUUUUCCACUAGUGCUCGUGGUAUUCUCAGGAGAUUGGAUCUGGGGGUAGGCGACUACCCCAGCACCUUGCCCUGAUACGUAAUAGCCUGAUGUCCCACUGCCAUCUCCAUACUGGAAGGUGUACGAACAAUGGUUAUUCUGUGUGGAACAAAUAGAAUCCGAUUGAGAUUCAAGACUGCACCUUCGAUCUGAGCAAGAAAUGAAUUGUGACGUUGAUGAACUUCUAGGAGGAGAAGCAGAGGAUCUUUGACUAUGAUGAUCUUUGAAUUCCAGAUGAAACUGAAUAAAAUGCAGGUUGUGGAGCUUGAUGUGGGCCCAGAUCUGCUUGACAGCUUUGGGGCGGGAGGAUUCCUUGACACUGAGGAAGAUUCCCAGAGCUGGAGGGAUGAGAAUCGACUUCAUAAUCCCGAUGGUGGGUUUGUGCUUGGUCGAAAGAUCAUUUCUGGCAGGGGAAAACAUGUACCAUACCUAUUGCAAAUCUUGCAAAUUCUCUGCUUCUCCAUGGAAGAUGAAGAGCAUCGAAUCUCUGUUUUCUCUCUCUCUCUCUAAAACGUUUUCGUUAUAGAGUGCCCCAAUAGAAGUGGACGGGCAGUGAGCAUGCCAUUUAGUGCCUCCUCCAAGACAGUAACUGAUACGGUGGUCUUUAUUGGCACUCCAAGUUUACUAAAAAGGGCAGCAAAAAUAGUAUUUACAGCACCCAAACUUGAAAGAUCUAGCUCCAACUAGUGGCUUUCUGUUUCAACAGCCUGAAAGCCGGCAGUGUCAUACCGACGCCGUUUGUCUGGAUCAAAUAAUAUAUUAUAAGAAAACAUGACCUUCUUGAAGAUAUCAGCUGUUUUAGAGUCAUUAGCAUUUUUGUCAGGAUGGUACUUGAGAGCCAUUUUCCGGUAAGCACUUUUGAUUUCCUGGUUGGUGGAAUUCCUAUUGAGGCCGAGGACCGCAUAAGGGUUUUGUCGGAGCUGCUUCUUAGCUUCUUGCUUCUCCGAUUUUGAUCGGCUGCCCUGCAUUUUUGAAAUUGACGGUCAAUUUCUUCACAAAACCCUAGAAAUUGCCUCUCGAUUACCUCCGAAACACAUAAUUCACGACUCUUGGUUGAAAUUUUUUUUUUUCAUUUCAAAGAAGUGGCGGAGGUAAAUCAGUUGUCACAUAGCACCGGAGCAUGAGGAAAACCUAGAAAACCAAGAGGCAGAGAGACUCCAUGCACAUCUAACCUGGAACCUUGCAGGAGAGAGCAGAGAGAAAGAGACAAGAAAGAUUGAGGGAGAAGCGAUCUUGGUGCAUCGUCUGUGAUUCCUUGGUGAUUUGCUCGAUCGGGACUCUGAAUUCGUGCAAGUCAUUGCUGUUAAGCAAGAAUCGCGAGGAGUCGGAGAGCUUGGAAAUCGAGAAGGAGAGAGGGCCUUUAGUCAGGGCUUGGAGGGUGUCGGACUCCGUCGGCCAAGAUUGGUGCACGGUCACGGCGUCUGGGCCCAUGGCGGUUGUGUAAAUGGGGGAGGUUCUAGGAGUCCAAGAAAGAAGAAGAAGCAGCGACCAUAGAUCUGGGAGUCCAUGGCGCUUGAAAGAUACGGCGAACAAGUCGGACUUGCUGCUGGGCAGCUGGCGGUGAUAAUGUUGGUGCAUGGGUUUUGGAGUGGGAGUGUUUGGAAUGGGUUUUUUGUUUAGUUUCUAUGUGUUUUUUCACAGAGAGAGAGAGAGAGAAGUGAUGGUGUUUAAGGGAUGAGUUUUGGAGCUUAGUGAAUGCUUUUUCUGGAAAAGCCCAGUGAGGUUUGUGGGUUUUUGCAGAUUUUGCAGAUUCGCGGUGGAGGUGAAAGAAUGAAAGAGAACCGACACAACUUUUCGUAUUGAUUCCCACAUACGGCGCCAAAUGUUGAUGCACAAAACCGGAGGUCUUGGAACAACGCAAAUCCGACCGUGAAUCUGCAAGUAAUGUAAAUAACACAAGAUGUAUCGUGGUUCACCCCAAUGUUUAGGCUAUGUCCACACUGAUUAUUGUAUUUCUCUGAGAGGUGAGGGAGAGCUUUGAGAGAGCUUAGAGCUUAGGGGAUGUGAGAAGGCUUAGGAAUUGGCCUCCCUUAUUUGUGAGGGUGAGAAGUCCUUUUAUAGAAUAAGGGUUCCUCACUUAUUACAUAUUUGCCCAUUCCUUUAUUACAUAAUUACAUUUAAGUCCCCCGAGUAUUUGUACGAGGUCUAAAUACGGAGGCCCUAAGUAUGGUACAAACAAAAUGUUUUAAAGAUGUUGUAUGGGGUUGUAAUAGACCUCAAACUUGAGGGGUUACUAUGUAAUUUACCCUUAAUUAAAAUAAGGGCAAAUGAAGAGGAUGGUUGAACUUGUUAAGUUUCUUAAGUGUGUCUAAUUUAAGUGUGUUGUUAAUAAACAUUUAUUAUGGAGGCAAAGAGAGGGAAGGUGCGGCAUAGAAAGAGAAGAGAGAGAUAUGUAAUUGUGAGUUGUGUUUUAUUCCAUCCCAUUGUGCAUUUAUUUAUAUUAGUUGGGAAAGUUAAUUCUUUAACCUUUUAGGAUUACAACUCUAAUAGGAAAAUAUAUAAUCUAAAAGAUAUGGUAGAAUCCCAUAAGAAUAUCCUAGAUAUGUUAGGAUUUACACAAUCAUAUUCCUAUUCCAAUAGGACUGCAAAACAUUUGUAUUUUUUUAUAAUUUUUUUGAUAAUUUGUUGGCAUUUUCAAUUUUUGUUAACAUUGAAAAUAUAACGGUUCAGAUGAAAAACCUUUGGAAAUCCAACAUUGAAAAUAUAACAGUUUGACGUUGGGCUGUGGUGAAGGAGGCUGGGCUGUCACGUGGGUGGGGCCCUCCCUCUCCCACUUGGUGAUUCAAAGGGCGCAGGCCCGUGCAACAAUUGAGGCAGCCCAUAGAGAUCCUGCGUUUCACCCAUUUGCCAUUUUUUCCACCGCUGGAGCACCAAAAUUCGGUCCAAAGGCAGGGGUUCCAAUUGCAUGGGCAAUUUGGUUUCCGCUGGAGGUGCUCUUUGUCGACUUUGUUUAUUCUUUCUUUUUAGCUUUGCAGUAAUAUUGAAGUAAUCACUCCAAUUGUAUCCGAACUUUUGUUGUCCAUCAAUUUGUAUCAAAACUAUUGGUUAAUUUACAUAUUCAGACUAACCUUCUCAUUAUUUUUAGUAUUUUUAUCAUAAAUAAUAUCUAAAAUAAUCACAUUUUAUUCAACAACCACUCAAUUAAAAAUUAAUUAAUGUUGUUUCUAAACCAUUACAUCGAGCUUUUGUAAAUACACAUCAAUAUUGCAGCGAUCCGAGGCAUUGUUUUCUACGCCUUGGAUUUGGCGAAUUGGAAAAGAGAAGAGUUACGAGUAAAAGUCCCUCACAUUAAGAGGGCUCCUCCUCGGGGAGAUGAAGAUGAUGAUCUUUUGUUUUUGUUUCUUAAUGAUUAAUCCACGCAGCAACAUAUAAUUAGAUUGUUGGGAUCUACUCAAGUUCCAUAUCACGCACUAAUAUAAAGUUUGACAAACGAAACGAAAUAUGUGCUCUCGAAAGCAAAAUGAGGGCACUGCUCCAAGAACAGGAAGGGCUCCUUGUCGAGGUUGCCAUCCGCCAUGAGGGAAAACCGGAAGAAGUUAGACAACAAUGAUGACAUCGAUUUGCAACACCCAUAUUGGGACAUCAAACUGUGAAAUAAAUACUCAAAACUCCUGGAAAGUCCUCGGGACAACAAACUUUUAUCUCCUUCAAAUAUUUCAUUUUACCAAGUUUUAUGUUUGAAGGGAGGGAAAAAAAGAGAUGAGAGAAUCCUACUCCUUAUUCUUGAAUAUAUUCAGGAAUAACUAUUGAAUAAAGAGAGAAUGGAAGGGGAUCGAAAGAGGAGGGAAGAUAAUUCUAGUCCCAAACAUAAAAAGGACCACAACUUUUAAAUUAUCAGCACGAUCAUCAUCUGAUUGAAGAGACCAUUCAUUGUGAAACAUAUCGUCAAUCAAUAUGUCUAUAUCUAUUUAUAUACCACAUUUUUGGAGUAGGAUUCUCCCCCCUCCUAUUACCAUCCCCUUCCAUCCCCUUCCAUCCCCUCCUUUCAUACUUUUUUUUUUCUUAUUCUCUAUAUAAAAAAUUCAAAACAAGAUGUAGAUGUGUCGUAAUCGCAAUAGUUUAAAUAAAAGGAGAUGGAAGGAGAGAUAAAUUACGAGGGGAGAGAAUCUUACUCCCACAUUUUUCUUCUUCAUAAACAAAAGAGAGGUUCUAGAUUACUUGACUCUAUGCCUCAUUUUUUUCAUCAAGUAUUUGUGCUAAACGGGUUCAGUUUCAAGUAUUUUAGUUUUUUGUCAAAAUUGAGAAAACUGAAAAUCAAACAUUAAUAUGCAAAAUUAAAAAAUCAACACAUAAUUAUUUAGAAAUCGCAAUAGAAAAGAAAAAAUGGAGGUUUGUGAUGAAAAAUCUUUUAUACUAAGUAAUUUAGUAUCCUUAUGCAUGAAGAUAAUCAAUUCGUUCGUUAUGGUCAGACUCUUUUUGAAUUUUUGAACACAUUCUCCAUAGGGCCUUCUUAUUUGUUCCUUCUCCGAGUUGGGGUUAUGGAAGAAGUAAAAGAAGGAACCAAGAAGAAAGUAUUGGCAACAACCGAUUUCGUUACGGGACAACUCUUGAUAUUCAUAUCGAUCUAUUAUGUACCUUUGCAUCUAGCAUUAGACAAUAACUGUCAUAGCUUUACCAUAUUUUUUUGUUUCAUUUCUUCUGAAACAAUAACACACACUUUUUUAUUAUGUGUCUAAUACUAGGAAUUCAAUACAUAAUCUUAGCAUUCAAUAGUUAUUCCUGAAUAAUUUCAUUUUUCAAUUGAUCAACCAUUUCAUUUUUCCAAGUUCAAUCAAUGUUAGUCACAUUAGUCAACAUUUAUAUAUUUUGAUGCAACAACAAUAUGUUAUUUGUAACAAGUGAUUUUGCUAGUUGGUUAAUUGGUCACAAGUUAAUGUUCGGUUCAGUUCAGCUUUUCUCUCGAUUUUUUGCGAUUCGGUUUUUUCGAUUCUCUUUAGAUUCGGUUCGAUUUUGUUUUUUUAUUUAUACUUAAUUUUUUUUAAUCUGAAAACACCAAGAACAACACAAGCAUACUCAAUCAAACAACUAUCCUUCUCCACAAAUCACAGUAAUAAUUACAUUCAUUUAGCUAAAAUGCAAAUAACUAACAAACUCACAAAAAUCGAAUAAAAACUACAAAUUGCUUACUCUUUUUCUUUGGGUUUCACUCGAAAAGUGUCGGUAAAAUUUAGGGUUUGCAAGAACGCAACCGAAAUCCAAAACGGAGGCUCUGUGGCUUGUGGGCUGCUAUUGAGUUCCAGUACGGAAAACCUUGCUUACUCUCUAUCACGGUACAAAGUAUCAGUACCUUUAGCACUGUAUUUGGUAGAACCAAAUUAAAAGCUAACAUCAAUAACAACUACCAGAGACAUAAGCUCUUAUCAAUGCUUUGGAAACAGUCAUGUAUCUCCAAGUGUAAUGAUAUAAUUAGUAAGAAAUUUAAAAGAAAAAUGGUGAUUUCAUAUAAAAUCAAUAAAAAGUUACAAUAUUGACAAUAUAUCAACAAUUUUUAUGGGGUAAAUUACAUAGGACCCCCUCAGGUUUGAGGUCUAUUACAACCCCAUACAACAUCUUUAAAAUAUUUCACUUUCAUACCUCACCUACUAUUUUAUUUCAAUAUAGUACCUCCAUUACAUUUUCCAUCAAUUGAUCCAUUAAGAGCUGAAUUGGUUGCCACAUUUGACACGCCCCGAUCCCGAUAUCCUCGGGAUAUCAGGAUGGUCACGUGCUGGCCGACACCCGAGGGUGACGAAAGCCAUUUAUUGAGUGCAAUUGCUGAAAAUAAAGGAUAGAUAAAACUUAUAAAUGUAAAAGAAUAAGGAAUAUGCAUUUAAGGAACGUGUUCAGAGCAUACAACUAACUAGAACACUAAAAGAAUGAUAUAAAAUGGAAUGAAUAAAAGAAUGAGUCUUACACCAAGAGGACUCGAAGAUGCCGAUGCGGAAGUACCUUGAUUGUCGGGAUUGUACGCCUCGAUCCUAAAUCCUGAAGGGGGCGCAAAACAAACAUGAGUGGACCAAGUUGAUAUAUAUAUAAUAAAACAGUUAUCAAUAUACUAACCCCCAGGUUUAUGAAAACAAAUAUAUAAUGAUGAACAUAGGUUUUCCGAAACCUAGCAUGAUGUGCAGUAUCUCAAAUCAUAACUCAUAUAUAAUAAUCACUAGUGAAUUGUCCGAUAACCUGCAGGCCCCAUGCCGGCUCCCCGUCUCUGAGCAGACAGUCAGAGGAAAAUACACUUCAGGCCCCAUGCCGGCUCCCCGUCCCUGUGCUAAAUAGCCAGAGGAAACACACUCCAGGCCCUAUGCCAACACCAAACCGUCGCCCGGGACGGACCGGAAUCUAUUCCUACGUCCCGUAGCGGAAAUGACCACUAGGUAAGUACAAAACCAUUGAACAUACAUAUAUUGAAAAACAACUUCAUAGUAUAAAGUCAUCCAUCAUCUAUACUAUAAAGAGGUGUUCGAAACAUGUUCUAAAUAUCAUAUCGUCAUCCAUCAGAUAUUCUAUAAGAACACGGGUUAUAGGAAAAAUAGUAAUAAUUCAAGGUAGCCUCAGUAAGCAUGUUAUCUCAAAACGUUUCAUAAAACGUAAUCAUUAAAUCAUGCAUUUCAUGUAUGCAUUUCUACUAUUAAAACAUGCUUUUGAAGGGGUCCACUCACAGUACUUAGCCGCCGAAGAGCCACGCAAACUAACGUCACCAAUAUUGCCCCUAAGCACAUAAAUGGUCCAAUUAAUAAAACUAUAUAAUAGCAAUUGGAUUUGGGAAAACGGACGUUGGAAACGGAUUCAGAACGUCGAAUUACCCUAAGAAGGGUCCCGGACGAAAACCCGAAAAGUCAACUCUAAAGUCAAUGUUGACCGGAGGUCAACGGUCAAAUUAGGUCUAACGGGUUUUAGGCUUGAAAUCCGGAUUAGGGUUUAGGUUAAAUAGGAUUAGGAUUUAUUGGGUUUUGGAAUUCUAAGGUUUUUGGGUUAAAAGGGUUUAGGGUGAAAAUGGGUGGUUUGGGCUUAAUCCCAAACUCACACACAACACACACACACACUACACAAACCCUAAAACACACACACACACACGGGCUGCACUAGGGCAGCCCUCACAACACUUCACAAAGGCCCUAAGGCCUUAUUAAAGGACAGGGCUUUAAGCCCUUUAAAGGAUACUGGCCCAAGGCCCGUCAAAAUAAGGCCCGAGGCCUUUGGGUUUUAAAAAGAACAAGAACAAAUUUAAAAGAAAAGGGGCUGGGGUCUACUGGGCUAAGAUAUAACGGGCUUAAGGCCCGUGGGGUUUUCUAAAGGGCCUGAGAGGCCUGGGUUUGUCGAAGGAGAAGGCCGGAAUUUCGGCCGGAAAACCACCCAACUUUAAAUGGCCAUAACUUUGUCAAUACUCAACGAAAUCAAGCAAGACAAAAAUGAAAGUUGUAGCCCUUGAAGCGACGAAGAGAAUGGUUCCUCACACGACGUCUAACUCGCCGUGGUUUGGCCGGAAAAUGCCUCGAAAUCCGUCGGACUCGCCGGAAACUGGGUAAGAUUCAAAUGAGUAUAACUUCUUCAAUACUCAACGAAAUUAAGUGAAACAAAAAGGAAAGUUGUAUUACUCGACGAGACGAAGAGAUUGAUACCUUACACGCCGGCCAACUCGCUGUGGUUUGGCCGGAAAUGGCCUCGAAAGGGGCGGUGCUCGCCGGAGCUUACUCCGUGCCGUCGAACUCGCAGGGUAGGGUCCGGGGUUCGUUGCAAGCCUCUCUUCGAUGGUGACUCGGUCCUAGUGAGUCCAGGGGAAGAGAGAGAUGCGAAAGGUUGAGGGAGAGAGAGACGGGAGAGCUGAGAAAGAGAGAGCUACGGGAGGGAGAAACGAAGAAGAAGAAGAGAGAGAUCAGAAAACAUAAAAAAAAUAAACAAGGUGGGCCCCACGGGCUCACCAAUUAAGGCUUUAAAACAAUUUUAAAAUAUAAAAGAGGGUUGGGGUGUUUCAACAUUUGUACCACGUGGCAAAAAAAAAACCUAAAUCUUCUAUACAAAAAAACUAAAAAAACCAAAAAAAGCAAAAUCGAACACUCCACCCCGCAAAAAUCCUAGCAUCUUCCUUUUAUUCCCCACAACCCCAAAUUCCCCCCCAAAACCCCUAAAACCCAAACCCUAAUUCCUCCCCCACAUGAAGAAAAUCCCAGUCCAAUUCAAUCCCAAUUACCUCAAAUCCCACCAUAGAAACCCUAAAUUUUGGUUCCUCAAUCCCUAGAUUUCCCACGCCUCUGUUGCCUACACCUUAUCAAUCUUUAGCUUUCUCCCUCAUCCCCUCCAUGAACGACACUUUCUCUCAUCCGCUGUUCCCCAGCAACGGCACCGAUACCUACGAGGCCUGGUACGGCAACAUCCAGUACCUUCUCAACAUCUCCGCCAUCGGCUCAUUCUUAUGUGUCUUCUUUUUCACCUUGGUCAAGCUUUGAAGCGAUCGCCGCCGCAUGCCCGGCUCGUCCUCCCUCGUUGCUAAGCUCUUCGCAGUGUGGUAUGCUACCUGUCGAGAGAUUAUGCUCCCAUGUGGCGCUGAGGCCAUAAUACUCACGCACCCAUCUACACACCCACACCACCACUACCGUGGACUCUCUCUCACUCUCCCUCGUCUUUGUAGAGCUAGGUGAAGCCUAGAAACCGAGAACUAGCUCCAGCAAACCCCGUGAGUUUCGAGCCAGAUCCCUGCCGACUCCGACCAUCCCAUGACCAAUCUAAGGUACAAAACAUUUCCCCUUGACUCUAUGCUCUUUUUCGUAUGUAGAUCGUAGGGAAAAGCCCACAGAAUGAGAGAGAAUAGUGACCUGAGAGAGUCCACGGUGAUGGUGGUGUGUAGAUGAGUGCGUGCGUGGGUGUACUGUCGGGGAUAGAGUCUGAGAGAGAUAGAGAGUGAAAGAGUCUGAGAGAAGAGUGACUUGCGAGAGUGAGAGAUUCGAGAGAGACUCGGGAAAAGAUUUAUGGGUUUGGGUUUUUCUGGUUUUUUAUUUUUAUAAUAAUAGGGUUAAUAUUAUAAUAUUUUUAAUGUAUAAAAAUUUCUUUUUUGCCACGUGGCAGCCACAUCAGCACAAAUGUGGUAGUUGUAGAUGCAAAUUUCUUCCUCUUGAUCUUGGACAAUUUUGCACCUACAAAACAAUUAACACCUUAGGUUAAGGCCAAAAGCCUCACACACCCACAAUGAAUGGGGGGCUUUGGCCGAAGAACCUCUGUUGCCAAAGUUAGAAUUUAGAGAGAAAGAGUCUUUACAGAAUUUUGGGAUUUUUGCCAAAGUGUUGGAAUGGCUUUCUGGUGAGAACGGGAUCACUUUUAUAAGGAUAGGAAGUGGUCGGCCUAGCUAGGGUUUUUGGGUUUAAUUUAGGUUUAAUUCUUCAAUUUAUUUGGCUAAUUAAACCCUAAAGAAUAAAUUGGUGGUUACAAAAUUGAUUAUUUGUAUAAAUGGGGUAAUAAAAUGGAGAAAAGUGAAAAAGGUUAGGAAAAGGGAGGUAGCUAGCUUCUUAGUAGUUUUAGGUGUGAGUGGGUGUUUUAAUUGAUAAUUAAGGGAUUGAUUAGGUAAUUAAUCCCUUAAUUAAACAAUUUUUAGGGAAUAUGAAAGGAAAUUAUUAUUUAGCUAAUUGAUUAGCUAAAUAAUGGAAUACAAAAUAUAUAGAAUAAAUUAGGCUUUAGGUAUUACCUUAUAGAAAUGAUUUGAUGAAAUAGGCUUUAAAUUGUUAACUAUUUUGGGCACUUUUGACUUGGUUGAGGAUGAUUGUCUGCCGCUCGCACGUAGGAAUCUCGAUAUGCCUUAAGGGUAUUUUUGUCCUCUUUUACCCAAAAAUCCACGUGUCGCCUUGUGAUUAUUUUUGGCUCCACAAAUGCCCCCACACCUGUUGGGCUGCUCGCAGAAAAUGGCAGCAGGUGUAGAGAUCAUCUUGCUUUAGGAAACGUAGGACUACUUCCUCUUUAGAUGUAGAUUCUCUCUUUAAUAGGAAAUUAGGUUCUUCUAGGAAAGGGAAAUAAAUUUCUGUUAAAGCCUAUUUAAGUCUACCUUAAGUGGGUUAUUAAAUCAACUUUGGAGAGCGAUUUCUUAUACCCUACAAGAGAGAGGGAGCUUAGAGAAUAUUUGUUCCCCCUCUUCUAGCAAUCUUCUACAUCUUUCCCGUGCAAAGGAUCGUCUUUCGUUGAUUUCUUCGUCUUCUCCGUGCCGCACCGAUGUAAGAAAAAUUUAAUUUUUUGCUUAUCUUCUUCUUGGAUAGUACUAUUACAGGGCAACCGUUAAGGUAGUGCGGCACGUCUACUGGCAGGGGCUAGGAGUUGGCUCGGCAUCGGUCGAUGAGGCAUUAUGGCAGGGGCCACUGCUUAGGCUGUUUGGCUUGGCUAGAGCCAAUGGCAGCUUGUGCGGCUGGGGUCGCGGAUUGUGGCGUUGGGGCGCAAUGCUAGGCGAGCCACAUGGUUAAUGUCCUUUAGGCUCUUAGACCUUACUCGGGCCAGGCUAGCGACUGAAAGAAAUGAGGAGGUCGUGGGCCUCAUGGGUUGUUGGAAUGUUGGGCAUGCAGGCCUCCUGUCUGCUAGAAUGCUAGGUUGAGCUCCUCUGCUGAGUACCGUGAAUGGCGUUGGCUGCUUAGUUCUUUUUACAGAGAGAAAGGUGGGCUGCUCCCGAAAGAGGAAGUAAAGAGGAUCAAGGUGGAUGCAUUGGCUCGUCUAAUCGCUGUCGUGGAACCUCCUAUGAAUGAAGAUGGAAAUAAGAGAUCUUCCCUGCCUACUCAAGAGAUGCCGAUCGAGAAAAAUUGAAGACUUUCUCCACUGCUGCUCAUGAUGAUUUGUCUGCUGUCGAUAGGCCUGUGAUUGGCAUGACUUCUUCCAAUGGGAAGAAAAAUGAGGCUGCUAGAUCUGAUCAUGUGGUGCCUUCCAUGUUGAGAAUUGCUAGUACAAUUGUUGAUAAGAUUGCUUAGCGCAAAGGUUUUAUCAUGCCCCCAGUACCGAAGUCUGUACCAGGACUUUCGUUUGGAGCAAAGUCUGGUUCACCUUUGGAGAUACUUGCUAUUAUGAAAAGUGGUAAGGUGGACUCUGCUGCUAAAGUGGCGUCAAGGCCCACUCCCUUUGUUGCUGAGACUGAUUCGCCUGCUAGGAAGGAAGAUACUACUUGUAUGGGCAGCUGUGAGAAAUCCACUAAACUUGCUUCUGGGGAGGCUGCUGAGAUCAUUGUGCUUUUGAAACUAUAUCUGCUUGAAGACAUGGACGCUUGUGCCAAGUUUGUUGAUGGCGGUAGAAAGGUUGUUUACCUAAGUUCCUUUGCGAAACAUACGACCCAAUAUAAAAUGACUGCUCUGCUUACUAGGAUGCAUAAAUAGCAAGGUUGUCAAGGAGGUGGCGAAGAUUAUGGCAGCUAAAGCUUAUUCCUCAGUCGAGGAGAUCAAAAGGUUGAAUUAUGAGCUUGUUGCUUUGAAAGAAAUGGAAGAACUGCAACACGUUCGUGUUAGUCUGUUUGAGAAGAAUGAGCAGCUAAACGGUAAGAAUGAUGGGCUUGAGGUUUCUCUAUUUUUCCGGAAGACUUGCUUACUUUUACUUUUGAGGCUUCCAUUGGUGAAGUAGUUGGAGACGUUAGUGCCCAGGCUUAGGCAACCGGGGGUGAAGCACCGGAUGAUGCCGCUGCUAAGAACGUUACGGCUGCUGAAGGUGUGGAGACCAAGUAGUCGUGGGAUGUCCAAGCUGCUGUAGUGUAGUAUUUUAGGUAGCUUUUAUGAUUUUCUUUGUUUUUCCUUGUAGCUCUUGUUUUGCUUGAACUUCUUCGGCCUUUGCUAGUUGUAUAAACAUGUUUUCCUUCGCUUUUCUUCAUCUUCGCUUCUUUUGUUCAUGCCCUAACCUUUAGACUUGAUAGACCAAUGGCAGGCAUGCUACUUUUUUAUAAGCAGACAAGCUCGCGUAGCCUAUGCAGCCGUAAAUGUUGGUGUAGAACUUUGCAAAGUUGUUAGCCAUUAGGUUGGUAACCAGAUACCUUACUUACAGAAGUAGACAAGUCCGCAUAACCACUAGGCUAUUAACCUUGACUUUCUCCAAUUCUGUAGGUUGCGUAGCAAGUAUCACAACACUUUAGGAAUUGGUAUAGGUUGCUCCGCACUUGGCAGAGGUGAAGCCUAUCGACUACGUAGCAUGUCGGCAGUGGAUAAAACUUCCAUAUAUGCGCGCUAGCUUGUUUAACCUUUCACAAGAAUGUGCGGUUGUAUAAGUCUAGCACGGUUUUACUGCUUGAAGGGCAAGCCGUAGGCAGUCUUCCGGAAUCCGUAGGCUACCUUAAUGUACUCGGUAGCAGCUUUAGGGUUCCAGGGCAGCCGUCUAUAGAGCGUACUGCGUAAUGUGCCCCAUCCGUCUCUAGCUCCCGGUUCCCCACAGAUUAGACCAAGAGACCCAAAAUCCUUCAGUUAGUUAAGCCUUGAAAAAGACCAUUGUGGCUACUUCUAGGAAUCCCGGCUCAAGCCAUCGUACAUCUAGUUAUACUAGGGUAGCCAGGCUCAUCAGCGUCUGGAUAUUCGGAGUGUAAAGUUUAUCCUCCCGUCUUAGAGAGCUGACCCAUAUGAGUGUCGGGGAAUUGGUUUACCCUCUCACACUAGAGAGUAAUUAAUUUACCCUCUCGCACUGGAGAGCAAUUAGUUUACCCUCUCGCACUGGAGAGCAUGGUUGGUCCAUCGGGGGGCGCAAUUCCUGCGAUGAGUCCCUAAGAAGGGCGCAGUCUUCUUUUGAAGUGCAGGAAUGAUUAGUUGUUAUAAGCAUGUGAUCGAGUCAAGUUGUGAUUACUUCUAAAUUCCUCAUUGAAAAACGAGUGAAACGAACGAGAACUUAGCCGUAAGGUAGGAACUGCAUAACAACUGGAUAGUCCUCAACUUGUGUGGUGGUACCCAUCGAGCUUCUUGAGUCUUCGGGCUUUGAUGUAGUGGGAGGUUACACAUGGCACCUUUUCAGAUUGUAGGCGCUCUACUGCUUUUCGAACUUUUUUUUUGUUGUGUAAUUGCUCUUGCUGCCUACUCGGCUAAUCUUAUACAGACUUUCUCGGAUGAGAUUCAUCUUUUUGGAGCUUCUCUGCUGGCAGUGAUGAAGGCUUUUCUUAGGACUAGAUCUCUGGGCUGGAACUGCCAGAUUUUGGCCUUUUUGUUGUGGCUGGAAAAGAACCACUGCUGGUAAGUUGUAAUGCAGAUGAUAGUCUGCUCGCACUUCUCCUCUGCCAAAUUUAAGCUUGUGGCCAUCUCCUUUCGGUUGCUCGUCUUUUGGUGUUGCGAUGUGCCCAUAGACAUCCAGGGAGUUUGUCUGGCCAUUUUCUUUUCUUAUUGGUAGGGGAUUUCUUGUGGCAGUCGAGGAUCAUCUUAGUGGAUGUUUUGGCCAGCCUAUUGCCUUGAGGAUAUCUUGGCGUAGACAUGUGCUGCUUGAUGCCAUAUUUUUAGAAGAAUUUCGCCAAAUCUUUGCCCACGAAUUACGGGCCGUUGUUGGUGACGAUGGAUUAAGGUAUGCCAAAUCGGCAAAUGAUGCUCUUUCAUAUGAAGCGCUCUAUGUCCGUUUGAAUUGUGAUCGUCAUGGGCUCUGCUUCUACCUAUUUGGUGAAAUAGUUGGUUGCCACGAUCAUCAUGCAUUUGCCCUUAGUAGUCUGGCUGGUGAUUAGCUGGGAAUCAGAAUGAAUUGAAAGCUUUUUCACCACCAAGUCUUUUGUCACUCGAAGGCCUGCUAGUGGGGCUUUGUACUCUGCUUCGUUGUUAGGUGCUUUGACGCUUAGAGUGAUCGCUUACUCGAGCAUUGAACCGUCUGGGGUGGCAAGAACCACGGUUACUUAUAAGCCUUUGUAGUUGGAUGCGCCGUCGACAUGCAAAUGCCAGAAAUUUCCAUUGAGGGAGUAGGUAUGGCUAAAGUGUGCUCGGCUACCUUCGAAGCGUCGUUGGGCCGCUUUGUUACAUUGUCAAGGCUAGGUUUGAAGGCGCGGUAGAGAGUCGUGGAGCUGGGGCCAUGUUACAUGUAGCAGGAGAUGCUCAACUUCCGGUAUUAGGCCACUCUAGAGCUGAAUAAUGGAGCAAAGGUCGGCUAGGGUCGUAUGACGCGCAGCAGAAGGUAGUGCUCGACUGCUAGUACAUGUUGCUCUUACGUAGAAUCUUCUGAGGCGACGAGGACAAAACUUGCUUUUAAGUGUUCCUUCUAGUGUUCGUCUGCCCUUGGCGUGUCUUUUGGGCUGAGUUGUUGCGUUCGUCAGAAAACUUUGCAUCUGCCAGGGUUUACGUCUUUAUCAUCACGGGUUUGGAUUAGGCGGAAUAGUGCGUCAUGAUGAUGACUGCGUACAUUUGAAGGUAAAACUUAAGCUUUUGGGUUACAACAACUAUCACCAAAGUUAGCUUUUGAAUUUUUAAUAGCAUCGAGGAGAGCUUUUGAACUAUAAAAUACAUGUAGUUGGGCCCCCAACUCUUCUCGCAUGACGGUACAGCUUAUUUCUACUUUAGAUACCGUCAAACAUGCGAAUAAGUCCUCUGCUGCUUCUAGGGAGGUGAUGUUGGGUACUUCUUCAAGCCCUUGAAUGUGCAUUGGCGAGCCUCAUCCCAAAGUGCAUGCUUCUCUGCCAAAGAAAAAGAGUCUACCAGAGUUAGAUAUUCUUUCAUGAUCAAUUUUCUAAAUAGCGGUGGUCUGCUGGAAGGCCUUUUUGGAAGGCUGCUCUAGCUAUUGAGUCGCUGCAUCCGACUAUCAUUGCCUUCUCUGUUUUGAAUCUCUUCACAUAGUCACGAAGUGACUCCUUUGGGUUCUUUUUUACGUCAAACAAAUGGUCGGACUUCUUUUUGAUCGAGCAAUAAGAUGAAUAUUCUUUGGUGAAAACCAAAGAAAGUUCGUAGAAAUUCUAGAUAGAUUGUGGCGGCAGGGUGUAGAACCAAUCUUGUGCCUCGCCUUCAUAGUGGUGGCGAAUAUCUUGCACAUGAGAUCAUCGUUGUUUCGAUAAAGGAUCAUUGUGCUUCGGUAGCGCUUUAAGUGUCUCUUCGGGUCUUCAUCCCCUUUGAAAGAUAUGAAAUGUUGCAUACUGAACUCGCAUGGAGGCUCUGCCAGCUCGAUCUCAUCCGUGAAGGGUGACCUGCUUAUGUUGGUCAUGUUCCGUCGUAGUGCCUCGUCGGUGACCUUGUUGCGUUAGAAAUCAUGCAAUCGCUUGAUUAAAAGUCUCUCUACUUCUUCCUGAAUUUUCAUUUGUUAGGGUAGCAGAGCUCUCGGCUGCCCCUAGCCAUAACUUACUGGUCUAGGAUGCUCUUCCAUGUGUUUGGCUCGUAUACCGUGGAUGCAGUGUAUGUGGUGCGGUCCUAGUAGGUGAGCGAGUUCUUCGCAGGCUGCUAGUUGAACUUGAGCUGGAUUGAGUGACUACUUCUCUCCGUCCGUCGUGCUGCCUACUCCAAUGUGAGGUGAAAGAUGCUCCUUGCAGGCUUAGCCACGAAUGAACACUUUACCUGGAAGGUUGCUCAUGUUGACUAUCAGAGUAUGACCCUAACCGUGAAUGUAUAUUCACCCGUGGGCUUAGUCGAGAGUGCACGCUCCUCCGCGCGCUAAGACGAGAGUAUACGUUAUCUCGGGAGCCCAAUUGGGAGUGUACACUGCCCGAACGCUCGGCUCGUGGCUGGUCGAGUGGCUGCUUGCCGAAACGCUGCGGGAAAGGUUCGUCUGCCCUUGUCCUACUUCGGGAUACCUUGUUUGGGGCACGUUGGAUUCUGGUGCAUUGCAAAAGUUGAUUCACCAAGGUUGUCUGUUGUGCAAGGGUGCUCGUAAACGCUACGACUUGUCGAGACAAGUGUUGUUCGUCAUUUGGAUUGGAAUAGCUUGGAAGGAAUGUGCCUUCUUGGGCAGUGGAAGGGUGGUAGACUCCGGGCUCGAGAUUUGAGUUGGGAAAUGUCAAAUCUACGAAAAAAUGUGGUGAGAAUGCCCCCGGCUCGAUGGUAGGUCCGGAUGGUUGAGAUAGUCUUGGGCCGACUUGGGCUGCUUGGAAAGCCACGGGAGCAGGCUGGGCCACGAGAGUGAGCUGCUCGGCAGGAGUAGGCUGGGCUACGAGAGUGGGCUGCUCGGCAGGAGCAAACUGCUUGGAGUGUGAUGCACAUGGGUGCGAGGCUUGGGCUCGGCUUGGUAACACAUUGAGUUCGGGUUUGGCUUGGAGUGACAUGACUUGGGCCGUGGCCUUGGUGUCGUGAGCCUUGGAUGGCACGGCUCGGGCAGUGGUAGCUGUGCCAUGGACCUCGCCGCGGGUAGUGGUGACCGUGAUGGCCACCGCGGUGGUUGCCAUGGUGGAGCCCCGUAGUGAUGGUGCCGCUCCUAUGAUCACAUUUAGCCUCGUGGAUCGUCGUGGUCCCAUUUCUUGAAUAUUAGAAUUUUCACUUAUGGAAUUUUCUAAAUUUCUAGCCAUUAUAUUUUUCUUAUACGUUUUAUCAAAGAACCUUUGCAAAUAAAAAAUUCUAAUAAUAAGAACGUAUGAAAAAAUAUUCAAAUGGACUAGAAAAUAGAGAAAAACCUUUUUAUGCGAGAGUCUUCUACGAGUAUAGAUCUCAACUCUCAAUGAAAGCACCAAUUUGUGGAUGCAAAUUUCUUCCUCCUUGAUCCUAGACAAUUUUGCACCUACAAAACAAUUAACACCUUAGGUUAAGGCCAAGAGCCUCACACGCCCACGAUGAAUGGGGGGGCUUUGGCCGAAGAACCUCUGAUGCCAAAGUUAGAAUUUAGAGAGAUAGAGUGUUCAGAGAAUUUUGAGAUUUUUGCCAAAGUGUUGGAAUGGAUUUUUGGUGAGAAUGGGAUCACUUUUAUAGGGAUAGGAAGUGGCCGGCCUAGCUAGGGUUUUUGGGUUUAAUUUAGGUUUAAUUAGUCAAUUUAUUUGGCUAAUUAAACCCUAAAGAAUAAAUUGGUGGUUACAAAAUUGAUUAUUUGUAUAAAUGGGGUAAUAAAAUGGAGAAAGGUGAAAAAGGUUAGGAAAAGGGAGGUGGCCGGCUUCUUAGUGGUUUUAGGUGUGAGUGGGUGUUUUAAUUGAUAAUUAAGGGAUUCAUUAGGUAAUUAAUCAAUUUUUAGGGAAUAUGAAAGGAAAAUAUUAUUUAGCUAAUUGAUUAGCUAAAUAAUGGAAUACAAAAUAUAUAGAACAAAUUAGGUAUUAGGAAUUACCUUAUAGAAAGGAUUUGAUGAAAUAAGCUUUAAAUUGUUACCUAUUUUGGGCACUUUUGACUUGGUUGAGGAUGAUUGUCUGCCGCUCACGCGUAGGAAUCUCGAUAUGCCUCAAGGGUAUUUUUGUUCUCUUUUACCCAAAAAUCCACGUGUCGCCUUGUGAUUAUUUUGGCUCCACAACAACCACGUCAGCAUUUAACAGACCAAUGGAUGGAAAAUCUAACGGAGGUAUUAUUUUGAAAUAAAAUAACAAGUGAGGUAUGAAAGUGAAAUGUUUUAAAGAUGUUGUAUGGGGUUGUAAUAGACCUCAAACUUGAGGGUCCUAUGUAAUUUACCUAUUUUUAUGUUAAUUAUGAAUAGGUCAAUCAUGUAGAACCAAAUUAAAAGCUAACAUCAAUAACAACUACCAGAGACAAAAGCUCUAAUCAAUGCUUCGGAAACAUAGUCUUGUAUCUCUAGGUGUAAUGAUAUAAUUUGUUGGAAACUUAAAAGAAAAUUGGUGAUUUUGUAUAUAAUCGAUAAAAAGUUAUAAUAGUGACAAUAUAUCAGUAAUAUUUAUGUUAAUUAGGAAUAGGUCAAUCAUGUAUUUAAUACUUACAUGCAUUUAAAAUAAACACCUUAUCAAUGUUUUUUUAACUGUGCUCAGUUUUUCUCCUUCGCUUUGGUUUUGUUCUAUUGGAUUUUUCAACUAUCAUUAAUUGUGAACAUAACUGAUCAUUGAGACACAAACAUCCAAGGGAGAGUACCGUGGAACAAAAUGUGGAUAUCUUUAUACAUUGUAUGGUAGUAAACCAUCAUAAACACCAUAAUAAUGUAGAAACGCUCUUGGGGUACCUUUGGAUGAUAACUCAUGUAUUUGUUGCCCUACGUAAAGAUGGCUAAUGAUAAUGGAAGUCUAAUUUUCUCAUCCCAAUCUCUCCUGUCUCUCUUGUUCUCUUUUCUCUAUAGUUUAUUUCCAACAAGUUGUGUUAUUUUUUUUUUUUAGUAUUGUUAAGCAACCAAUAGAUUUUAAUUAGCAGUCUUUGUUUUUUUCUUUUAUAUUUUUAAUCAAUUUCAGUUGCUUAUCCGUUCUAGCAAAUUGAGCUCUUUUACAGCAAUUUUUUUCUUUAAAUGAAAUUAUUAUUAUUAAAAGAGUGAGAAAAUUCGAAAUUAUUACAACAAUUUAAAAAAAAGAAGUUUCGAAUCAUAAACACAGAGGGAGUUUACAACAUUUUAAUUAAGAAAUUAGGCUUCAGCUCAACUCAUCUUUGCAACGUCGGUUCCACUUCACAUCAACAUGCAAUGUUUCAGAAGGUCACGCGGUUUUGGGGUUGUUGUGUACCAAUAAUAUUAUAUAUAUAUAAAUUAGGAUUGAAGGAUACACGCAUUUUGUAGAGCUUAUUUUGUUAUGUAUUUUAAUGAUUUAAAUGCUUACGUUUUUCUUCACUACAAAUGAGUGAAUUAAUGAUUUUAGAAUUUGUCUAAUUUUUUACAUUGAUUAUUUAUGAAUAUUGAAUUGAAAUAUAGACGAUUCAAAAAUCGUUGAUAUACAUUACAAAAUGAACUCCACAAAAUAAGCGUCAAAAUAUGUAUAUAAAAUGGACAGCGUGAAAGGCUUGGAAAUUGGAAUAGGUUUGAAAAUUGUGCUUUUUGUAGCAAAUUGUAGCAAAGUUUGCUUGGACUUUCACAACCGUAUAAAUUAUGCCGCAGCACUCUCUAUUUUCUCUCUCGCUCUAUAUCGUGGUCCCUCUCUCUCGCCGUCCUCGAUUGCUCGAACUCACUAUCCUUUAUUGCUCGAACUCACCGUCCUCAAUUGCUCGAACCCACUGUCCUUUAUUGCUCGAACUCACUGUCUCCAACUUCCUCUGUUUGGUUCCCGAUGAAGAUGGUAAAACAGUAGGGGCAAGAAAUUAUGACAAUGUUAGAUUUGCAUAUUAAUCUGGUAGGGCUACAAUUCUCCAAUCCACACCCCUUCCAUCUAUGCUAGUGUUUGUACCCAAUAUUAGAUAUCCGGUCUGUGCAAUCGAGAUCGUUGAAUGAGAAAAAUUCUAAGCCGUGGGAUCAAAUAUAAUGAUGUGGAUUAAAUAAGAAAAAUUUAAAUGUUUAUCUUGGUUGAAUUACCAUGAUAAUAUUGUGGAAUUAUCUUCUGCAUAACGGGAUAGCGAGAAAAGUCCAAGGGUGUAGGGAAGUUGUGUGGCUGACUACCGCUUUUUUUUAUGGUGUCAUUAGUAGAGUAAUAUCACACUUAACAUUUAUUUGUACCAUCUCUCUAAUAAAGAUAAAGACCAUCAAUGCAUAAAUAAUGAUACAAAUAUAUAAUAAGAGUAUCAUAUUUGUAACUAGAAUAGGAGAAGAAAGACUUCAAGAUGGGGUCAGCCAAAUAAUUAGCGUCAGGAUAAAAAUAUGAGUAAUGAUAUUUGUAAACAUCGAAAUUUCGGUAAAUAAAUGUUGACCGAUAAAUCAAAGUUUCAACGCUCAUGUAUUACAUAAAUUUUACACGUAGCGUAUGUCUAAACAAAAAAUCGAAAUAAGUUGGAAAAGUCAUCAAACAGGACACAUGUCAACACCUGGCAGAAACGACUUAUUUCAUCUGGAAUAUUAUAUUCAAAAUUAGGCAUUGGAAAAUUCUAUAAAUAGAAGCCAAUUUCAUUCAUUUGAAGGAACCAAAAUCAUUAGGCAAAAUUCUUGAAGCUCUGAAGCUCUGAAACUCCGAAACUCUCAAGCAUCCAGGUUCCCGAAGAAUCAAGAAAGCUCUCUUCGUUCUUCGUUCUUCGUUCAUCGUUCAUCCUAAGAUCAAGCUCCAACGGCCCUUUAGAUCAACAAUCAUCCACUAAUUCAAGAUCAAGCCCCGACGGCCCUUGAAGAAAGUGUUCUUCAUUCUUCGUUCAUCGUUCUUCCAAGAUCAAGCCCCAACGGCCCUUUGGAUUAACAAUCAUCCACCAAUUCAAGAUCAAGCCCCAACGGCCCUUGAAGAAAGUGUUCUUCGUUCUUCGUUCAUCGUUCUUCCAAGAUCAAGCCCCAACGGCCCUUUGGAUUAACAAUCAUCCACCAAUUCAAGAUCAAGCCCCAACGGCCCUUGAAGAAAGUGUUCUUCGUUCUUCGUUCAUCGUUCUUCCAAGAUCAAGCCCCGACGGCCCUUGGAUCAACAAUCCACCAAUUCAAGAUCAAGCCCCAAAGACCCUUGAAGAACUUCUACCAAUUCAAGAUCAAGCCCUGACGGCCCUUGAAGAAAGUGUUCAUUGUUCAUCAUCCGUUCAUCCCGAAGAAUCAAGAAAGCCUUAUUCGUUCUUCGUUCAUCGUUCUUCCAAGAUCAAGCCCCGACGGCCCUUGGGUCAACAUCAUCAACAAAUCCACACAUCCAACCGUUCUUCAAGAUCAAGCCCAAAAGCCCUUGAAGAUCCGUUCAUCACCGUUAUUCAAGAUCAAGCCUUAACGGCCCUUGAAGAAACACUCAUCCUCAAGAUCAAGCCCCAACGGCUCCUUGAAGAUCCGCUCAAAUCCACCUUCAAAGAUCAAGCCCACGGCCCCUUGAAGAAACAUCCAACAGUUCAUCCAAGAUCAAGCCUCGACGGCCCUUGGAUCAACGAAACAUCUACAAAUCAACACCUUACGGAGAUCGAAUCAGAUGAUCAAAUUAGAGAGAGAUUGUAACCCUAAAUCAUCAAAAUACAAAUAUUAUUUUGUGCACGUUGUUCUUAUCUCUUUCGUUUCAGGAAAUUUUCGUGUUCACAAUAUUCUUACCAUCUAAAUAUACUAUAAUUUUAUACCAUCUUAUGUGGCAAUUGAGAUGGACUUCCACAUAAGUUUUAAAAAAAUCUCAUGUCAGCUAAGGUGGAUAUUUACGAUUUUACGAUUUUACUCAAUGAUUUUUAUUAAUAAAAUAAUUAAAAAAUAAUAAUGAAACCUACUUGCUCCCGUUUUCAAGCCUCAUCGCUGGGCCUCCUCCCUCUUCGCUCUCCAAUUUCACCUUCCUUCACCAACGAUCGAUGGUGCUCGACCCCCUUCAUCAUUGCCAACUGGCCGAAUAUCUUGAUGGUGCUCCCAGUGAUUGUUUUGCUCUGCCACCAAAUCAAGUUUGCAAUUUUAAUGGUUUAUGCCUUCUGGCCAAGUGUUGGAUUUGAUAGGUUUUUAAUUCCAGCAACAUUGAACAAAAAUAUGAAAAGGAUUGGAUACGAUAUUUUCCUCUGUUCUACUGCUGAGGAUUUUCCGAAUAGAAGAAGAUUUGGAAGACAACCUCUUUUCUUUUUUCUUCAUGGACUUUUGGUUAGCACCAAAAUCUUUUCCUAAUCCUCUAUAGGAAUGAAAAUUUCAUUCCAUGUUAUAUCCCGAUGUUGUCCAAGGUUUUGGCUUGAAUUUUCAUUGGAAUUAUCAUAUGUUGGAUCAGAUCAGGUGGAGAGAUGAAACGUAUCUAACAAGGAAGUUGAACGGGUAGGGUUUGAGCAAAAAUAAACAGAAAUUCCACCUAGGUUGACACCUAAGCUUCCACAUCAUGUGGUAUACUAAAUGUGGUAUAAUAAGAUGGUAAGAAUAGCAUUAUUGAAUGGGUAAUGUUAAGAGAAAUUUUUAGUUGUGACGGGAACACGGAUGGUACACCAUGCGUUUUUAUGUAAAUGGUGGAAAAUUUUAAUUUUUAAAUUAUUAACCUUUUAGCACACAUAUCCCACCAUUUAUAUGAAAACACGUGAUGUAUCACCUCGUGUGAUAGUCACAUUGAAAAAUCUCUCGUAAUGUUAGGAAAACUAAAUUUAUAAACAAAAGUUACAAAUUAAAUGAUGGGUUACCAAUAAGAAUGAUUACGUUUAUCAAUGCUUAAAUAAUAAAUCAUUCAUCAACUUCCAGUCCUUUAGUUUUUAAAAUUUUGUCUAACAUUACCCUUUCAAAACUCAUGAAAAUAAUUUUCAAUUUUUUUAACUGAAAAGUGAAAGUUACUAAACAAGAUUUCAGUUUUUAGCUUUCAAAAAAAUAAAAACAAAAGCUAAAAAUAAAAUGGUUAUCAAACAUCCCUAGAAGUCAUUCUUAGUGAUAGUAAGGUCAUCUCCAACCGAAAGAUCCAGGGGGCUAGAGGGCCGAAAAUAGUCUGAAAACCAUUUCCAAUCAAAGGCCAUGCCAAAGGGGUCGUGGACCCCAUUAGACAAAAAAGGGCCAAAGGGCCAACUGGCUGGCCCCAGUUCCAACAAUAACUAGAUGACGUCAGUUAACCGUUAUUUUUGAAUUUUUUUUUUAACAAAUUUUAACUUUCUAAGCCAUUAAACAACAUUAAAUUAAGUAAAAAAGAAAAUUCCUAUAACUUCCUAAGUCAUUAAACAAUAUUAAAUUAAGUAACAUGAAACAACAUUAAACAAUAUUAAACAAAAUUAAACAAUAUUAAACAACAUUAAAUAACAUUUAACAACAUAAAAAUUAUACAACAUAAAAAAAAACAUUUAAGAACAUAAAAUUUAAAUGCCUACUUCAUGCUUCUUUUGGCCCAAAGAUGUGCAACAAGAUCCUAAUGUAGGUACUUGUUUGUGGCACGAGAGCGUAUCAUCCUAACCGUUAGAUUUGAUUUUUUUUUGUUUUCGGCCAAAUUUUUUUAAAUUUAAAAAUAAAUUAUGUUUGACCUUUUGGCCCUCGAUUGGAGAUAGUUUUUUUUGUGACAUGACUAUGUUUAGCCCUAUGACCCUUUGGCCCUCAGUUAGAGAUGGUAAGAAAUAUGACCCAACAAUGUUCAUUAAAAUAUUAAUUUCUUGAAGAGCCAGAGGGCUAAAACGAGCCAUCCUUCGGUUGGAGAUGGCCUAAGAAGAGACUAGAGAUAGAGAGAUUCCUAUACUUAGCUGUGAGAGUUUCCUAUAUAUGAUUUUCAUUAACAAGAUUGAACUGAUUACAUAGAGAAGAAGAUCAAGUAUGGUUAUUUUUAUUUGGGAGACUUUGGAUGUGGUCCUUAGUUAUGAAUAUUAUUUGAUUGAAAUCUUGUUGGUUUUUAAUUUUUUAUCAAGAUCCCUGAAAUUAAUGUGAUAAUUUAUUUCUAUGUAAGUUACUAUAUUUUUUUAAUUAGAAAUUAGAAAUUUUAGUUGUUUAUAUAAAUGAGAUUUUAAAUUAAAAAAACCAUAAUUUGUGGGAUUAAAAAUAUUAAAAUAUAAAUAUACUAUUGUGUGUGUGUGUGUGUGUGUGUGUGUAUAAAUAUGGGUACAUUCAUCAAAAUUAACCAAAAAAUUUAUUGUAUCAAAACAUGGGUACAUUCUUCAAAAUCACAAAAAAAGAAAGAUAUUAGGCUUAAUAACAUUAGUAAAUUUCUUCGAUUAAACUUGACAUGGAUACAUUUUAAAAUCAAAGAAAAAAAAUGUACCCAUAUAAGUUUAAAAAUGGAUUAGAAAAAAAAAUUGAAUAGAUUUUAUACAAAAAAAGGGUACGUUUUACAUAUAACAAAUUGGUAUAUUUAAGAAUGAGUACAUUUUAAGAUUAAAAAGUUUUACAUGAAUGGGUUCAUAUAAUUAGCAUGGGUACAUUUAGCAAAAUAAAAAGUACAAAUACAAAAAAAUAUAUGUGUACAAAUACAAAUAAACUUUAAAAAAUAUGGGCACAAAAAGAAAUUAAUAUAUGGGUACAAAUUAAAACCGAAAAGAAAAUUGGUACAAGUUAAAAAAGAAUUACAAAUUAAAAAUGGGUACAAACUAAAACUAAAAAUAUAUGAUAAAAAAUUUAGUCAUAAAUAUAAAUAUACUAAUUGUAACAUUUUUAACAUUAAAUGAAUAUAUUUAGACAUAAAAAAUAUAUUUUAUUAUUGAAAUAAUUAAUGAUGUUAUUAAUACCCAAGGACCUUGAUAAAAAAUUGAAAAGAAAUAGAAUUUUAAUCAAUGGAGUAGCAAAAGAAAAGAUGAGAACCUAAUUUCUCCUUUGUAUUGUGUAGACAUUAUAACUAUACAUUCAUAAUAACAUGAGUAAUGUUAUAUUUAUCACAUUUGUACUCUUUCUCCAAUAAAGAUAGGGUCCAUCAACACAUGUGGGUUCUAUUUGCCCAUCAACACAUGCGAAUCUCAUUUUUAUUAGAAAAAUAGUACAAAUAUGAUAUGGAAAUUAUGAUAAGAUCGCAAUUUUGUAAUAACAUAUAUACUCAACUAUUUAUAUACCAACUCAUCUCCCUUUAGUGUAGUUAAUAUUGUUUGUUCAACCAAAAAAAAAAAAACUGAACUUGUCAUAAUCAUUGAAUCCAUUUACCAUGAACAAACGGCAGUUUACUAAACUUGCCCUCAGAGUAUAUAUAAAAGGUGAAUCACAAUCUAUUGCAUUAAUAUAAGGAAACAAUUUAUAGGGUUUGACGGGUGACUUAAUAUGCUAUAUGGCACAAUGAAAAUUAAGUUCACACUUUAUCCCAAAUAAGGUGUUGCACCUUUAAUUUAUGGAUGCUGGUUUGACGUGUGACCGAAAUAAUCAAAUUGUAGCCAUUAAUCAUUUUACAAGUAAUAAUAUGUGGUUUUAUUGUUUACGAUUCACACAACAAUCUGCUAGGAAGUAGAAAAUGCAGUACUUGUCCCUCUCACAGAAGUCAUGAAUAAUUAUCAAAUUCAAAGAUAAAGAAAAACCACACAAUUUACAAGAGGAAAGAAAAUGAAGGGAUAAAGAAAGUAAGAAAGGAAUACCUCUAUGGGAGGACUCUUAUUUGCUUCAGAUGCCUACAAUAUUCAUCAUAUAAACACUGAUUAAGUAGUCAUCGAAAACCAAAACAAAUGUCGAACAUAGGGUGAAAAACAGAAAGAAUAACCGCAGCUCAUCAUACCAAUAGAGAUAGAACUGCCCGAUGCCCAAGUAUGACUGAAAAAUGGCAAUCCAAACAUGGCGCCUUCUAGCUCAUCAAACUGUCAAAACCUAGGUUCCACCAAAAAGAUACAAGUCACCUAGUUACUUGUAAAAUAAAAAUCUGUUUCAAAAUAGUGGAAAAUAUUAUUAACAUUGUUCAAAGUCCACAUUGUUGUACCUACCAAGAAACAAGAAGGAUUGUAUCUUAUCAUGAAAAAGAACAUAGGUACCUUUUCAAUUGUAAUUGUACAAAAAUGAGAGACCACUUCCGAACUUCUCUUGGAACUUCAAUCAAUUUCUGCCCACUUUUAAAUGCCUUGACAUACUUAAGCCUAUUUCUUUGAGCUUCAGUUUUGGCUUCUGAUGCCUUUAAAUUUCUUAAAGAUUCUUACCAAGUUUUACAAACUCACUUCUAUACAACCAUUUGUCAGUAUACAUACCAUUUUCUUUGAGCUUCAGUCUUUGCAACACCAAAACCCCCCAAAUAGACCCGGAAUUUUGCAAUGUGCAGGGAAUAUACAAAAAAAACCCUCCUAUCCAUCUAAAACGAAAUCAGAACGCAAACCACAAUCAAAAUCCGUAAAAUUAAUUUAGCCAACCCCUAAAUCUAAUAAUUCUAACAAAUAUUAUAGUAUCAAUUGAGAGAGAAUUUGAGAAGAUACCUAGAGAUGAAAGGAAGAGCGUUUCCUCUGAUAGGGGUUCCGUGAAAGCAUCUGUUGACCAGAAAAGAAAAGGCAAAAAACCCCAAAUUACAUAUCAAGCAAUUAUAGAUAGAUCGAACCUUGAAAAUUGAAAUUUCAAACAAGAGAAAGGUUAUAAACUUACAACGAUCUGGGUGUUGGUAACUGGGUUUGGAUUUGGGUUUCUGAUAAGAGAGAGAAUCGUAUGAGGAACCGAUAGAGGAACUGCACCGGCAACAGAGAGCAAUUGAUAUGGUGGAGAACAGACGAGAAUAGCUGCUUGGAUGGUCAAUCCAAGAAGAGAAAAUCUUGCCACAAUCGCGGUACUUGAAAAAAAAAAAAACAAGUUUAAAGGAGGGAAACAAUCGCGCCUUUUUCUAAUAGACUCUGUCGACGAUAUUCUUGACAAAUAGAUGCUUCGUCGGGUGAGCUUAUUUUUCACAACAUUUUAUUUAGGAUUGGGUUCGGUUGGUAAACCGUGUCAAAUUUCUUGUGCCACUUGCCAGCCACAUAUACAUAAUUACCGAAAAUCAGUUACCGUUAGCCAACCGUCUUCUUGCGGUUGCCAAAAAUCGGUUCAGCCAAAAUGAUUGGCUGGUUCGGUUGGUAAAUGGCACAACCGGUGGUUUCCACUUCUUCCUCGCUAUCUUCCAGUUCCAAGGGCUCAAUUUGAUUUUCAGAUUGGGAUGCUUGUUCGGUUGCAUUGUGUGGUUCAUUUUGGGUUAAUCCAUGUUGUGCACUAGUAGUUGAUUGGCUAGACUCCAUUAUCCUAAACAUAAGCAACAAAUAUACAUUCAAAAUAAUAUAUAUGUACGUGUAUAUAUAGUAUCAGUAAUCAUCAUGCUAUCAAUUUUGUUAACAAUAUUUUCUAUAUAUUGAUUUUGGCAUGAAUCAUAUACACAUACAUAUAUUUUUAAAACCCUAAAACUAAGGAGUCAUUUAUUUUCUAAACUCUAAAAUUGAGGAGUCAAGCAUGUAAAAAAAUACUUAAAAUAUCUAAAUAGAAAAAGAAAAAGAAAAAAAAAUAAAUAUAUAUAUAUAUCGGUAGGUAUGGCAUACCGCCGGCAUACAAAAUCAAUUACCAAAGCCAUGCCAUUAAUUGUCGGUUCGGUAAAAUGCCAACCGAUUAUGAAAAAAUGUCAAAACUAUACCAUACCAUUUUGAGCCAACCAGUAUGGUUUGGUCAGUAAAUCGGUUUAUGGCAAAAUUUCUCACCCCUAAUUUUAUUUGUCACCUUAAACCUAUUGGUUUCUAGCCUACAAUUCGGAUAUUUUGUUGGGGAAAGAUUUUUGUACCAAUAAAAUUUUGCUUUGUCGGCAAAAUGACAUUUUCUAGUAGUUAUAAUAUUAGGUAGAUCAAAUUUGUAAACUAUGUGAUGUGUCACUAAUAGGAAAAAAUUUCAGUGUGCUGAAAAUACGGUCUAGAACACCAAGUGUCAUAAUAUAUACUUGGUUGGAAAUCUUUUAUUUUCAAGUUUCCAACUAGUUGUAUUGUAACAGUUGGUGUUCCAAGCUAUUUUCUCCAUGCGCUGGAAAAUCUCUUCACUAAUUAAAAAUAAACAUAUUAAUUAACACUUAAGUAAUAAUCAAAGCAUCAACAACUACGUCAUAGAAUUUACGAAAUAUGAUCUUAAUUAAUGAUCUCCAUUACCCUUUAUCUUAGCGUAUACGUACGCCUUCACAUGUUUAUUUGCUGAUAUGCAGCUUGAGUAAAAAUUUCUUUUUAAGAACAUAUAUGUGAAUAUAAACAUAUAUAUCUAGUGAUCCAUGUUGCGUUAUUUAAAAAUAAACAAAUUAAUUAAUUAAUGAACUGUGUACCUGUCUGUGUAGAGUAAUCCAUAUGCAUGCUUGAAUCCUGAUCACCACGAAACCAUAAUAUAAGCUACUCAAGGCCCGGAAGCUAGGAUUGAAGAGAAAAACACCCAGUCAGAUUAAGCCAAUACAUCAAAGUUAAUACUUCCAAAUGUAAGCUUUAAGAUAGAAAAAUCACUUACUUCCUUGAGCAGUCGAGCUUCUUCAAUGGCAUGAAGCUUUUAGCAUGAGAUUGACUGCAUCACAACUAAAAUUUUCUCUUGGAAACUACAUAAGGAAUAGCAUGUAUACCUAUAACGUUGAGAAAGUACGCCAAUUUUUUCCUUCUGCACAUUCAUGUUUAAAAGUAAUCCUCAAAUGAACUUGCCCACAAUGAAAUGCAAUUUGAGGUAGUCGAGUGUGUUCCAUUUCCAUCCCAUCGGAAUUACUACUAAACUUUGAGAUGGUAGAGGAUUCAUGAAAUUUUUUACUUUUGAAAUAGUCUCCUUAGCAUUUCUCGACUAUAACAAUGAGGAAAUACUUCACCUUGUAUCAAACAAGGGAGACCGAAAAUCAACUACUAAUAGCAUCACAGAGCCAGCAGAAGAUUGAGGAGGCCAUGAAAAGGAAAGAGAAAAUACACUCUUUUUUUGUAAGGACAGAGAUAAUACAUUCAAUAAAGGGUACUGAUGUUUAUAUGCAAAGCUGAUUAGGUUUAAAUAGUCGUAUUUAUUCUGUACAGUGCCAAUAUUACCACCCGUUAGUACACUUUCAAGACACUGUAAUCCAGUGUAUGCACUAUGCAGUACGUAGUACUCCUCAUUUUUUUGGGGAAAUUCAUUAUUGGUCUUCAUAUCUUCUUUAUUUUCCUUGUCCUCAUUGUGCCACGUGUUUAAAUCACUAAUUAUAGGUAAUCUUUCAAUUUAAUUAAAUCUUAUGUAAAAAAAGAUAAUUAAAUAUCAUUUAGUAUUACAAUAUAGUGAUAUUCCUCUUUAGUAUAAAAUUUUUAUAAUUAAAAGCGUUCAGCUUUUUAAUCUUCAUUGGAAUAUUAUCUAUAAAGAAAAAUUAUUCGAAUCAGAGAUCAUUUAUGCAUUCAAAUGUAUAAAAUACAUCGACAGUGUGAGAACCAACUAAUAUAUUUUUGAUGAAGUACAAUUAUUGAAUACAUUUGAACGAUCAAAUGAUAUAUGAUUCAAAAUACAUAUUAAGAUAAUAAAUAUAAAAGAAUUGUUAUUUGCACUUCAAGAAUCUCAUUCUACACUCUAAAUUUUCUAUAUAUUAAAAGAAAAAUAAAUUUGUGAAAAGUGUAGAAUGAGGUUUUUUUAAAUGCUAAUAACACUUCUCUAAAUACAAUUAUGAAAUUAAUUAAGUAAAGAUACAUGACCUCGUGAAUGAUGAAUGUAUUAUUCAAAAAAAUAUUAAAAACAAAUUGAAAAAGGACGCUGUUGUUGCCACCACUUAUGCAAUGAUCGUCGCUGCCAUCACCAACCCCCAACACCCCAUUACAGCUCAUAAAAGCACAUCAUAAGCAAUUUAUGAAAUAAAUUUACUGGAAUACUAAUUUCCCCCUUAGUUUAGGUCACCAAUGUUUAAAUUUAGGGAUCGUGAUAUCCACACACAUUUUUUACUUCUUUCACACUUUUUUUUUCGGUUGUCGGAUCAGAUGAAUUGAAGAAAAUCAAUGAACAGAAAUUAACAAGGGGUGUGUGAGAAGUAAAAAUGAAUGUGUGGAUAACACACCCCUAAAUUUAUCACAACUUUCAUUCCAAAUUUAAUUUUUAUCCGUAGUUUUGUUUGUUCAAAUUUACUUUGACAUUUCCAUUAGUAUUAAAAUCUAAUUUAAAUUUUAGUGUUCAAGCUAGAAAAAGUGUUCCAUUUAAUAUUUAAUCUCAGUUUUUCUCUUUAUUCUUUUAUUGGGAUUUGGUUGCAUCGUAUCUCCAUUUUUCUCGGUGUUGUAUGUUCAUAAGGCCUGUGAAACGUUGGCACGGAGUGAAGGGUACUCACUUUUUGGCCCAAAAUGCAUAAGGCAUGUAGAUAUGUUAAUCAAAUUUUGUAAACUAAAGGAUAUAGAAGUUGAUAAUUAGAUUAUAAUUUAAGAUAAUACUAAGGAGACUAAAUUUGCAAACUAAAUGAUGUGUCACCAAUAAAAAUAAGCACGUUUAUCAACAAUUAAGUAAUAAAUCAAUCAUCAACUUUCAUGUCCUUUAGUUUCCAAGAUUUAAUAUACAAAUUUAGUCUCCCAAGCAUUACUCUAUUACUUAAGUAUUGAUUAACAGACUUAUUUCUUAUGGUGACACAUUAUUUAGUUUACAAUUUUAGUCUACCCAACAUUACUCUUUUGAAAUUGUCUUGUCCACUGAUAUAAUUCUAUUUUUCUUGUGAUCAAAACUUCAAAUGUUAGCAAGUCGCACGUAAAGUCGCUUAUGAGAGAAUGUGCUCACAUUGUAGUUGAAAGAUUAUGUGGCUAGCAACAUUACAAAUUUAAUUUGGUAUAAUUCUAAAAUAUAGAUUGAGGAAAAAAUGAUCACAUUAACUAGAAACUGAAAAGGUUUCAGCACAGUUUGUUCAAGCAAGAAAUUCAAUUUUGAUGCUACCGAUCUUAACAGCCUGAGCGCCGUACCUGGGCACCAAAGUCACCACCACACUCUCAUCAUCUUCAGCACCCAAAUCCUCCAACAGGUCCGUUAACCCCAACCUUAAACAACUCUUGCUCUUUUCCUUCUGCUUAUGUGGCACACUCACAAAACUCCCAGCAAACUCGCUCUUGUCGGGUCCACUCGGUGCCGCAUCCUCAUCGUCCACGUCAUUCACAUACACACAUCAAACUUCACAGCCACAUCUUUGUCAAGCUCAAUCCCCUGAAUCACCAAUAUCUCCUCCUCAUCCUCUUUCUCCUUCUUGCUCCUCUUCUUCGGCUUCGGCCUUGACACCACCGUACUUAUCUUCGUCUCCAAAUUUAUUGGAAAAUCUUUACCCGCCACCACCUUCCCUGAUGACGUCGUCUCAGUGGCCUUCGCCACUCCAGCCGCCUUUGCCUUUCUCGCAAGCUUUGUCCGACGUGGCGUCGGUCUAGACUUGAGCCAUGGAAUCUCAACAUCUUCAUACGUAUACCCUAGCUUUUUAUUAUCAAGAGUGUCCCUCACCGUGACCCUAACAAGCUCAGCAUUCUCGUCAUAAAACAAAAACCCCGUAUCCAACCAAUCCUUAUCGUUAAUAUCGUUAUUUUUAGUCCCUAUACUUUUCCAAAUAUUCCACAUUCGAUCUAUAUUCGAAUGGUGCGAAAAAAAUAUUGGAUCCCUUGCAGCGGAGUAAAAAUUCCCCAUGUCUUCAAAAUUAGGCUGCGUGUUAUCUCCGGUCCAUAAAUGAACCGGACCAUGUGGGGUCGUUUCGAUUGAACCGCCCCCUGGAUCUGGUUCAGUGUCAGCCCUGUAGGGCGAACCAAAGAACAACAGCGGUUUCUUGGAGUUGGAAACCAUCUGCCUAUACAUGAUUUUGAGGUUGGCGUCGAUUUGAGCAUCCUUGGACAUUGUUUCAUCCGUGCCGUUGAAGUCAAGAUCGAUGAGAGUCGGCGGCUGAUGGCUGGCAGCGCGGAGCUCGUCGUAAAGCGGAGAGUCCGGGUUAGCGAACAAGGCAGGGAGUUGCAUGCCAGCUGGCGCGUCCCAGUUCCAAAACGGCAACGCGAACGUCGGAUCGUCUAUGAGUUUGGCCAAGAUUCUUUCGUAGAAGUAUACGUAGUAACGAUGGAAGGGGAAGAAAAGCCAGCAUUGAUGGAUUUGGAGCUCGAGGUUGGGGAAGCCGACUUGGUCGUACGCGCCGUCGCAAUAGGCACAGUGGAGAUCGGCUUGCUGGGUGAAGCUACGCGGAUCGUCGUCCGGGAGGGCUUUCAUGAGCUCGAUGGCUUUUGAAUAUUUUUCGAUGUAGGCUUUAUCCACGGUGUGAGCUGCCGGCCUGACGCGGAGUUUGGUAGGGGAGGGGAAUUUGAAGUCUACGAUUUUUUGGGACGUUGGCGGGCAACAGUUGAUCGGGACUGCUCCACUUGGAAAGUCCGCAGCUCCGCAUUUGGCUAGGUCAGGCGGCAACACUGGCUUUGCAACAGCGAAGGGGUCGCUGCCAAGACCAGCCACUCCGGCUUUGCAACAGCGAAGGGGUCGCUGCCAAGACCAGCCACUCCACCGUAGAGGCUUCCGAGACCUAUAAGAAGAUAGAAUUCAGUUCUUGGCAGUAGAGGACUCUAUUGCAGGGAAAAACUGAUUUGAAUUAGGAAGGCUUAAGUAGUUUUCCAUAAGGAUUUUAAUAGGGAAUCCAUAUUCUAAUAUGAGAAGGAUAUGUGUGUACAUAUAUAUAUAUAUAUAUGGCAAUCUCUUCUCUCACAGGUGUGUGCUCUUUUGGAACUAAGCCCUAUUCUUAGUUUGAGUGAUAAAUACCCUGACAGAGAGAAGAAGAAUUGAUGUGCUUUUCAGGUUGAUCGAGAUCCACCAUGACUGCAUCAAACGGGAGUUCUACAGGUUAGUAUAAUUAGGUUUUAUUUGGAUUGAUGUUUUGUGUCUACUUGGUUGUAGUUUAAGUAACUGAAUCUUGCAGCUAGAUUUUGGUUUACAUGUGGUAUCAGAGCCAUAGAUUCAUGUUCUUAAAUUCAAUCGAUAAAAUUGAUUGAAUCCAAAAUAAAAUUCCGAUCUUCAGACUUCGAAACAGGUUCUGGUAGUUAAAAUUAGGAAAAGAAGAAACGGUGCGUUUUGAUUAAAAUAUGAUGAUUAAUACUUGACCGUUAAGAGCUAAUAAACUAUCUUCUCUUCCGAAUUGGGAAUACAAAUCGACAUCUAUCGAUUUCGAUUUCGGGGUUUGAAAAACUGGGUUAUAUGACAUCUAUCGAUUUCGAUUUCGAGGUUUGAAAAACUGGGUUAUAUGAAUUGUUAUUGAGUAUCCACAAUUUAUAUUAAUUGCUUCCGCUGCUGGGUGUUGAUGCUCAUAGAACAAACGGGUAUGUCUCCUGAACAUUGAAUUGAAAUUUGUUUUUUAAUCAAUCUUAUCUUGAAUUUCAUUAUGUUCUACAGCAUGAUUCGAAUAGUGAGCAUAAAAAUAUGCUUAUUUAUGCUGAUUAGUCCUAUGUUUAUGCGUUUUUCUCUAACCAUCUAUGGAAGGGAGUUCUUCGAUAAGAACCUCUGCAGAUUUCACUUGUUUUAUGCAGAAAGUUUUAUGAAGAACUGUUCAUUUGAUAAAGAUCUGCUAAAACUGUGUUCUUAAAUGGAAAAAUCUUUUAUUCUAUAUGUGCUUAUCAAUUCUUCAUUGUUAAGAUUAUAUAUAUGGAUAAAAGGUUUUGAUGAUAUGAUGUACAAAGGAUUGUGAGAUGAAAUCUGGAACUCUAAACGUUCUUCUGUGAUUCAUUGUGAUUUCAUUGUGCUACAGUGUCUGCAAUAUCAAUGAAGACUCUGAAUUUGGCUAACAUCCCAAUUCUUACUGGUGGGGGAAAUUACAAGAAGUGGAGAAGGGAAAUCAGUUUGCUGUUGACUCUAAACGAGUUUGAUAUAGCAAUCGAGAAUCCCAAACCCGUGGUCAAUGAUCAGAGCAGCACAAGGGCUGAAAAGGCAGAUUUUGAGAGAUGGACAAGGGCUAAUAAGGUAGCAUUGUCCAUCCUUGAGAGUGGCAUGACUGAUACAAUCAGAUGAGGAAUUAAGAAGCACGAUUUGGCUGCUGAUUACCUAAAAGCUAUUGAAAAGAAAUUUCAAGAAUCUGAAAAAGCUGAAGUGAGUCAGUAUAUGUCUUUAUUAACUACUUACAAGAUGGAGGGUACAAGCUCUAUAAGGGAUCACAUAAUGAAGAUGACAUAUGCUGCAGAAAGACUCAAUGCAAUGGAUAUAAACAUAGGUGAAAAGCAGUUAGUAUUCAUGAUUCUUCAAGCACUUCCCAGUAAAUAUAGUCAGUUGAAGAUCUCCUACAAUACUCAAGACAAAAACUGGGAUAUUGAUCAGUUGAUUGCACAGUGUGUGCAAGAAGAAACUCGUCAAAAACAAGAAAGAGGCAAAGAAGUUGAGGACAUCAACUUUGUGCAAACUAUAAAUGACAAAAAGCAGUUCAACAACAGAAGCUUUUCUGGUUCUGGUAAGAGUUCUAAGCCUUUUAAAACUUCUAAUAAGUUCAGUAAUUCUGCUAAAGUAGUUGACUCCCCUAGAAAAUCUAUCAAGUUUAAAGCUAAACCUAAAGAUGUGUCUAAAUUAAAAAUGUUUUUGGUGCAAAACUAAGGGCCAUUUAAAAGUUAACUGUGAAAUUUUCAAAGAUUAUGUAAAGAGCAAAGAAAAGGAACAAGUACUUGUCUGUAUUGAAUCAAAUUUGUGAAGUAUACCUGUUGAUUCUUGGUGGUUUUGAUAUACCGGAUGCUCAGUGCAUAUAACUAAUUCUUUAAAUGGUUUUCAAAAACAAAAGGAAUUUGGAAAUGCUACAUAUAAUGUUUUUGUUGGGGAAGGAACUAAAGUUGCAGUAGAGUCAAUUGGGAUAGUCAAAUUAGUCUUAUGUUCUGGUUAUGUUUUAGAGUUGAAAGAUGUGUGCUAUAUGUGCCUAAGAUGAGAAGAAACUUAAUUUCUGCCCUCUAAAAUUGUAAAAGAUGGUUUUUCUUUUCUUGGUGAUGAUGAGUGCCUCAAAAAUUUUCAAGAAAAACUGUCCUUGUCCUAACACUAUUUUAGGGACUGCUUUUUUGUCUGAUAAUUUAUGGAAUCUAAAUUGCACUGUUAAGGCACUCAAUCACACGAUUUUCAGCAUUAGUACUAAGAGAAUGAUAGGUCAGGAUACUUCAUACAUUUUAUGGCACAAAAGACUAGGACACAUCUCUAAAGAAAGGAUAAUUAAGCUGUAAAAAACUGACUUGAUUCCAAAAUUAGAUCUUUCUACUGCAACUGAAUGUGUUGACUGCCUAAAGGGUAAAAUGACCAAUUUUAGAAAAACAGAUGCCAAAAUGAGCCAGGGGUUACUUGAAAUCAUACACACUGAUAUCUGUGGUCCUUUUCCAGUUAAGACAAUAUGUGGAAACAAGUAUUUCAUUAAUUUCAUAGAUGAUUUUUCAAGGCUGGGAUAUACCUUUCUGAUUAAUGAAAAAGCUGAUGCCCUUAAGUGUUUUAUAAUUUACAAAACUGAGGUUGAAAAACAGUUAGGCAAGGUUAUUAAAAUUGUUAGAUCGGAUAGGGGAGGUGAAUACUUUGGCAGGUACACUGAAUCCGGGCAGCAAAAGGGACCAUUUGCUCUCUAUCUCGAGAAGAAUGGUAUUGUGGCGCAGUACACCACACCUGGAACGCCUCAACAGAAUGGUGUUUUUGAAAGAAGAAACAGGACUCUUAUUGGUAUGGUUAGAAGCAUGAUGUCCAGAUCAAAAUUGCCAGGAUUCUUGUGGGGAGAAGCUUUGAAAACAGCUAAUCAUAUAUUGAAUCGAGUUCCAAGCAAGGCAGUAUCUACCACACCCUAUGAGUUAUGGCAUGGGAGAGUUCCUAGUUUUACUUAUUUCCAUGUUUGGGGUUGUAAAGCAGAAGCUAAGUUAUAUAAUCCUAAUGAAAGAAAGCUGGAUUCAAGGACUCAGUCAUGUUAUUUUAUUGGCUAUCCUGAGAAAUCAAAAGGAUACAGGUUCUAUAUCCCUCAAGGUCACACUCGGAUCCAAGAGACACACAAUGCAGUUUUCCUAGAAGAUGAAGAUGUCUCUCAUUUGUCAAGGGAAAAUUUCAUAUUUGAAGAGAUGCAUUCAGAUGGUGGGGACCAUGUGACAAUGGAUUAUAAUAUCGGUCUCAUUGUUUCCCAAUCAAUCAUCAAUUGCCAUUGAAGAUAUGAGUGAAGAUUUAGGAGUUCCUGAUGACAACUCUGUAGGAGUUGAUUCCACAACAUAAGCUGCAACAAUUCCUUUUGCAGAAGCAUGUGAACCAGUUGCUGUUCCACCUCCAGUUGAAAUCAGAAGGUCACAAAGAGCUCGGAAAACCACUGCAAGCAAUGACUAUGUGUACUUAUAAGAGACUGAGUUCGAUAUUGGUGACAUUUGAUGAUCCUCUUACAUAUACUCAGGCAACUGAAAGUCCUCAAGCAGUUCUUUGGAACAAUGCAAUGAAGGAUGAGUUAGAUUCAAUGUCCAAAAACCAGGUUUGGACAUUGGUGGAAUCCAACUCUGAAAUUAGGCCAAUAGGCUGCAAGUGGGUAUAUAAAACCAAAAGGGAUGCUGCUGGAAGAAUUGAAAGAUAUAAAGCAAGGUUGGUUGCUAAGGGGUUUACUCAAACGGAGGGGAUCGACUAUAAUGAUACUUUCUCUCCAGUUUCCUCCAAAGACUCCAUGCGAGUUAUCAUGUCUUUAGCUGCCUACUUCGAUCUUGAAUUACAUCAAAUGGAUGUAAAAACCGCUUUUCUUAACGGAGACUUACAAGAGGCUAUAUACAUGAAACAACCUGUUGGAUUUGUUGAAAAGGGGAAAGAGAAUUUAGUAUGCAAGCUCAAUAAGUCCAUAUACGGCUUGAAACAAGCAUCAAGGCAAUGGUACCUAAAGUUUGAUCAAAUUGUCUCUGCAUAAGGUUUUGUAGAAAACAAACUGGAUGAUUGUAUAUACAUUAAGUUCUCAGGUUCCGAGUUCAUCUUCUUAGUACUUUAUGUUGAUGCCAUUCUCCUAGCUAGUUCAUGUCCCCAAUUGCUUCAUAGCAUUAAGAGAAUGCUAAGUGAUAACUUUGAGAUGAAAGAUCUUGGAGAAGCACAUUAUGUACUAGGAAUAGAGAUUGUUCGAGAUAGGAAAAUGAGGCUCCUUGGUUUAUCUCAAAAGGGGUACAUUGACAGAGUGUUGGAGAAAUUUCAUAUGGCAAAUUGCAAUUGUGGUCAGGUUCCAGUCAAUAAAGGUGACAAGUUUUCGAAGAUUCAAUGUCCAAGAUCUGAUUUGGAGGUGAAGAAAAUGCAAGCUAAGCCUUAUGCCUCGUUGAUUGGAAGUCUUAUGUAUGCAACUAUCUGUACAAGGCCUGAUAUUGCCUUCAUAGUUGGUAUGCUAAGACGAUUUCAAGCAAAUCCUGAGAAGCACAUUGGGGGUGGCAGCCAAGAAGGUUCUUCGAUACUUGCAGAGAACCAAAACUCACAUGUUAGUAUAAUGGCCGAACUGAUUCUUUGGAGCUCAGGGGGUAUAUACUCGGAUUUAGCUGGAGAUGUGGAUGACAGGAAGUCCACAGGGGUUAUAUCUUCAUACUCAAUGGAGGGGCAGUUUCGUGGAAAAAUGCAAAGCAAACUAUUAUAGCCACAUCAACUAUGGAAGCUGAGUUUGUAGCCUGUUUUGAAGGCAUGAAACAGGCAGCAUGGUUGAAGAAUUUUUUGACAGAUUUAAAGAUUGUGAAUUCGGUUCAGAAACCAGUAACAAUGUUCUGUGAUAAACAACUCGGCUGUGUUUUUUGCUAAGAAUAAUAAAAGGACUUCAGCAUCUAGAUUUGGAUGGACGAAGUUUCUUAAGGUCAGAGAACAAGUCAAGAAAGGAGUUAUUGAAGUACAGCACAUUAGCACUACUAUGAUGAUUGCUGAUCCCUUGACUAAGGCACUGCCAAUUGGAGAAUUCAAGAAACAUGUUUCUUCAAUAGGAGUACUAGAAGGUUUUGAUCAGUGGGAGUAAUCACGUGUGUGUUAAAGGCUUGGGAUUGCAGAAGCAGAAGUAUAUAUGUGUUUCAAGAACUGUAUGUGCAAUUCUGACAAGCUGAACUAAGGAUGCUUUAUGUUUUAACUUGCUUUAGUUAGUUUGUUAAGGUUGUUUGUGUUUUAAUAAGUGUCCUUGUCUGCUACUCAAUACUUUGGCUUUCAGGUGUUGAGGUACGGAUACUGGACUGAGUUAGAAUUUAGUUUCAUUAGUAACUUUGAAAGAACAGUUUGUCUGUUUUUUAAGUUUGUGGUUAAUGAUGUUAUAUAGUCAAUUACUAUGUUGCUUUUCUGUGAAGAUUAAUGUGUGUUGUGAUCUUUUGAAAAGUGGGAGCAUAAUGUUUGACGGUUUAUGUUAGUCAUGAGUCAUAUUUACAAAUUGAAUAUAUGUGAGCCUUGAAUUAAUACUACAAUUUGGUUGUGGUCUGAGAUUCUUGGUUUCUAUAUUUUGAGAUGUAAUGGGACAGUGGUCAUGAUGGUUAAAUCUUAGAUGAGGUUAUGUGAUCACUUCUUAUGAUUGGUGACGGCAAGGUUUGAUCUUUGUCUCAUGUUCAAGUGGGAGAAUGUAAGAAUGUGAACAUGAGAUAAGAUGAUCGGAUAUUAGUUGUUUGAGUCCAAUCCGAAUAAGAAAGCCUCUAAGAAGAUGGAAUUCAGUUCUUGGCAGUAGAGGACUCUAUUGCAGGGAAAAACUGAUUUGAAUUAGGAAGGCUUAAGUAGUUUUCCAUAAGGAUUUUAAUAGGGAAUCCAUAUUCUAAUAUGAGAAGGAUAUGUGUGUACAUAUAUAUAUAUAUAUGGCAAUCUCUUCUCUCACAGGUGUGUGCUCUUUUGGAACUAAGCCCUAUUCUUAGUUUGAGUGAUAAAUACCCUGACAGAGAGAAGAAGAAUUGUUGUGCUUUUCAGGUUGAUCGAGAUCCACCAUGACUGCAUCAAACGGGAGUUCUACAGGUUAGUAUAAUUAGGUUUAUUUGGAUUGAUGUUUUGUGUCUACUUGGUUGUAGUUUAAGUAACUGAAUCUUGCAGCUAGAUUUUGGUUUACAUAUUUUUCGAUGUAGGCUUUAUCCACGGUGUGAGCUGCCGGCCUGACGCGGAGUUUGGUAGGGGAGGGGAAUUUGAAGUCUACGAUUUUUUGGGACGUUGGCGGGCAACAGUUGGUCGGGACUGCUCCACUUGGAAAGUCCGCAGCUCCGCAUUUGGCUAGGUCAGGCGGCAACACUGGCUUUGCAACAGCGAAGGGGUCGCUGCCAAGACCAACCACUCCGGCUUUGCAACAGCGAAGGGGUCGCUGCCAAGACCAGCCACUCCACCGUAGAGGCUUCCGAGACCUAUAAGUACAUUUCUUCUGUCUAGGUUUACUAGAGAAGGGUUUUCAUGGUCGUGAUCGUUGGAGCUAGUGGAAGGGUUUUUGUUUUGGUCACUACUAUUAUUUGUGGCUUUGCACGAGACAGCUUGUAAAUUGGAAUGCCUAGGGUUUCCAAAUGAGGAUAUUCGGUGAUACUUUUGGGAGAAAGGGGAGAGAGAAGUUGUGGGGAUGAUACUUGUGGCGGAGGUGACGAGUGGAGCUGACAUAGAAGCCAUGGUACUUGACUCUGAAUAAUACGUUGUAUUGGCUUUGCUUUUAUAAUGUGUUCUAGGUUUUACGUUUCUUUGCACGGGUGGCAGGCCGUACACACGUGGUCGGUCCUUAAGGGUUUGACGAGGAAUACUACGCAGUCAUUUAGUACAUGACAACCAUACACUAUAGCACGUGGCAUGUAUUUAGAGAUCGAGAGAGAAUUGGGUAAGGUUCACGAGGGAUUGUAGUUUCAGAAGGUGAAUUGGUUUUGGUCUUCUUGUGUACCAAUAAUUUUUACUUAGUCAUUUAGUGCAGGACAACCAUGCACUAUAGCACGUGGCAUGUAUUCAGAGAUCGAGAGAGAAUUGGUUGGGUAAGGUUCACGAGGGAUUGUAGUUUCAGAAGUUCAAGCGGUUUUGGGCUUGUUGUGUACGGCUGUGGGUCUGCUGUCACGGACUCUCUGUCUCAUUUGUGUCUUAUUUUUUAUUUUUUGACACGUUUUAACGUCAAAUCAUUAUAGCAAUGUUAUGCAAUUGGGAGCUAAAUGACCGAUGCUCUUAUUUUUUAGUUUGCUUUUUUUCCAGAUCUGAUCAAAUCAUGAUAGCAAUGUUAUGCAAUUUUCAAGAGGGAGAGAUGCACCUGGGAGAGAAACGGUACGGUGACUUCUAAAUCACCGUCCAACAGAACAAUUCUCAGUAGAGACUACUAGAGAGAGAUGCACCUCACCAAUGAAAAAUUUAACUGCAAAAAUUCUGGGUAUCGGGAGUUGUGGGGUGGGUCUUGGCAGUUUUCUUAUUUCUUUGAAUUUUUUAUAAUUUAUUUUAUAAAAGUAACAGUGUUUUGUGGGGGUUAAAUUGUAAAACACGUGUCAUCAAACUAAAUAAAGAGACACCAAAGAGACAUGGAAUUCGGGACAACAGACCCACAGCCGUUGUGUACGGAGGCAGACUCUCUGCUCUCCUACUUUCUGUGUCCUCCUGUUUUGUGUAGUCACGAUUAAAUCACGUCAAUAUUUUAUAUUAUUAUUUUAUAGAUAUAAUAAGACAAAAAAGAAUAGUAAUUUAAAAUAUUAACGUGACUUAACUGUGACCACACGAAUAGGAAGGCAUGAGAAGUGGGAAGGCAAAGAAUAUGCCUCCGUUGUGUACCAAUAAUAUUAUAUAUAUAUAUAUAUAUAUAUAUAUAAUUAGGAUUGAAGGAUGUAGAGCUUAUUUUGUUAUGUAUUCUAACAAUUUAAGUGCUUAUCUUUUAGGUUUUCUCUUAAACAGCAUGCCUAUAAAAAAUCACCAAAAUUCAAACCAUAUGACCAUUAGAUCCAUAGUCAUUUUAGUGUUAAAUGAACUUCACAAAAUAAGUCUCAAAAUAUGUAUAAAAAAUGGACAGCGUGAAUGGUUUGGAAAUUGGAAUAGGUUUGGAAAUUGUGCUUUUUGUAGCAAAUUGCAGCAAAGUUUGCUUGGACUUUCACAACCGUAUAAAUUAAACUGUUCGCUUUGUUGGGAAAAACAAGUUUGCCGCUGGUCUUGGGUUCCAAGAUCGGCCAAUUUGACGGCACACUUUUUGGCGUUGAGAAGCAGUACGGAGAUGUGCAGAUUAACUUGGAUUGAUACUCCUCCAUCUUCGUUGGUUCGUGUAUUGAACAAAGAUGGCCUUCCUUGCCCUCCUUAAUAUUUUUUGUUCUUCCUGCAGUGGAGGCGGUGACGCCUUGCUCUUGGUGCAGCGUCUAGUGUUCUGUACCCUCCUCUUCUGCAUAUGUUUGUAUUUCCCCUCGUUGCCCCUUCUAAGUGGGCUUCCUAUUGUUUUGGCUUCGGCCCUGGUUAUGAAAUAUUUCCAAUCUUACCCAAAAAAAAAAAAAAAAAGAAGAAGAAGAAGAAGUCAAGCACGGUGGGAGACUGGUCAUAGUUUCUAGAUUGAUGCUCUAAUUCUAAUGUUAUACAACGCGUACGCUAAAAUAUUUUUAUCAAAAUAUUAGUUUUAGUGUUAUCAAAACAAUAAUGUUAUUCUUACCAUGUUUUUGUAUCACAAUUAUAUACCACCUUAGAUGGCAUAUGAUGUAGAUAGCCACAUCAUUUAAAUUAAUAAGCAUUUAAUUUCAAAUGUUAAUCAAUAAUUAAUAAAAUGAUUGUUAAUUAAAUGAUGAUUAUGGUAUACAAGGAGUCUCCUUCUUCCUUCCCCUUUCCAUUCUGCUUUUUCUUCCUACCACUUUCUGUUUUUUUUUUCAUGCCAGUUUUUGUAUUGAUUUCUAUUGAUUUCCAUGAUUAUGGUCAAUCUUUAUAGAAUUUACUCGUAUACCACAACCACCAUUGAUUUCUAUCUCUAGACUCAUGCCCCGUAGCCCUAAUCCUCAUUCCCCUUCAAGUAUUUCUGUCUCCAAUCUUCUUUGGUACUCCAUGGUUGUUCAUCUCGUGAUUUUUUUUUAUUAUUUCAUUAAGUAACGCCUAUUAGCUUUCAUGCGAAUUAGGAGUCAAAAUCAAAUUUGUCUAUCGGAUUAGGGUUCAUGCCCAAUUAAGUUACUAACGCAAGAGAGAUUUUGAAGUCUACAAUUUUCCUUAUUUAAGUGUUUUAAUUAAUAAGAAAAUUGAAAUUAAACGAUUUAGCUUGUCCAACUCAUCUGCCACCUAAGAUGGUAAAUAAAUGUGGUAAGAAUAGCAUUACUCUUAUCGAAAUUACAAAAAAAAAAAAAAAAAAAAAAAAAAGCUGAUUCAAUAUUUAGUUAUUAAAAAAAAUAUAAAAAAAGUGAUCAAGUAACUAUCCAAUACCCAUGUAUUGGGUGCUUUGUUUGAAAAUUUUCAAAAUGAUAUUGGGCUCGUUUGGAUAUGUUUUUAAAAUGACUGAAAGCGUUUUUAGAGAAAAUAUUUUUUUGAUUCCAAAAGCACUUAAAGUGUUUUCUGCAAAAAGCACUUAAAGUGCUUUCUGCAAAAAGCACCAGUUAUGUGCUUCUUCCUAGAAGCACUUUAAGUGUUUUUCAAGCAUUUACUUGCUUUUUUACUAAGGAUUGGUUCCAAAAACAUUUUCACAAAAAGUGUUUUCAGUCAUUUUAAAAGUACAUUCAAACGAGCUCAUUGUUUUUCCUAUUUUAAUCAAGUGCGUCGUCCCCUGUUGAGAAUGAAUCUCAUAUUAUGGGGAGAGGGGUCUUGCAUGGAUGAGAGGAGGGACCUUGCAUGAGCUUAUAAGUAAGUUGGGUUACUCUCUAUAUUGCCAAGAGAAAUUUUAUUUGGACCUACUUUUCCUCUCUCUAAACCCAACUUUAAUAUUUUGUUACCUAAACUCUCUAGUUUACCCUCAUAAAUUAUAAACAUAAAUAAACUGGAAAAAGAAAAACUCAUCAAACCUAUUUCCCAACUGUUCUGGCGUCUCUUCCCUGUAUUUGUUGGGUCUAUCUCCCUCCCGACUGUUUUUUUUCCCUGAUAUUCUCUGUGUGUUCCCCCACCUCUCCCACACCCACCGAUUCUUUGUGGUGGCUAUUCCACCCAACGUCCAGUGAAUCUUUCCAUUUUUCUUCUAUUGCGCGUGAUAGGGCCUUGCUGUUAAUAGGCAAAACUAAGCGGCAUCGUCGACUCUGUAAGCGACUUGUUGCAGAAGUCCAAAAUGGAGUCAAAAGGAUUUUGUAUUGGGUCGGGUUGUUGAAGGCGAUGGCUGAUUUAGCAAUCUCGCCUAACUACUUCUAUAUGCAGGAGAAGGAAGAGGGAGGAAGGUCUAAAGUGGUGGUUGAGUGGUGGCGAUGUAUGUGGGUUCUAUCUCGGUUGAAUGGGUGUAGAAAGAUAUUUAAUUUUCAGUUUCUUAUUUUAUUUUGUAUAAGGGAUAAUAUCGGAAUUACAUAAAAAGUUUUUUUUAUAGCUGGGUGUAGAAAUAGUAUUGUUGGGUCUAAAUAAAAUUACCCUAUUGCCAAACAUAGUAUUGUUGGGUCUAAAUAAAAUUACCCUAUUGCCAAUUAGCUUUGUUUGAAAAUUUUCAAAAUGAUAUUGUUUUUACCAUUGAACCCUUGUUAUAUACAGUGAUGGCUAAUUUGUCAAGUUCUACGAAGUUGGGAUACCCAGCGUUUUAGCAUAUAACAUAACUUAGUAUUACAAGCAUAAUUAAUUAAAAUAAAGGAAAAUGAAGAGGAUAGCUUAGUAUUACAAGCAUAAUUAAUUAAAAUAAAGGCAAAAGUAACAGCCUGUCCCUAAAAAUGACGAUUUUAUAAUCUUAACACGUGAGUUUAUGAAGAUGCCCUUCGAGGCAAAGUGUUGACUUGUGUUGACUACCGCAUCGUGUCAUGUGAGACUCAUCUUCUUGGCGUAUUCUCGUUUUACUUGUCACUACGGACGCAUGGGCGCAAACGGGACAUGAUUUGGAGCUAUAACGAAUGAGUUAUUAACAUUUAAAGUUAAGGACAUUUUAGUAAAUUAAUUAAUUUCAGAUUAUGUUGAGGGGAAAAUCUGGAGUGCCGGUGGGUGGCCCAGAUUAAAGGAAAUGAAGAAUGGAUGGUGGAGGUGUAAAGGAAAGAAGAUAAAAGAAAAAUGAGAGGAAGUGUGUGACUAAUAGGGAGAUGAGAGAGUUAGGAUGGCCCAAUCAGAAACAAACGAAAGGAGGAAAAAGGAGAGAAGAGGGGAGCGGGGGAUCCCUUCGACCCGGUUCCAUUUUCCGACCCGACCCGAUCCUUUUCAUCUUCUUUGAUGGUUUUUCGUCGGUUUUUUCCGACGAACCACGUUAUCUAACCCCUUGGAAAAUGUUCCACAACCUUCCCUCAACUAUUACAAUCCAAAAUUGUAGAAAUUUAGCCAUGAAAGUAUGAAAACCACACCGGUGGGUGCGGGAAACCCUUGUCGUCGAUUCUCCCAUUAUUGCAACGAUUUUCACCAAUUACCACCACCUACAACAUCCUCUUGAGGUCUGGAAUAAAGCCCAAACAAGUUUUGCACUACUACAAUAUUAGCUUUAGAUGGCAGAUGAUGGUGGCGGAUUUAGAAAAAUAUUGUCGGAUAAAUUAUAUCUGACACAUUAUUUAAUUAGUGGUGAAUAUAAGAAAAAUCAUGUCGGUUAUAACCGACAUAAAUUCGUGGCAGAUACUAGCAGAUAUUAAAAAACUCAUGUCGGUUAUAACCGACAUAAAUUCCUAGCGAAUAAUUACUGACAGAUAUUAUAAAACUUCUGUCGGUUAUAACCGACAAUAUUUUUGAAUUGGGGGAAUUUAAAAUUUUGGGAGGGAAUUUAAAAUUUUGGGAGGGAAUUUAAAAUUUUGGAGGAAAUUUUGGGGGGAUUUUUACCCAUAUUAAUUCAUGGCGGAUAAUUACUGACGAAUAUUAUAAAGCUCAUGUCGGUUAUAACCAACAAUAAUGAAAAUGUUUAUGUCGAUUUUUAUUAAAAAAAUGUUUCUGUCAGUUUUAACCGACAUUAAUGAAAAUAUUCCACAGUAAAACCCCUACUUCUUCUCCUUGUGCUGGUGCCUUCUCCCUUCCCCCUUCUUUCCCCCUUUUCUCUUCUCCUCAUUUCCUUUUCCUUUGUAUUUUUGAUUUUGACAAGGUCUCUCCUUUAUUUGAUUCUUUGUUGUUCAUCUCUCACAAAUGUAGAGAGAGUAAAGGAGAUGCUUAGAGCGCUUUCUUUGUUCCUUUUUUUUUUCUUUUCAUUUUUUCCCUUUUCAAACUCCGACUAUGUCUUACAUGGCCGGUCCCAAGCCCGGAUAAAGGAGGAGGGGGAGGGCGUCAGGUAGUCGACAGCCGGCACUCCAUGAUCACGUCGAAUCCUUAUGAAAAUGAAUCCAGAACAAAAUCGCGCUAAAGCUAGGGCGCCACCCGUAAGUGGCGCGCUGUGUGGCCCGAGCACAGUGAUAAGUGAGCAAGGGUCGCUGUAUCUCCAUCGGCACUCGGAUGCAGUGUUAAAUGAGCAAGGGGGCCAUAGAAACUUCUUUUCGAACGACUCCACUCAAAGUUGUUUGGGAGCAUAUGCUCCUAUCAACUUUACCCGGGACACACAAAAGAAGUACUUUGAUCCUAUUAGACGGGGGAGGGUGAAGAAGCUAGGACAGAAGGGUAGAGUUCAAGAGAGCAAAAUGCGUUUAGGAACGUGGAAUAUAGGAACCUUAACGGGAAAAUCUAUGGAAGUAGUGGAAGUUAUGGUGAGGAGAAGGAUAAAUAUUAUGUGCCUACAAGAAACUAAGUGGGUUGGUAGUAAGGCAAAGGAUCUAGAAAACUCAGGGUUUAAACUUUGGUAUUCGGGCACAAAUAGAACGAGAAACGGUGUUGGCAUCAUCGUGGACAAGACCUUGGUACAAGAUGUUGUAGAUGUCAAGAGUGUAGGAGAUAGAAUCAUGGCAAUCAAGAUUGUAAUAGGACAAGAACUUAUCAAUGUGAUUAAUGCGUACGCACCUCAAGUAGGGUUGGAUACGAGUUCGAAGGAGAAAUUUUGGGAAGAUCUUGGAGACUUGGUGCAAGGAAUUGCUCAGACGGAGAAGUUAUUUAUAGGAGGAGAUUUAAAUGGACACGUGGGCAGGGAGACAGGCAACUAUGGAGGUUUUCAUGGUGGCCAUGGUUUUGGGGAGAGAAACGAGGAUGGGGAAGCUAUCUUGGAUUUUACAAUGGCAUAUGAUCUCUUCUUAGCCAACACCUUCUUUAAGAAGAGAGAAGAACAUGUGAUCACCUACAAGAGUGGGUCGUCAAAAACACAAAUAGAUUUUCUUCUAAUGAGGAAAGGGGAUCGUAUAACUUGUAAGGAUUGCAAAGUUAUACCAGGAGAGAGCGUGGCUAAUCAACAUCGCUUGUUGGUGAUGGAUGUACAUAUCAAAAGAGUAAGACAAAAGAACAAGACUUGGAAGUGCCCAAGGACUAGAUGGUGGAAUCUAAAAGAAGAAAAACAAGUCAUUUUCAAAGAGAAGGUAAUCACCCAAUGUGUGUGGGAUAGAGAGGGGGAAGCUAGCCAAAUGUGGGAUUUCAUGGCUAGUUGUAUCCGAAAAGUAGCAAAAGAGGUAUUAGGAGAGUCUAAGGGCUUUGCCCCACACUAAAAGGAAUCUUGGUGGUGGAAUGAGGAGGUACAAACAAAGGUGAAGGCUAAGAAGGAAUGUUGUAAAGCCUUAUACAAGGAGAGGACCGAUGAAAAUGGUGAAAGGUAUAGAAAAAAAGCGAAGCAAGAGGCGAAGAAAGCUGUCAGAGAAGCUAAGUUAGCGGCUUACGACGAUAUGUAUAAACGACUAGAUACCAAAGAAGGAGAGUUGGAUAUCUAUAAACUAUCUAGAGCAAAGGAAAAGAAGACAAGGGACCUAAACCAAGUGAGGUGCAUCAAGGAUGAGGAUGGAAAGGUUCUUGCUACAGAGAACGCGGUUAAAGACAGAUGGAGAGGUUAUUUUCAUAAUCUUUUCAAUGAAGGACAUGAAAUGAGUGCUUCUUUAGGGGAGUUGAGUAACUCAGAAGAGUGUAGAAACUACUCUUUUUAUCGUCGAAUCCGGAAGGAAGAAGUGGUUGUAGCUUUGAAGAAGAUGAAGCAUAAAAAAGCAAUAGGCCCAGACAAUAUACCAAUCGAAGUGUGGAAACUUUUGGGAGAGACAGGUAUAACAUGGCUCACUGACCUUUUCAAUAGGAUUUUGAAAACGAAAAAGAUGCCAAAUGAGUGGCGAACGAGCACUUUGGUGCCUAUCUACAAGAAUAAGGGCGACGUACAAAAUUGCAUGAACUAUAGGGGUAUUAAGCUAAUGAGUCAUACAAUGAAGCUCUGGGAGAGAGUCAUUGAGCAUAGAUUGAGGCAAGAGACACGGGUUUCGGACAACCAAUUCGGGUUCAUGCCAGGGCGCUCAACCAUGGAGGCAAUCUAUCUCUUACGAAGAUUGAUGGAAAGAUAUAGAGAUGGGAAAAAUGAUUUACACAUGGUCUUUAUAGAUUUGGAAAAAGCGUAUGAUAGGGUCCCAAGAGACAUUCUUUGGAGGAUUUUAAAGAAGAAAGGAGUACGAGUAGCAUAUAUCCAAGCUAUAAAGGACAUGUAUGAAGAAGCAAAGACUGCCGUAAGAACUCAUGAAGGACAAACCGAAAGCUUUCCCAUAACUGUAGGAUUACAUCAAGGCUCAUCCUUAAGUCCUUACCUUUUUGCGUUGGUAAUGGAUGAGUUAACAGGACAUAUUCAAGAUGAUAUUCCUUGGUGUAUGCUUUUCGCAGACGAUAUAGUGUUGAUAGAUGAAACUCAGGAAGGGGUAAAUGCAAAGCUUAACCUUUGGAGAGAAGUGUUGGAAUCUAAAGGUCUUCGCCUAAGCCGAUCAAAGACAGAAUAUAUGGAGUGCAAGUUCAGUGCAAAUGGAGGCCAAAACGAGUUAGGGGUGAGGAUCGGAGAUCAAGAAAUACCAAAGAGUGACCGUUUUCGUUACCUAGGAUCUAUCUUGCAAAAGAACGGAGAAUUAGAUGGAGAUCUCAACCAUAGAAUACAAGCUGGAUGGAUGAAGUGGAAGAGUGCAUCUGACGUGUUGUGUGACCGUCGUAUGCCACUGAAGCUCAAAGGAAAAUUUUAUAGGACGGCAAUAAGGUCGGCGAUGAUUCAACUUGGCGGGUUCGAGCAAAUAGGCGUUGGGCCAUAUUAGACACAGAACCUGCACACUGAACACUGAGAGCUAGCGAAUCCUUAACAGCUAACUCAUCAGACCGUUUGGAAAGUAGUCUGUUAUCUUUGGGAGUGAGAAGGUUCCUGGCCACCACCGCAGCGGUCAUAUCAUUCUUCAUCACGGAAUCCCCAACGGUAAGAGGACCAGUAGGGGAGACAAAGGAUGGGCGCCAUAUGUUGUCUGGAGAAGGCGGGGCUGCCUCUUCAACAAGGUUCAAGUCAAAAAACGACGGUCGGAGGGCCAGACAUUUUCAAAGGUGUUGAAGAGAGAAGAGGUCGGACACAAAUCAAGAUCUUAGAAGUGCAAGAAUGAAGCUUCUACUGGUGGAGAUUCAAGUGUGCUUUGGAACUUAAUGCCAGCCCCUAUAAAAAUCUGCACUCGACGGAGCUUCAGAAAUCGAAGAGGCGUUUGCUUUCUCAAAAGCUGGGCUGCUUAGAGAUCACGAGGGUUGAUCUCAGGAAUCGAAGAGGCGUUUGCUUUCUCAAAAGUUGGGCUGCUCAAAGACCACGAAGGCCGAUCUCAGAAAUCGAAGAGGCGCUCACUUUCUCAAAAACUGGGCUCCCCAGAGACCACGAGGGCCGAUCUCAAAAAUCGAAGAGGCACCUACUUUUCCAGCCUUGUCAGCACCUGUCACACGCACACUCAGCUUUGCGGAAAUUAUGGGCAUUCUGUCGAAGACUUCUGGGGAAGUAGAAAACACAUGAAUCUUACUGUUCAAUCACCCACUUCCCACACGCAAUAAUAGCUCAUGGGUACCACAGAUAACUUUGCCAAAGUUCUCUGCCAAAGUUGAGCACGUGAAGCUUGCAGCUCCCACUACAUCGCUCUGACCAAGAAGGGUAAAAAGAAUAGCAAAGAAACAGCACUAACAAAGUUUAGACCCAUAAAUUUUGAAGGUCUAGCUACCAUAUUAUUACCCACAAGGGUAAAGGAACAGUACCACUGCUGGAUAAUUGGAAAGUCCCUAUGUGUCAACCUCUGUGCUUCGUGGCAAGGUAGACUAGCAAACAUGCCCAACCUUUACUCACAUUCGAGAAAACACUCCCAAUAAGAUUGCUUGCUCCAAAAUCGAAGAGGCACCGUCCUCCGAAUCUCGAGAGCCAGACUCCCAACAUGACUACUUUCUUAAAAAUCGAAGAGAGGGUAAAGGAACAGUACCAUUGCUGGAUAAUUGGAAAGUCCAUGUGUGUCAACCUCUGUGCUUCGUGGCAAGGUAGACUAGCAAACAUGCCCAACCUUUACUCACAUUCGAGAAAACACUCCCAACAAGAUUGCUUGCUCCAAAAUCGAAGAGGCACCGCCCUCCGAAUCUCGAGAGCCAGACUCCCAACAUGAUUACUUUCUCAAAAAUCGAAAGAGACACUGCUCCCCGAAUCUUCGAGAGCCAGACCCCCAGCAUGAUUGCUUUCUCAAAAAUCGAUGAGGCAUCGUUCUCCGAAUCAAUCGAAGAGGCGCUCGCUUUCUCAAAAGCUGGGCUGCUCAGAGACCACGAGGGCCGAUCUCAGAAAUCGAAGAGGCACUUACUUUUCUAGCCUUGUCAGCACCUGUCACACGCACACUCAGCUUUGCAGAAAUUAUGGGCAUUCUGUCGAAGACUUCUGGUGAAGUAGAAAGCACAUUAAUCCUACUGUUCAAUCACCCACUUCCCACACGCAACAAUAGCUCAUGGGUACCACAGAUAACUUUGCCAAAGUUCUCUGCCAAAGUUGAGCACGUGAAGCUUGCAGCUCCCACUACAUCGCUCUGACCAAGAAAGGUAAAAGAAUAGCAAAGAAACAGCACUAACAAAGUUUAGACACAUAAAUUUUGAAGGUCUAGCUACCAUAUUAUUACCCACAAGGGUAAAGGAACAGUACCACUGCUGGAUAAUUGGAAAGUCCCUGUGUGUCAACCUAUGUGCUUCGUGGCAAGGUAGACUAGCAAACAUGCCCAACCUUUACUCACAUUCGAGAAAACACUCCCAACAAGAUUGCUUGCUCCAAAAUCGAAGAGGCACUGUCCUCCGAAUCUCGAGAGCCAGACUCCCAACAUGACUACUUUCUCAAAAGCGAAGAGAGGGUAAAGGAACAGUACCAUUGCUGGAUAAUUGGAAAGUCCCUGUGUGUCAACCUUUGUGCUUCAUGGCAAGGUAGACUAGCAAACAUGCCCAACCUUUACUCACAUUCGAGACAACACUCCCAACAGGAUUGCUUGCUCCAAAAUCAAGAGGCACCGCCCUCCGAAUCUCGAGAGCCAAACUCCCAACAUGAUUACUUCCUCAAAAAUCGAAGAGACACUGCUCUCCGAAUCUCGAGAGCCAGACCCCCAGCAUGAUUGCUUUCUCAAAAAUCGAAAAGGCAUCGUUCUCCGAAUCUCGAGAGCCAGAUACCACAGACCACUUUUUCAAAGUGCUCUGACAGAGUUAAAACAUGUGAAACUGGCAGCUCCCACUACCGUGCUAUGACCAAGCAGGGUAAAGGAAUAGCAUUACUACUUGUUGUUAGGGAGACUCCUAUAUAUGUCGACCUCCAUCCCCAACGGACAGGCAGACCUGCAAAAAUGCUCAACCCUUCAUCAUAUCUGAGUGGGCACUCCCAACGAAGCCUUUCGAAAUAUUCAGCUUUCUUUCCCCCCGAUAAUACCUCUGCAAACAAGCUAUACUAGAGCAAGAAUAUCUCAUAUCAUCAGGGUUAAAAGCAAGAGUAUCCCAUAUCAUGCUUUUUCCCUGUCUUUUCCUUUGGCCUUGUUUUUACCUGCAAGACAAGGAGAAAGAGAGCAAUCAGUCAGCACUUGGAAUCAAGCUUCCAACCAGGAAAUGACUGCCUGGAACCCCUUACUUGGCAUUGCUCUCGAGUACUCAUCUUCAACAUCUUAUGUUUCCAGGGAAGAUUCUGCAUCUGCUUGAGGAACAGAUAGGGCAAGUGCGAAGGAUACAAGGAAGCAUGCGGAGACAAGCGUAACAGCACACGUGCCGAUACAUCCAUUACUCUGUCAAAAGCAAAAGUAUCCCAUAUCAGCAGGGUGGAACGUACUCUAGAUUUGAUGGACUUGUUUUGACCCUCAAAUUCUUCAGUCGGCCUUAUAUUCUGGAGGAAACCAGAAAACCCUCCAGCUCAGUUCAAGAAUAAGCCUGUGGAAAGUUACUUCUUCAAAAGCAAAAGUAUCUCAUAUCAUCUCUUCUCAUUUUUCUUCUCUCUUUAUCCUUCAUGCUGCUGCAAGAUGGGGAGAAGGUGAACAAUCAGUCGGAGCUCUGAUUGCUUACCUUGUCUGUCACCUCUUUCAGCAGACCCCCUAGCUCGGCGACUUGGGGGACUCCUACUAAAUGGUUUGUAUCGCGCUUGACCAAGCCUGAAACUACAAGUAAGCUUCAAGUGAAAUUGAUACAUUACCUUGUGCAUCUCCACCAGUUAAAGAUACCACCCCUGGAUGGAGGAAGAGUACUUCCAGAGAAGAUGCCACAUCUACCUAUGAGACAGAUAAGGCAAGUCAAGACGACACCACACUCCGAUACUUAGAAGUUUCGUGAUUAUGAGAUCAUUCUCCCACAAUAUUUCCUAAUGUCAUUUGUACUAAAUCAUUCACUUGUACUCACUAAAGGAGAGCUUGAACCUAUGUACUUGUGUAAACCCUUCACAAUUAAUGAGAACUCUUCUAUUCCGUGGACGUAGCCAAUCUGGGUGAACCACGUACAUCUUGUGUUUGCUUUCCUAUCUCUAUCCAUUUAUAUACUUAUCCACACUAAUGACCGGAGCAAUCUAGCGAAGAUCACAAAAAGCGACCGUUUUCGCUACCUAGGAUCUAUCUUGCAAGAGAACGGAGAAUUAGAUGGAGAUCUCAACCAUAGAAUACGAGCUGGAUGGAUGAAGUGUAAGAGUGCAUCCGGCGUGUUGUGUGACUAUCGUAGGCCACUGAAGCUCAAAGGAAAAUUUUAUAGGACGGCAAUAAGGCCAGCGAUGUUGUAUGGCACAGAAUGUUGGGCGGUGAAGCAUCAACACGUACACAAAAUGGGUGUAGCGGAGAUGAGGAUGCUUCGUGGGAUGUGUGGGCACACGAGAAAGGAUAAGAUUGGGAAUGAGGAUAUCCGAGGUAAAGUAGGAGUAGCCGAAAUUGUAGGAAAGAUGAGAGAAAAUCGGCUCCGGUGAUUUGGACAUGUGCAAAGAAGGCCGACUGACGCUCCGAUUCGAAGAUGUGACUACGGGACAGAGGUUCAGGGCCGAAGGGGUAGAGGAAGACCUAGGAAAACUUUGGAAGAGACUCUAAGAAAAGACUUAGAGUACUUGGAUCUAACGGAGGACAUGACACAAAACCGAGCGCAAUGGCGUUCUAGGAUUCAUAUAGCCGACCCCACUUAGUGGGAAAAGGCUUUGUUGUUGUUGUUGUUGUUGUAUUUUUUCCCUUUUCAAAAUCGAAAUGUUCUAAAUUAUUUCACUAAUCCUUGCUAGUUUGAACUGCAGGAGUCUGUCUCUGGAUUUGAAAGAUUAUCUGGACUUACAGUUUUGAAGAAUUGGGAUUCUAGUGUUACACAUAUUAUUGCAUCGACAGAUGAAAAUGAAGCAUGCAGAAGAACCCUUAAAAUUUUGAUGGGUAUCUUGGAGGGGAAGUGGAUUCUGAGUGUGGAGUGAGUUUUACUGUUUUCGUUUUAAUUGUUCUUCCUCAAGUGCUUGGACUUUACAAUUGUAAUGAGUACAGAAGCCGAAAUGAGAUAUUGAUAUACAUGUUCACAUUGCUGAUAAUUCGUUAUCCGUCUGUUUGUGUAGGAAUUAAUGCUUGCACAUAAGUAAUGAAACUAGUUAAUGAGGAGCCUUAUGAAAUCAACGUUGACAUUUAUGGAAUCAGGGAUGGUCCUCGACUUGGUAGACUAAGGCUGCAGAACAAGGUUAGCUUUUCCUCGAGUUUAACUAUCAUCACGAAAACUUUAGAUUUUCAUGGAUUCACCAUAGGCAUUGUUAAUCUUGUUCAGUCCAUAAAUAGGUUACACACUUAUCUUAACAAAGGUGAGACCUUCUCAAUUCCUCAUCGAGAUGAAUCAAGAGCAUAAUUGUAGCAGUGAUCAAGAGCAAUUUUUUUAUGUUUCUUCCAAAUUGUUGAGAUGAAUCAUCUGUGUUUUGUUCUAAUAAUCUUACAAAUUUGUUGAGCAAUUUUUGUAAAGUCAGAAUCUUUGGUUUCGGUUGUGAGGUAUCUGAUUUGGGUAUAUGUGUUUUGCAGGGCACGGUGGUUGUGGCGGAGGAAGAUUAGGAUUGACGACAGAGCUCUGGCCAUGAACUAUCAGCUCUGUCUUUCUCUCUCUAACUAUGAAUUGAAUACAAAAGUCUGUGUUGAUAUGGAAAAUGUAGCUCAAAAUUAUUACACAAAUGGCAAAAAAAAAAAGUUCGAGUGUGGAGUUUCACUUACUGAUACAGGGCUUUUGAAACAGGGUUGUCUAGACUGUAGAAGAAAUCCAUGGCUUUUGGAAGAGGGGAUGUUCCAAAUCUAUCUUUUCUCCCUCUCUAAUGUUCUUCGAGGGGUUCUUGUGAUGCAAAAAGUGGUUUAUAUAUAUUUUUUAUUAUUAAUAAAUUUUCUGUCGGUUUUAUCAGACAAUAAUUCUUUUAUUUAUUCUUAUUAAUAAUUUCUCUGUCGGUUAUAUCUGACACAAUUUCUGUCGAUUUUAGAGUAUUUUCUAUCGAAAAUUUCAUUUCCUGACGCAUCAAUUAUGUCGCUUAUUAUAUCCGCCACUGCACUCAUUUCAUGUCGGAUUUUGCUUAAUUUCCAACAGUAUUAUACAUUUCUUGUCGGUUUUUAAACCGACACUAAUGGGUACUUUUGUAGUAAUGUUGGGGCGUCGGAGUUCGUUUAAGGUCGAAUUGAGCACACCCAAAUUCAAGGGUUCCGUACGGUUCAUGGUAAUUUGAGGUAUUUCUCAGCCAAAUUGUCCUUAGUCACAGAUAUGAAAGUUGCUCCACUCGUUGAGAUCUUCAUUUAUGUCAAAUUUGAGAAUUUUUAGAAAUAAUUGGAUUUUCCAGCGAAUCGGGGCGGCGGACCACCACCGGACAGCGCAUGGCUAGUGGGCCCCCAAUGUCAUUUUACGUUAAAUUGGUAUCUUGAUUUUAGGUUUGAUGUCUAUAUGUUAUGACUUGAUAUGUGAACCUAGUUUAAUUAAGGUGCGUUAAUUGGUAAAAAUAUGAAACGACGAUCCGACCGUGGGAUCGUCACCAAUCUUUAUUAUGUUAUAGUACAUUAUAUUUGAGAAUCAUAGGGACUGACGGAUAGGAAAUCCGAUAUACGGAUCUUCCUGAAAUGGAAUUGUAAGUUCGAAGAAUAAACGUUAACCGCCACUUUGUUUUGACUAUUGGUGAAGAUCCAACCGUUGGAUCAUAAUGAAAUUUUAGGAUGAUGUUUUAGAAGCAUAAUGUGGAUCUUUGGAAGUUAUUGAUUGGAAAUCCGAGGAGCGAAUCUUCCGGAUUGAAUUACGUAAGGUUGUGGACCCUACCGUCGAUCGUUGACUGACGAUCGACUUUUGGUCAAUGGGGCUUAAAUCACUCUAAAAUGUUUUUAGGGAUGUGUUUUACGUAAAUUACAUUAUCUAUGGAUAAGAAUUCUGAGAUGUGGUUUGAUAAUUGUCCUGGGCGCCGAUCGUUAGGAACGCUUCGAUGGUUGUGCUAGGAAAUUGUAGCAUAGACUCCAGGUGAGUGAAUCUUUUCCUUCUUAUAUAUAUAUAUAUAUAUAUAUGAUUGACAAUUCCACAAACGUUUAUAAAUUGAUUAUUGCAUAUAACUACUGUAAAUACUUUGAAGUACUUAUGCGAACUACGAAUGGCUUGAUCCCUAUUUAGGGUACGUAUGCAGUCUAACAAGACAUUAAAUGCAGUCAUACAAUAAUUGAGAUUAAACAAUUGAGACAAAGCCUUGUAUGGGGAACUGGGCAAGGUGAACGAAUUUGGUAAAAAUGUGAGAUUUAACCUUCUGAAUUGGUGAUUAAAUGUUGGUCAUAAAUCAAUGUGUAAAGAAUCAAGAAUUUGAAGUAAGGAAACGUAAGUAAUGAUAAUUAAUUAAACUAGUGUCUAGUUGGGCUUGUCACCUAUAAUUAUCCCCAAAAAUGAAUAAUUCGGGAGUAGGGCGUUAUAGCUUCUGCAUUUUUAUGCCACAUUAUAUAUAUAUAUAUAUGUGUGUGUGUGUGUGUGUGUGUGUGUGUGUGUAUAAUUGGAAAUGCUAUAACGUGGUUGAGUAUCAGAUUUCAUCAUGGUUUAUCUAUAUGUAUAUUACCUGCACACAAUUAUUAUGAACACUUUGAAGUGCAAAGGUGAACGCAAGACACCCAGGAAAGUUCAGGUGAGUUUAUGGUAUUAGUUGAAAUGAUGGGGUUAUGGUAACUACAUGUAUGUUUAGGUUGCAAUGAUAGGCAACUCCGACACUGUCGUACAAGUUGCCCAUGAAUUGUAUAUGUUACAAUAGAUAGAGUUAGAGGUCAUAAACCUGCACCCCGGUGUUAGUGCUCCCACCCGUGGCUAGGGCACAGUCUUUCACGAGAUGUUCACCUCUCGCAUCUUACGCUCACCUUGGAUCCAAGGUAGGUGCACAGUCAUGUCAUAAAGACCACUAUAGGUGGUUCCGACUAGUAGAUGACCCGUGAUUAUUCGCACAGUCUUCACGUGAUUGUAGCACUUGAGCGUAUUUAUUUACACCCAGUCCUGUCGUACAGACCACUUUAGGUGGUUCCGACUCGUAUGCAGGUAUACUUAUUGAGCUAUGGAUAAGUCGUACAGGUCACUAAAGGUGACUCCAACUUAUGAGCUAGCAUAUGUGAUGAAAUAUGUGAUGAGCUAGCAUAUGUAAUGAGAUAAGUGAUGAGCUAGCAUAUGUGAUGAGAUAUGUGAUGAGUUAGCAUACGUUAUGAGAUAUGUGAUGAGUGAUAUAAUCAUAAUUGCAUACAUUUUCAUGCCCUUUUAGUUUAGAUUUUUGUUAUCCUUUUGAGUGAAUUUAGUUUGUUUCACUUAGUUUUAUGUUUUUCUUAGAUUUGAAGUGUGAAGAUGAAGAAAGAAGAAAAAAGAGCAUUUUUAGCGAUUGAAAUGAGUUUGGCAUGCUGGAAGCAGAGGCUAUUUGUGCGGAUCAGCCAACUUUACGGAUUAAACUGUACUUCCUUAGAAUGCCAGCUGUUGAGUCUUAUACCAUUGGAAAGAUAUGAAAGUUAGCUUUCAGAGGAAUUUUACGAUUCGUGAUUCCGAGUUUCCUAGAAGACGUUAUAGUGGUUUUUCUACCAGAUGUCUGCCAGCAAGGUUUUACGCGGGAUUUGCAAAGAGAUUCCAGAUUUACAAAGUUUAAUUAAAGGAAACAAGCAGAGAAAAAAGAAGAGGAAGCUUUUAGAAAAGUUCAGGACUAUUCUAAACGGUGCAUAGUUAAUAUAUUUAAUAGUUUAGUGUGCCACAUCAUCAAUAAACUAAUCUAAGUCAGAAGAGAAAUUCAAGAGUCCCAUUCAAGUAAGUAUUCCAGCAGUUUUAUUCAGGAAUAAAGGAGGGCAGACCGUCGGACUUUAGGAGCGGACAGAGAGAGUUUUUGGGUUUUCGAAGGUGCAGAGAAGAGGUCGCAGCAAGGAGUGAAACAGAGUCGCCGAUCAUCUGGGCAAUCCAUCACCAUCGUGUGGAAGUAUUUUAUGUUUUUCAGAUUUUUAAUUAUGUUUUCAGAUUUUAUGAGUAACUAAACUCUUUUUCUAAGGUUAGGAUGAUGCCCUAGCAUGGAUGUUUAUGGUUUGUAAUGUUAUUCAUUGGAUUUCCAGUUUCUUUUAGAUGAAUGCUUAAUCACUGUUUGAAUUGUUACUGUUUGUUUGAGUUCUUUGAUUGAUCACCUUAGGACUUUGCAUCUAGUAAGAUUGGAAGAUGAAUUUGAGACUGAACUAACAAUAUAAUUCAAUUAGCUUCUUGUGGUUAAGUGUGGUAAAUUACAUUAUUGCUUGAAAAAGAAUAAUGGUUUGUUUGGGUCCCUUGUUUUCUAGAGGGUAAAGAGUCCUACUUGUUAAAUUUAUGCCUUAACUAGGAUAGACUGCUUGUUAGGAUAUACGACCUCUGCCUAAACUAGGAGAGAAUCAUUCACAUAAGGAAAACUAUGGUCUAAUAUGCCUGACAAGGACUUAGAUACGGGAAUUAUCAUCUAAAGAAUUGAAAGAUCCAUUGAAUGCAUUGAAACCUAAACUAGAUUGCUUGUGGUUGAUUCCGAAUCCCUAGAUUUUCAUCACUUGCCUUAAAACACAACCGUUUCUUUUCUUUAAUUUCAGUUUUUACUUAAGGUUCUGUUUUUGUUCAUUUAUAAAAUCAUCACAACAAAUUUUUUACAUCUUUGAUUGACUUAUUAAUUAAGAUCGAGUCUAGUUCGUUGUUUGGGUUUGUGUGUCUUUAAUAUAAUUAGAUUUGGUUUAGUUUAUCAAAUUGGAGAUUGAAUUAGAAUCCUCGUGGGAACGAUACUUGGACUUGCAAAACGUUAUAUUACGACUAUCUUGUGCACUUGUAAGUUUACACCAAGUUUUUGGCGCCGUUGCCGGGGACUCUAAUUGAGUCCCCCAAUUUGAUAUCAUAUUCCAUAUCUAAUAAGUAGUUUAUUGUAGAUUAUUCAAUUUGAUUUUGUUUUGUUCUCUAGUUUCGAGUAAGAGUCAUAACUAUUAAGAUAAGUAAAAGUAAUUUUCGUCACUGUUUUAUUUCAGUUUUGUAUCACUGUUUCGACACAGUUUUGGACUAAACUAUUCGAUUUUUUACCAGGAAUAUUGUGUAUCGUUGGAAAGCCCCAGAAGUCUAGUUUUCAACCCAAAAAACAGAUCAAUGAUUGGAUUUUUGAGCUGCAAGAAAUGUACAAAAUACUGAGCAGUGGUCAAACAAGGAGCACAGUCUGGUCGUAUAUGCAAGGUAGACGUUCGUUGCAAUUUGAGUUGAUUCAUAUAGACCAAGAACUUGUGCGUACUUUAAGAGAACAGUGGAGGCAGCGAGUGUGUCAAGAACCAGCCAUGGAGGAAGUAGUUAAUAAUGGUGGAAAUAAUCCUCCACCAUUGCUACCACCACAACCAAGGCUCAUGCGUGAUUAUACAAAGCCAACGGAGUACAACGCACCGUCAUGCAUUGUUUUGGCUCCAAUUGCGCAGCGAUUUGAGAUUCGUCCACAAAUCUUUCAGUUGCUGCCUAUAUUUCUUGGGAAGGAGGAAGAAAAUCCAUACCAUCAUAUCAAGGCGUUUUUCAAGCUAUGUUCCACAUUCACAUUCACCAAUGUUACUGAAGAGCAAAUUCGACUUCGGUUAUUCCCAUUCUCUUUGAGGGAUAAAGCAAGCAGUUGGUUGGAUUCUCUUCCCGAAGCAUCUAUCGACACAUGGACAAAAUUAUCGAAGAAGUUUUUGUCCAAGUUCUUCCCCGCUCGAAGAACCAAUGCUCUGAUCAAUGAAAUCAUGAGCUUUCGACAACAAGAAGGUGAACAGUUUCAUGAAAGUUGGGAGCGCUAUAAGGACUUGUUUCUUCAAUGUCCUCAUCAUGGUUUCAACACUUGGCAAAAGGUUCAUUAUUUUUACAAAGGUUUGAACUCUCAAUGUAGGAGUUUGGUUGAUUCAACGGUUGGUGGAACCUUGAUAGACAAAACUCCAGAAGAUGCCAUACAUGCCUUUGAAACUAUAUGUGAAAAUUCUGAGCAUUGGGAUUUUCCUACAAAAGAUUUGAGAGUUCCAACUGCAUCGUCAACAAAAAAAGGAGGCAUUUAUGAAGUUAAUACAAGGACGGGCUUAGAGGCACAAGUGGCAGCCCUCACCAAGCUUCUCACACCACUUGUAAGCAAGAUAGCCACGCAGCCAUGUACUUUAUGUGCGAGCAUCGCCCAUGACAUGGAAAAUUGUCCAACAAAUGCUAAUCUAGAAGGCAUCCAAGAGGUCAAUGCAUUUAGUGGGAGGCCCCGGAAUGAUCCAUAUUCUAAUAAUUAUAACCCGGGAUGGAGAGAACAUCCAAAUUUUUCUUAGAGAGAUUCACAAAAUAGCAUGGGAUCAUUCACUUCAACAAAGCAAUAUCAGCAACCUUAUCAAGCUCCUCCAAUUCAACAAAAAGACUCGUCUAUCAAGGAUAUGUUAUCUCAACUCUUAAAGAAAACUGAUCGGUAUGAACAUGAAGUUGUGUCGCUUAGACAAAGUCAGACGGUGUUGGAAAAGGCUCGAUCUAAUUUUGAGACUCAGUUGGGACAGAUAGCUACUACUUUGAACAAGCUGGAGUGAGCACAAGGGCAAUUUCCAAGCCAAACUGAAACAAAUCCUAGGAAUCAAAAGCAUGUUCAAGCUGUCACCACUUUGAGGAGUGGAAAGACGAUUGGUAAUAAUGUGGAAAGUUCAAAAAUUAAUAAGGAAGAAGAUGAAGGGGUCAGCACAUAUCGGGCAGCAGCUUGACAAGACAAGCUAAAAAAGAGAAGUAUAUGGGAGAUAUUUUAGAGCAAUUUAGAAAGGUGCAGAUUAAUAUUCCUUUUCUCGAUGCCAUCAAACAAAUUCAAUCAUAUGCGAAGUUUUUGAAGGAACUUUGUACUAACAAGAGACGGUAUGAAGAACAUGAGGAGGUGAAGUUAUCAGACACGGUUAGUGCGGUUCUUCAAAGAAAAUUGCCACCAAAACUUCAAGAUCCUGGUAGCUUUACAGUCCCAUGUGUCAUUGGAGAAAGAAAAUUCGAAAAAGCUUUGCUUGACUUGGGAGCCAGUGUGAAUUUGAUGCCCUAUUCUGCUUAUAAACACCUCAAAUUAGGCGAACUAAAGCACAUAUCCAUUUCUCUACAAUGCACUGAUCGUUCUGUGAAAUAUCCAAGAGGGAUUGUUGAAAAUGUACUUGUGUGUGUUGAUCAAUUUAUUCUUCCUGCUGACUUCAUCAUUUUGGACAUGGAAGAAGCCGAAAUUCCUGGUCGUGACUUGCCUCUCAUUCUUGGCAGACCUUUCAUGGCUACUGCAGGUACGAAGAUUGAUGUUAAAUCGGGAUUAUUAACUAUGACUGUGCAAGGUAUUACUGUAGAAUUUCAGGUCUUCGAAGCAUUGAAGAAGCCCAUGGAUCUUUAUGACUGCUUUCGUGUUGAGGUAGUGGAUCCAAUUAUAAAAAAAAACAUUCAUUGAAUCAAGCAUCUCAGAUCCUCUGGAAGUUUGUAUCUCUCAACAUGGGAUGAGUUUUGAAAAGGCUACCAUCAUUGAAGCAGAACGAGAUCUCAAUGCCGUAACGUCCUACUCUCUUAGAUGCCAGCCCAAAUUUGAAGCGUUGCCACUCACAAGCCAAAAUUGUACCAUCCAUUAUACAACCUCCAAAGCUUGAAUUGAAGCCUCUUCCAGAGACUUUAAAGUAUGCAUAUUUGGUGAUUCAGAGACUCUUCCUGUGAUUAUAGCUGCUGAUCUUAACCAAACAGAAGAGGAAAAGUUGAUGCAAAUGUUGAGGGAGCAUAAAACAGCAUUGGGAUGGAGUAUUGCAGACAUAAAAGGAAUUAGUCCUCAAUUUGCAUGCAUCGGAUAUAUCUUGAGGACAAGUCAAAGCCUUCUAGAGAGGCACAGCGACGUCUAAAUCCACAUAUGCAAGAAGUGGUUCGGGCAGAAGUUCUUAAAUUACUGAAUGUCGGCAUUAUUUAUCCUAUAUCUAACAGCAAAUGGGUAAGUCCACUGCAGGUUGUACCACAGAGAUCUGGAAUUACAGUUGUCAAGAAUGAAAAUAAUGAGCUUAUACCCCAGAGGACUGUCACGGGUUGGAGAAUGUGUACAGAUUACAGAAAGAUCAAUAAUUCAACUCGAAAAUAUCAUUUUCCACUCCCUUUCCUUGAUCUCAUGCUUGAGAGACUUGCAGGCCAUAGUUAUUAUUGUUUUCUUGAUGGCUAUUCCAGAUAUAAUCAAAUUCCCAUAGCUCCGGAAGAUCAAGAAAAGACUACUUUCACAUGUCCAUUUGGAACUUUUGCCUAUCGACGAAUGCCUUUUGGGUUAUGUAAUGCUCCCGCAACAUUCCAAAGAUGCAUGAUGAGCAUUUUCUCAAACUUGGUGGAAAGGUGUAUCGAAGUGUUCGUGGAUGAUUUUUCCGUGUUUGGGUCAUCGUUUGAUCAAUGUCUUCAUCAUCUUUCAUUGGUGCUCUAACGGUGUCAAGAAACCAACUUGAUUUUAAAUUGGGAAAAAUGUCAGUUUAUGGUGAAAAGUGGUAUUGUUCUUGGUCAUGUAAUUUUAGCUGACGGAAUUGAAGUUGAUAAAGCUAAGGUGGAGCUGAUUUCGAAGCUUCCUCCUCCCACUUCUGUAAAAGAAGUUCGAUCCUUUCUCGAGCAUCCAAGUUUUUAUCGCCGAUUUAUUAAAGAUUUCUCGAAAAUCACCAAGCCACUUUGUGAUCUGCUUGCUAAAGAUUCUGUGUUUAAUUUAAAUGGUGAGUGCUUACAAGCUUUUGAGACCCUCAAGAAAGAAUUAACACAAGCCCCAAUCAUAAAAGCUCCAGAGUGGUCUCUUCCUUUUGAAAUCAUGUGUGACGCCUCUGAGUAUGCAAUAGGUGUUGUGUUAGGGCAGCGAGUUAACAAACUUCCUCAUGUUAUAUUUUAUGCUAGCCGAAUUCUCACUUAACAACUUUCAUAUCCCUUAGUUUCCAAAAUUUAAUAUACAAAUUUAGUCUCCCAAGCAUUGCUAUAUUACUUAAGUAUUGAUUAAUAGACUUAUUUCUUAUGGUGACACAUUAUUUAGUUUACAAAUUUAGUCUAUCUAACAUUACUCUUUUGACAUUGUCUUGUCCACUGAUAUAAUUCUAUUUUUCUUGUGAUCAAAACUUCAAAUGUUAGCAAGUCGCACGUAAAGUCGCUUCUGAGAGAAUGUGCUCACAUUGUAGUUGAAAGAUUAUGUGGCUAGCAACAUUACAAAUUUAAUUUGGUAUAAUUUUAAAAUAUAGAUUGAGGAAAAAAAGGAUCACAUUAACUAGAAACUGAAAAGGUUUCGGCGCAAUAUGUUCAAGCAAGAAACUCAAUUUUGAUGCUACCGAUCUUAACAGCCUGAGCGCCGUACCUGGGCACUAAAGUCACCACCACACUCUCAUCAUCUUCAGCACCCAAAUCCUCCAACAGGUCCGUUAACCCCAACCUUAAACAACUCUUGCUCUUUUCCUUCUGCUUAUGUGGCACACUCACAAAACUCCCAGCAAACUCGCUCUUGUCGGGUCCACUCGGUGCCGCAUCCUCAUCAUCCACGUCAUUCACAUACACAUCAAACUUCACAGCCACAUCUUUGUCAAGCUCAAUCCCCCGAAUCACCAAUAUCUCCUCCUCAUCCUCUUUCUCCUUCUUGCUCCUCUUCUUCGGCUUCGGCCUUGACACCACCGUAGUUAUCUUCGUCUCCAAAUUUAUUGGAAAAUCUUUACCCGCCACCACCUUCCCCGAUGACGUCGUCUCAGCGGCCUUCGCCACUCCAGCCGCCUUUGCCUUUCUCGCAAGCUUUGUCCGACGUGGCGUCGGUCUAGAGUUGAGCCAUGGAAUCUCAACAUCUUCAUACGUAUACCCUAGCUUUUUAUUAUCAAGAGUGUCCCUCACCGUGACCCUAACAAGCUCAGCAUUCUCGUCAUAAAACAAAAACCCCGUAUCCAACCAAUCCUUAUCGUUAAUAUCUUUAUUUUUAGUCCCUAUACUUUUCCAAAUAUUCCACAUUCGAUCCAGAUUCAAAUGGUGCGCAAAAAAUAUCGGAUCCCUUGCAGUGGAGUAAAAAUUCCCCAUGUCUUCAUAAUUAGGUUGCGUGUUAUCUCCGGUCCAUGUAUGAACCGGACCAUGUGGGGUCUGUUCGAUUGCACCGGCCCCUGGAUCUGGUUCAGUGCCAGCCCUGUAGGGCGAACCAAAGAACAACAGCGGUUUCUUGGAGUUGGAAACCAUCUGCCUAUACAUGAUUUUGAGGUUGGCUUCGAUUUGAGCAUCCUUGGACAUUGUUUCAUCCGUGCCGUUGAAGUCAAGAUCGAUGAGAGUUGGCGGCUGAUGGCUGGCAGCGCGGAGCUCGUCGUAAAGCGGAGAGUCAGGGUUAGCGUACAAGGCAGGGAGUUGCAUGCCAGCUGGCGCGUCCCAGUUCCAAAACGGCAACGCGAAG